rnacentral:lncRNA from 1 species
AACGAUCCGUCGGAAACGACCGUCUGUUGUGACCUAAAUAGUGCAUAAUCCAGAGAUAUUUGGCGGUUACCAGCAAUUGCGAAGUAAGGGUACAGGUUGAGAAGCAAGGGGGAUCUGUUUUCGUUGAGGAAACGAAUGAGGGGAUCAAGAAUGGGUCUGUAAUCUUGUUUAAAUGAGCCUCUUGACGGAGGGAAAGAUUCGCCAAGAGCUCCAGUUUCGAUGGCAGUGGAAACCUUGAUUUGGUUUCCAAGGCCGGCUGCGUUGAUGGCGUUUUGUAUGUUUCUCAUGGCGGGAACAAGGUACUGAGCGAAGUUAUCUCCAGGUUUUGCUUCAUUUCCUACAGCAAUGUAUUUGAACUUGACAUUGUUAGCAAAAUUUCGGACGUUGUUUUGGACCCAAGUGUUUGCUUCGGCUUGAUUGGAAGCGAUUCUUCGGAGGUCGUUGUUGGGAAGGCCCAACAUGACUUCAAUGUUGGAGCCUCUGAGAGCUUCGAGUGCUUCUCUGUUUGGAUCAUAUAGUCUCAUUCUUCUGAUGUUGUUUUGGUUGUAGAGAGCUAUGACAUCUCGUUUUGAUGGUAAGUUGUUACCAAGCAUUCCAUAGCAAACACCUAUUUGGGCACCUGUAAAAUGCAAUAUAUAGAUAAUGAACAAAUUAAGAACUUAUAAUAGUAGUUAAUGAAUAAUAUUAAUCCAUGGAUAGAGAGAAGGAUAGGGAAAACGAUCAAAUGGUUACGUUGGGUCUCGGUAAAGUAAUCAUUUCGCACCGUAUAUUUCAAAAAUUCUGUCUUUAAAAAAAAAAAAAUGUUAAAUUCUAACUUGUUUUAUGCUUUUAAUAUUUUUUUUCCCUUGAUGUGGUAAACACUAAUUAAAACUCAAUGUUUAUAAAAAAAAGUUGUAAUAGGUCAAGUAUUAUUAAAACACAAUAGGUAUAAAAAAAAAAAAGUAUUAUUAAAACACAGAAAAUUGAAUGAUAACGUACGGGUUUGUUUUGAUGGAUUAAAAGAAAAAAAAGUAGGAAAUGGAUAAAGUGCAAAAUCAGUUUUUAGUCACUAUCACUUCCAUAUUCGAUCAUCGAGGAUCAGCUAAAACAUUGCUUAAAAACUACUUGGUCAAGCUCUUGAAAGCGAAUUUGAUAGAUUUUGAAACAUUAAAAGAAAUUAAAUUUUUUAUGAACAACAAAGAGGUUUUGAUCAUUUUCUCGAGAAAUUAAGAUAUAUACUUGUUGUAUCUAAGGUAGCCAUUAGCAGCCCAAGAAGAAACAAGACGACUGGAGCCAUUGAAGGGGUAUUGAGAGAGGAAAAGAACUUAGCCAUAGAGAUAAACGAAAUUGCAAAGUGUGUUAUACUAACACCAAUUCUUGCCAGCCCAUUUAUAGAGGAAAAUCACCAUGACCAUGAACCAUAGUGGAAGAAAAAAAAAUAAAAAAUUUUACACUGAUAAUAAUGACAACCUGAAUGGUCGAAACAAAUUAAUCUAACAACUUGCUGGGUUCUUUGAAAAGUCCUGAGGUUAAUAAUUUUCUUGAGCAUGCAUGUCACUAUCUUUUGACUCGUUGGCAGUGCCCUACUGCAACUUCCUCCAUAUUUGUGGUGUUCAUAUUCGUAGACGUUCAAUUACUCAACAACUUGGUUCUUUUUUAAUAUGGUGUUAGAAAAUGGAACAAGUCUCCUUUCUUAUUUGUAUUGUCGACGACUCAACGUGAUCAUGCAUCGAUAUCCAAUUACUUUAUUUUAAUUUAUAUUGUAUUUGUAUGAUUGAUAAUUUAAAAAAUACACCGACACAUGUAAAAACUUGUAACUAAAAGAUUGAUAUACUCAAUUACAAAAUAUGUAGACGUCCUCAUUUUGGAGCUGCUUGGUAGCUUUAAUAUUAAUUUGUUGUCUACUUAGGUUGCCAUUCUUGACUAGAGCUGGAACCUUCUAGCAUCAAGUCAAGCUAGCACAUCUUGGCUUGUGCAUUUAAUCUCUUUGUCCCAGAAUUUGAGUGGUCCGUGACAUUGAGCCCUAACCCACCUUUUUAGUUUAAGAUCAUGUAUACCGGUCGAAAGUGCAGUAAAAAAUAAUUUGCUAUUCGAUAUAAUUUAUCUAGUACAUAUACUUAAAAAAAAAAAUGCAUGCCUCAUUGCCUACGCAUGCUGAUGCUGCCUUGUAAUAUAACUUGUUGAGAAGGACGUUGAUCAACACAUCGAUCGUCAUGGCUUCUACAGUUUGAAUUUGUUUUUUUAAUUUAAACCUAACAGCAAUUCAAUUCUCUUUCCACUCAUCUGAACAUGGAUUCAAACCUUAUACUACUUGCUUCAACAGAUGAUUGAUAUGGUACAUUUAUUGGUGUUCACAUGAUUAAUUAAUGUAUCAAAAUGUAAUAAUAAAAAAAAUUAAAUUUCUCAACUUACUCUAUGAUCAUGAUGACAUGCUAAUUCCUCUCUCGAUGGGAGUGUUGCAAAUUUUGGAAAUAGAUUAGCAGAGGAUCAACAUUUAUUUUUCAUAAUUUAGUUUUUACAUAUUAUCAUACUUUUCAUUGAGAAAUAUCCGGGAUAUAUAAAAUAGACCAAAAUCAAUUAGAGUCAUAAAAGAUAGAAGUCAUUUAAGUCUUUAUUAUCAGCUGUAACAAAUAAUGAUGCCAAACUGCCACUUUCAUUGUAUUUGUCUGUUUUUCCAGAAACGUGCUCAAUUGGGGCAGCUGAAUCCCAAAUUCCGAAUUGAGUGCUAACUCGAUUGAGUGCUACUCUGCUAUCUUGUUAUGUGGAAAAUAGAACGCUCAAAUUUGUUGGUAUCAUCAAUUCAUUAUCUCAUUCUGUGGAUGUGUUAAUGUCAAAGUCAAGCGAUAACUAAAUUUCACUCAGACAGCUGGCUGCUUGACUAUGGUUUAUAGAGUUUAGACUAGGUGAUCACAACCGCAAAUCAUGCUAUUAAAUAAUAGUCAACAAGACUUGAGUAAUAACGGGGUUGAGUUACAAUUAGAUAUAUGUCUCUGUCGUCUGUAUUAACAAAUUUAAUAUUUCUAUACUGUCGAGACUCCGUUUGUUUGGUGGAGGUAAUAAUAAUAUAAUAUAAAUAUGAUUUUUAAAUAAAAAUUAUAAAUAUUACAUGUUUAUAAUCAAAUGAUAAAAUACGCCCUUAGAGUAUUAAGAUGGGUUUAAUAAAAAAAAAUUUAGAAUAUAAUUGAAAUUAAGGUCAAAAUGGUAAGUGGCUAAGUAAUGGGUUUUAUAAGAUUUUUGGAAGGGAUGCUAAUAGCUCCAUCAUUGAUCUUAAUUUUCCCAAACCGAACCCGACAUGCUUAUCCCCACCAACAUCAGUACCAGAGGGAGCCUAAAACACAAAAGAAAGAAGGAAAUGACCACUUGACAAGUCUGCCCCAAAGGUUAUGAACUAGUGAACUACAAGAACUUGGACAAAUAUUUUUGAAUUACGCCACCUAUGUACAAUGCCUAAAUGAUUACAAUUUUUUGGGGACGAUAAAUAUGGACCCUAAGCAGCCUAACAGUUAAAGACAAUCAAGGCAAUGGAAAAGCCCAUUAGAAGAGCAUGAAGAACUAGUACAAAUCUCUCACCCUAAGCACUCAGCAGAGUAAUUUUGAGUCCCAAUGAAGAGCAUCAACAACACCGAGUUUCGUUUGGUUCUAAGGGAUAUGCUUGGUAUGGCCAAAUCUCCAGAAACCAUUUAUGUGCAGGUCAAAUUCUCCGAUUGUUGGCAUAACACCACUUUCAAGUCCUCUUCUAUUUGUAUUGACCCGAUAUUUGCAUUGACCUGACCCAGCUGGAUCAUCUCGGAAUACUUUAUAUAGUCAAUGCCUUUCGAGCAAAUUUUUCCUCAAGAUCAUGAUUAUCUUGUUAAGAACCUCAGUAGUUUCAAUCAAAUACUGUUCAGCUUGAUGUCUAUCAUUGAAAACCUCCCGUUUCAUUGUGUUCUUCCUUCUGAAUGAUUCCACGUUCGCAUGCCGAUUCGAAAAUUUAGGGUACACAGUAGAAGCCUUUGCCAAACUCUAUCGCCAGGUCGGCUUUCUUCAUUGCGGGUGCCAACUUAUCUUUCACCACUUGGACGCUAAUUACCUUGAGCCCGGUUAUCUGAAGAACAAGGAAAAUAUAUAUAUAUAUAUAUAUGAACCUCAAUGACUCCGGAGAAGAUUACAUAAACCAAUGAGAAUUAAAACUAAAGAAAGGUCGUAAUAAAAGUUAUUAAAUAAAUAGAAGGGUGAGAAAAAGAAUGAGGACAGCAGAAUAGAAUUUAGAAGGGGGGCGGGGGGGAGAUCAUCCAUAUCAAUACAUGCACAUAAAAAUGUAAAAUAGAAUAGUAUAUGCAAAUACAUAUUCAUAUUAAAUCCCAAAUUUAAAUGAGAUGUAAUUAAGUCCUAAUUUAAGACUAAGCUGCAACAAAGAGUUCAACCAUCACAUUCUACAAAUAUGUCAAAACUAAUAACCUGAAUAAGACAACAUUGUUUUUCAGGACAUGGCAGAUAUUAUGCAAAAAACAUAAGAAACAACAUUGAGUUCUUGUAGAUCUUCCUUGGAAAAUAACCACUAUUUCCCAAGCAUGAAUAAAAAAGACACCGCUGAUGGUGCAUAUUGCAUUUUGAAAUACAAGCUAAUGCUAUAGUUAAGGACGCUUCUGUACCGUCCUUUCUAAAGAAAUAAUAUGCAAGACAAUUGCAAAAGAAAUAUGUUAUUGCACACAGGUAUCAACUAGGAAAGGACAUAAUUACGUCAGUUUAGGAACCUUCUAUUAAAAUGAUUAAAUUAUGGGAUAUUGUGACCGUUUGAGAGCUUGUCAAGGAGUCCUUUACAUAAGUAACUUUGAUGAGAUGAUUUUGCUGAUUGAAGAUAUGAUUUAUAAUUUGUUGGAUGAUCUUUUGGCAUUAACGAGUGAUAAUCUAUUGGCUGAUCUUUUGGCAUUAACGAAGGAAUCUUAUCAACCCCCCUCAAGUUUGGAAUGCCCAUGGGAUGGACUCCUAACUUGUUGCGGCAGUUUUGGAAUUGGUAUUUGCUUAAUGAUUUUGUGAACACACCGCAAUUUGCCGUGAUGAAGGUACAUGCCUUGUGAAGAUGGAUCCUUGCGCGACCUUUUCUCGAACAAAGUGGAAGUCGAGCUCGAUAUGCUUUGUCCUCGCGUGAAAGACCGGAUUUUUGGUCACGUAGAGAGCACUCAUAUUGUCGCACAAUAGAAGUGUUUUCUUGUUCAUUGUGAGACCAAUUUUGCGAAGAAGAAAUUGAAUCCAUGUGAUCUCAACUGCAGUGGUGGCCAUUGAUCGAUAUUCUGCUUCGGCACUUGAUCUUUCUACGGUGGUUUGCUUCUUUGAGCUCCAAGAAAUGCAGUUUGCUCCUAAGUAGACACAAUAACCUGUGGUGCUUCGUCUAGUCUCAGGACAACCUGCCCAAUCAGAGUCAGAAAAGGAGUAUAGUGUUAAUGAACUUUGAGACAAAAAACGAAUGCCAUAGUUUAAUGAUCCUUUGAGAUAUCGAAGGAUCCUUUUUACUGCUUUGAGAUCUGCCUUGGUUGGAUCAUUGAAGUGCUGGCAUACUUUAUUUACAGCGUAUGUUAUAUCCGGCCUUGUAAAGGUCAAAUAUUGUAAGCCACCAACUAGGCCUCGAUAUUCUGUAGCAUUCACAGGUUCACUGUCCUUAAGAUUUGUAGUUGUUUUUAUAGCCAUGGGUGUUGCCAUAGGAGUACAAUCAAGCAUCUUUGCCUUUGAUAGUAAAUCUUGUGUAUACUUAGUUUGAGAUAAAAAUACCCCAUUUUGGAAAUAUUUGAUUUCUAUCCCAAGAAAAUACCGAAGUGUCCCAAGGUCUUUCAGUGCAAGAUUGUACUUAAUGUUAAGAUGAUCGAUUGAAUAACAGGAGUUAUUUCCUGUUAUUAUAACAUCAUCUACAUAUAUCAAAAGCAAAAUGAGUACUCCCUUGUCCUGUAAAAUAAAUAAAGAUGAAUCAGAUUUACUAUUAACAAAGCCUAGUUUAAAUAAUGCUUUAAAAAUAUAUUCAAACCAGGUGCGUGGAGCUUACUUGAGCCCAUAAAUGGACUUGUUUAGUUUACAGACAAAUGAUGAUAGAUUAGGAUUUUUGAAACCCGGGGGCUGCUCCAUGUACACUGUUUCUUUUAAUUUGCCAUGAAGAAAAGCAUUCUUGACGUCUAAUUUCUUCAUUGGCCAUUUUGAACUCACUGCAAUUGCCAUAACCAGUCGAAUAGUGGUUGGUUUUAUGACAGGACUAAAGGUCUCAUCAAAGUCCACUCCUGAGAUUUGUGUGAAUCCCUUGGCAACGAGACGUGCCUUGUACCUAUCAAUCGUCCUAUCUUCUUUGUAUUUGAUCCGGUAAACCCAUUUUGAUCCUAUUACAAUAUUGUGAAUAGGACGAAGAACAAGAUGCCAAGUAUUAUUGUCAUGCAGAGCCUUAAUUUCUUCUUCCAUUGCCGUAACCCAUAUGGGAUUCUUGAGAGCCGAUUUUAAAGUUUUUGGCUCAAUUGGUUGGUUUUGAGAGGCUUGUAAUGCUAGGUUAUGAUUGUUGUUGGCUUUUUGUCGGCUUAUCAUGGAAUGAGUAUUUUGAGAUGAUGAUAGAUUUGUUUGUAAUUGUUGUGGUCUCGUGAGAUCAACGACUGGAUUACCUGAUAUGUCAGAUAAGGUGGUUGGUUGAUUUUUAGUGUAACUCGAAAAAUCAACUAAUAACUUUCCAGAGAUAUCAGAAUAAUUUUUUUGAUUUGUUGAAAAUGGAUCCUCGGUCUGGGUUCUAUCUGAGCUGGUCAAGUCAGUUGAUAAGGAGUUCUCGGUUUGAAUUUUAUCUGAGUUGGUUACUUUGGUAGAUGAAGUGGCAGUGUUGUUGCAGUUUUGCUCUUCUGAAAUUGAUUCAUUUAAUGAGGCAGUCAAGUUGUUGGCGCUUUGAUCUUCUGCAACAAUAGUAUCUUUCUGCUUUUCCUGUAAUGUAGCUAGUGUGCGAAUAACAUGGCUGUCAUAGUUGGACAAAGGAGUUUGCAUUUGAGUGGGCGUCAUGUGGUCUUCUUGAAAAGAUGGAAGUGGCUUUUGACUAAGGGCAAGAUUCAUAAAAUCAUGGGUUUUGUAAUGCUGAAUGAUCUAUGGAGAACGUUGCAAGGCUUCACAGUUAUAGACCUGGAGAAUGACUUCUUCCUGGUUAGAUUCAAGUCUGAGAUUGAUGCACAGUAUGCUCUCACACAAGGGCCUUGGACCAUUCUUGGCCAUUAUCUCACCGUACAACAGUGGACACCUCAUUUUGAUAGUUCUGAUGUCAAUAUUGAAAACAUUGUGGCUUGGAUUCGCAUACCGGGUAUGCCUCUACACUAUUACCAUAAAAGGAUCCUUCGCAUGAUUGGAAACGUCGUGGGAAAAGUGAUUAAAAUUGACUACAACACCGAGUCAGCAAGGAGGGGAAAGUUUGCUCGCAUUGCAGUGGAAAUUUCAUUAAAGAAGCCUCUCUGCUCACAAUUUUUUCUGGAUGGGAAGUUGCAAAAUAUUGAGUAUGAGAAUCUGCCUAUUAUUUGCUUUAAUUGUGGAAUUUACGGGCAUAAGAAUGAUGAUUGCCCACAGUCAAACACAUUGAAAAAUCCGACGGAGAGUUGUGAGAAUAAUGUUGCGGAGGAUAAUCCCGGUGGUGGGGAGGAAAAGUCAUCAUCUUCUGAAGUUCCGGUUAAUCCUAGUUUUGGUCCUUGGAUGAUCGUCAGCCGGAAAGGGAGGGGAAGAGUCAGCAAGGAAGGCGGCUACACAAAACAUUUCAACCGUUUCCGAGACGGCAAAAGUGAAGGGGGCUCUCGUUUCGAAGUUCUCGAGAAGGAGGAAACUGAAGAAAGAGAAAUUGCUCUCCCUCGAAACCAUAAUGUUUCCACAACCGAAAAUGAACAGCCAGUUACCCACUUUAAAUAUAAAACCAAAAGCAAUCCUAAAACCAACUCCACCAUGCAAAAACCAAGUGUCAACAAUGCCAAGCCCCAAUAUUUGAAUAUUGAACACUCUUUGUCCCCACCAGCUCCCAUGCAUGCAAGAGCACUACCACGUACCCUUUCAACUAACCAUGGACCCUCAACCGAUUUACCAGUUCCCACCACAGUCCCUACUAGCUUGGAUCCCGCAAAGCACACAGCCAUUAAAUUUAUUCCCCCAAGAGUUGAACCUUCAUCUCUAAAUGCAAUUAUUGAUACAUCUCAAUCCAAUUUGAGGCUUGCUGUCCCCACCAUCUAUUUCGGAGACCAUGACAAACCCCCUGAUGAUAAUUUGGCUAUGGACGAUAAUGAAGAGAAUAACCCGGAUGAUGGAAACUCAAUGGAUGAUGAUAGUGAGUAUGAUUCCGCUUCUGUUGAUAGCAGGGCCUCUUUGGAGGAGAAAGAUAACAUGGAAUGUUAAUGAUGUCUCGUAUGGCCAAUCCUUUGUCUUUUUUUUCCUUAAUGAUGAAUUUAUCUAUCCUUUUUUGGAACUGUCAAGGGGUAUCUUCAUCGGGUUUUAAAAGAACUUUUAAAACCAUGAGCAAGAUUUACAAACCUGAUAUUGUUGCUAUUUUGGAGCCUAAAGUCAGUGGGGCUAAAGCUGAUUAUUUUAUUAAAGGAAGUGGCUUUGAAUUCUCACAUAGAGUGGAGGCUGAGGGCUUUGCUGGGGGUAUUUGGAUAUUAUGGAAUAGAGGUUUCGCAAUGGAGUUUGUCGUUAACCACAAACAGUACAUUCAUUUUAAAGUUACAGACUUUUCUGGUAAUUGGUCAUGGGUCACUGCAGUAUAUGCCAGCCCCAAUCCCAGCCUUCAAAGGAAAUUUUGGAACGAGCUAGAGUCAAUAGCUAAAUCGAUAGAGGGACCUUGGAUGUUGGGUGGCGAUUUCAACUCAAUUCUUUAUGCUUCAGAGAAAAAAGGUGGCUCACCAAAAAGCAGUGGUAUUUGUAGAUCUUUCAAUAACUGGUUUCAUGACAAUCGCCUUAUAGAUUUGCAUUUUAAAGGGCCUUGCUUCACUUGGUCUAGAGGAACCCUAUUUAAAAGACUUGAUUGUGCCAUUUGUAAUGAUCAUUGGAAUAGUUUGUUCACAGAAGCUUCGGUCUUACAUCUCCCAAAAAUUCACUCUGAUCACCGUCCAAUUCUUGUCAGCUUCGACUCAAAUUUGAAUAGGAGGAAUGGUGUAAAACCAUUUCGUUUUUUAGCAGCAUGGCUAAUGGACCAUUCUUUUAUUUCUCUUGUUGCUAAAGAAUGGAGGGAUUCUGAGGGGUAUUUUCAAGCUGCUCAUGAGUUUGUGGAUAAAGUCAGCAAGUGGAAUAGAGAUAAUUUUGGGAAUAUUUUUAAAAGAAAAAGUAGAAUUCUUGCAAGAUUGAAUGGCAUUCAGAGAGCCCUGGAGUGGUUUGAUUCAAAAAGGCUUCUUCAACUAGAAUCCAAAUUGAAGACGGAACUUGAAAAUAUUUUAUCCCAAGAGGAAUUAUUAUGGUACCAAAAGUCAAGGCGUGAAUGGAUUGCUUGCGGGGAUAGAAACACAGCCUAUUUCCACAGUAAAACAAUUGCUAGAAGAAGAAGGAAUCGAGUGGAUGCUAUUCAAAAUAGCGAGGGCAAGUGGAUUUAUGACAAGGAAGAAAUUAAAACUCACGCCAUUGAUUUUUUCUCUAGACUUUUCAACUGUCAAGAUGAAGAGGUUCGAUUUUACUCCAUUGCAAAUGCCUUUCCAAAGAUUGAGGAAGACAGAAUAGCCGAUAUCUGCAGAACUGUUCAGAGAGAGGAAAUAAAAGCUACUAUUUUCGGAAUGAAACCAUUAAAGGCUCCAGGAAUUGAUGGACUCCAUGCUCUCUUUUAUCAGACACAAUGGAAUGUGGUUGGUGCUUCAGUUUGCGAUCUUGUGAGUAAUAUUUUUAAAGGCAAUCCCCUUCCCCUAGAACUGAACAGGACCCUUAUUGUCCUUAUCCCAAAAACCAAUAACCCCACCAACAUGAAAUUGUUUCGUCCUAUCAGCCUUUGUCCGGUUCUGUACAAAACAGUCACAAAAAUUUUGGCAAACCGGCUAAAGGAGAUUUUACCUGACUUGAUUGGUCCAACUCAAACUAGUUUCGUCCCCGGAAGGCAUAUCACAGAAAAUAUUGUCAUGGCGCAAGAAAUCAUCCACACAAUGAAAAAUAAAAGGGGUAAAGUUGGGCAGAUGGCUAUCAAAGUAGAUCUUGAGAAGGCUUAUGACAGGCUCCGAUGGGAUUUUAUUCAUGAUACUCUUAAAGAUGUUGGGUUGCCUCGGGAGUUUAUUCGAAUUACAAUGGAAUGCAUCACCACAGCUAGAAUGCAAAUCUUAUGGGAAGGGGAGCUCACUGAAGAAUUCACUCCUUCCAGAGGCAUCCGACAGGGAGACCCUCUUUCUCCUUACAUUUUUGUUCUUUGUAUUGAACGUCUUAGUCACGGAAUUAAUCAAGCAGUAUCUGACGGAAGAUGGUGCCCUAUACGUCUUUCACAUAAUGGUGUCCCUCUAACACAUCUCUUUUUUGCAGACGAUUUGCUCCUUAUGGCUGAGGCUUCUUGUAAUCAAGCCCAAGUUAUAAAUAAUGUACUUGACAAUUUCUGCAGCUGCUCAGGGGAGAUGGUUAGUAAACAGAAGACCCGUAUGUUUUUCUCCAAGAAUGUUGAAAAGGCUAUGGCAAGGAAAAUAAGCGAGUCUUUAGGUUUCUCUGCUACGGACAAUCUUGGCAAAUAUCUCGGAAUGCCGCUGCUUCAUAACAGAGUUACCAAAGCUACUUAUCAGGAGAUUGUGGACAAUGUUGAUAAAAAGCUGUCAGGGUGGAACUCAAUGCAUCUCUCUUUAGCUGGAAGAAUUACUCUUGCUCAAUCAGUUAUUCAAGCGGUUCCUAUUUUUGCCAUGCAAACGACAAGGAUUCCUCAGGGAGUGUUAGAUAAAAUUGAUCGGAUUUCUCGGAGAUUCAUUUGGGGAGGAAAUAAUGAAGACCGAAAAAUCAAUCUGCUUAAUUGGGAAAUGGUUUGUACACCGAAAUCUGGAGGUGGUCUUGGCUUGAAGAAUCUUUCUGAUAUGAAUAAUGCUCUGCUUAUGAAAAUUGGAUGGAAUAUGUUGGUUUCUCCUCACAGUUUAUGGGUUAAGAUUCUGAGAUCUAAAUAUGGGCUUAUCUCAGACUCUAUACCUAUAGCUAUUGACAAUAAGUGCAGUUCUUAUCUUUGGAAAAGCAUAAGCAGAAUCUGGGAUUAUGUGUUACGGGGCAUGAGAUGGACGAUUGGAGAUGGAAAUAAAAUUAACUUUUGGCAUCAGCAUUGGGUUUCAGAAGAAAUAAUUAUUGCAGAUUAUAUUACAAAGCCAAUUCCAACUGAGUUAAUAAAUAAACGAGUGGCUGAUUUUGUAAAUGCCGAGGGGCAAUGGAACUGGAACAUGAUUAGUACUUUUAUCCCCAAUCAAAUUCUUCUCCAAAUUGCAGCGGUCAAGCCCCCGUCUGAUGGCAAAUGCGAAGAUCUCCUAUAUUGGGCUCACUCAAAAACGGGCAGGUUCACAUCUAAAUCAGGUUACCUUUUUCUGAAUAAUUCCAAUUGCAGCAAAGAUGCUCAUUUCUGGAAAUUAAUUUGGCAAUGGAAAGGGUCCCAACGAGUUAAAAUUUUUUUAUGGUUGGUGAUGCAUGGAAAAAUUAAAACUAGAGAGGAGCUUUUUAAGAGGCAUAUUCUGGAUAAAAUGAAUUGUGAAAGAUGUGGCCAUGAGAGAGAAAACGUGAUGCAUGCACUUAGGGACUGUUUUGUUGCAAAGAGAAUAUGGAAUUGUUUAAUUCCAGUCAACUUUAGACAUCAUUUUUUCUCCUUUAAUCUUCGUGAUUGGCUCUGUUUCAACUUGGGAAAGACUGGUAUCAAUAAAGUGGGGAUGAAUGGGCAUGUUUAUUUGGAGUGGCUAUCUGGAAAAUUUGGUUUUGGCAUAAUCAAUUUCUUUUCUCACAAAAAUCCCCUUGCUGCACCCAUGUUGUUGCUGAAAUUAAAUCUUGGGCUCAAGACAUUCAAAAUGCACGAUCAACUCUUAGUUUCGGUCAGAGUAAUAUGAUCAUCAAAGAUGUUAGAUGGCAAGCUCCCCCUGAAUCUUUUUUCAAAUUAAAUACUGAUGGAUCACGAUUAAAGAAUGGUCUAGCCAGCGCUGGGGGCUUGGUGAGGGAUUGCUCUGGAAAGUGGCAGUUUGGCUUUGGCAUGAACAUUGGAUUUGGAUCGGUGACUACUGCAGAACUUUGGGGUCUUUUUCAAGGACUUAAUAUUGCUUGGGACCGUGGCAUUCGUUAUUUAAUUGCAGAGGUGGAUAGCCAAUGUGUUUCCCAACUUAUUUCCUCUACUAGCUUGAUGCCUAAUGCACAUUUUUCUCUCAUAACUGCCAUAAAGGAACUGAUGAAUAGACAAUGGCUCAUUACCAUAAAGCAUAUAUAUCGGGAAGCCAAUUUUGCUGCAGAUUCCAUGGCGAAACUUACUGGUUCCUUACCCCUUGGACUUCAUGUCUUUGAAAAUCCCCCGAGGGUCUUGGUUAUUGGUUAUGUAAUGAUAUAUAUGGGACCUCUAUUUCCCGUUCUGUUUUAGCCUAGUUUUACUAGGCUCCAAUGUAUAAAAAAAAAAAAAAUCAUGGGUUUUAAUUGAGUUAGGACAAUUUAGCCAUUCAUUAUAAAAUGGAAACGUUGUAAGUUGACUUGGUUCCUGCAUGCAUUCAACAAACUUAUUUUUGUUAGAAAACGGAAAAAUCGUUUCAUAAAAAAUGACAUGCCGAGAAAUAUAGACUCUUUUAGUCAUGGGAUUUAAGCAUCUAUAUCCUUUAUGUAAGGAACUAUAACCUAUAAAAAUACAUGGGAAAGUUUUUCCAUCAAAUUUUGUCUUGUUAUAGUUCCUUAAAUAAGGAUCAAAUUUUGUCUUGUUAUAGUUCCUUAAAUAAGGAAAACAUUUGCACCCAAUAACUUUAAUUCCAACAUAAUCAGGAGUCCUUUUAAAGAGUUUUUCAUAUGGACAUUUCAUUUCAAGUGUAGACAACGGCAUCCUAUUUAUCAAAUAAGUUGCGGCUACAAAAAUAUCUGCCCAAAGUUUGAGAGGAAGUGAGGCAUAGAACAUGAGAGUUAAGGCUGUUUCGGCAAUAUGCCUAUGUUUUCUCUCAGCAACUCCAUUCUGCUCUAGAGUAUAUGGGCAUGAUAUUUGUCAUAUGAUGCCUCAAUCAUCAAGAUGCUUUAUAAAAGCAUUAGAAGAAAAUUCUCCCCCUUCAUCACAUUAAAACACUUUAAUCUUUCUUUCAAAUUGUGUUUCCACCUGUUUCUGAAAUCGUAUGAAACAAUCAAAGAAGUUAGCUUUUCGUUGUAGUGGAAAUAGCCAGGAAAAUCUUGUAUGGUCAUCUAUAAAUAAUGCAUAAAAUCAAAAAUUUUGAUUAGAGUUAAUUGGAGCUGGACCCCAUAAAUCACAGUGUAUCUUAUGCAAAGGAACAACCGAGAUUUUAUUAGAAAUAGAAAAAGGAAUUUUAAAACUCUUUCCUAAUUGACAAGAUACACAAAUUUUGGGUAUUUUUGUCCAUUUGAAAAUAUUGAUUUUCCUAUUAUUAUAGAGAAUUUGUGGGACUUUAAUACUUGGAUGCCCAAGUCUCAUAUGCCACAAAUUUGAUUCUGCAGUAUUCCCUCUUAUUGCGCUUAGAGCUACUUUAUUUACUUCAUCCAGUGCAUAUAGGUUGCCUUUCUUAUGCCUCAUUGCUACCACUUGGUUUUGUUUGUUCUUGACAAAAAAAAACCAUCAUAAUUAAACACAAAAGAACAUUGAGAAUCAUUAGCAAGUUGUCCAACUGACAGGAGAUUUUUUUUUUUUUUUUUUGGAACCACAAGAACGUUUUUCAAAUGUAAAUCUCCAUAAUCAGUUUUUAAAGAGGUAUUACCAAUAUGAGAUAUUUGAAGACCUUGUCCAUUCUCUAUAAAGAUUUUAUUAUGGCCUUUGUAAGGAACGAUUGUCUUUAAUUUUCCUGGAUUGUUGAUUAUGUGAAAGGUUGCUCAUGAGUCAGCGUAAAUUUGAUCGUCAGUUUGGUUCGAGUUGACAGUCGCAAGGGCUUGUGGAACCUCAUCCUUAUAAUAUUUAUACAUGUCCCAACAAACAGCGGCUGAGUGACCUUUCUUACCACAGAUUUGACAAUAAAUCACAUUUUGCUGAUUUGUUUUGUUGGUUUCAAUAUUAUUUUUUGUCGUGGUUGAUGCUGCUGGUUGCUUUGAGCAUUUUUCGAUCCAUUAUUUUGUUGUGAACCUCUGCUGUGACCUCCAUGUCCGCCUCCCCUUUGAUUUCAGCCUCUCCCUCUUUGUCUAAAAAAGGCUUGAUUAUGAUCCAGAAUGGAUUUUUCUUCCUCCUUGUGAACAACAACAGUUUGCUCGUGUUUAUGAAGAGCAAGGAUGAAUUGCUUAAAGGUGGGCAGUAGUGGUUUAGCAAGCAUUGCCGUUUUGAAAUCGGCAUAUUUUGGACCAAGAGCUCUAGCAAUCUGGAAGACCUUGUCAUCGUCUGGGAUUGGUUUUCCUAUGGCAGCAAGGUUAUCACAAAGGUUCUUGAAUUUCCUUAGAAAUUCAUCAAUGGGUAUGUUGCCCUUCUUGAUUGAGUACAGGUUAUCUUUAAGUAGGGAUGGCAAUGGGGCAGAUAUGGGUUGGAUCUACUCUGCUCCAAAUCCAAAUCCAUAAUAAAAAUUAAGAUCCGUAUCUGCUCCAGAUCCGUUAUGAAUCCAUAUUUUUCGCUCCAUAUCCAGAUCCAAAAGAGAAAUAAAUAUCUAUAUCUGCUCCAAAUCCGAAAAAAAAUUAAUAUCCAAAUCUGCUCUAGAUCCGUCAUGAAUUCUAAAAUUCCGUAAUAAAAAAGUAAUAAUUUUUUAGAUUGAAAAUUGAAGGCUAAAAUGUAUUGAUAACAAAUAAAUUAUAUAAUUUUUCUCAAAAAUAUAAUAAAUAUUGUAGCUUAUACUUCUACACCAAAACAACAAAUAAGAAAGAUAAUAAAAUAUCAUUCAGAAAUAAUUGCAGGAGUAAGAUCAAUAUAAUAUUCUAUUGUCUCCUUCAUCAUUCUAGUAUCCACGAUAUACCUACCUCCAUUCCUACAACAUUAGAUAAUGACAUAUAAAUUAAAUAUAAUUUAUAUUCAGUUCUUUAUUAUUUUUAUUAUGACCAUAUUUGACUAAAUAUAUGAAUAUCUAUAUUCCUUAAAAAUUAUUUGGCCAAUAUGAUAAAAUAAAUUACCAGGUUAUAUUACUUGGAUUGCAAUUUGAAUAUUGCAUGUACAUGCUUUGAGGCUGGCUGACCUUUAAAUUUACAAAACUAACCUUUAAGUUUUAAGAGUUUAAAUUCAUGGUAAAUACUACUAAUAUGCUAUGAAUAAAAUUUAUUAUCAUUAUCAUUCCACAAUUAUUAAGAAACUUUUAAAAUAAAAUAAAAGUAAAAGAUGAGUGGAUAUGGAUAUGGAUUUAGAUAUUAAGAUAGAUCCAUAUCUGCUCCAGAUCCGUCUUAGAUCCGUACAUCGAUAUCCAAAUCCGAUCCAAAUCCAUUUUAAACCGACCCAAAUCCGAUCCGAUUGGAUUUGGAUCACAUGGAUCUUGGAUCAAAUCCAAUCCAUUGCCAUCCCUAUCUUUAAGCCAUGAUUCUUGCUCUUUGGUAGCUGGCAAAAUUUGCUCUUCAAUAGAUAACCAAACUUCAAGAGAAGUUUCUCCUCCAAUAAUUAAACUUAGAACAUCUUCACAUAUCAUCCCUCUUAACCAUGUCAUAAGUAAUCCAUCAUUAUUUUUCCAAGACAAAAAUUCAGGAUUACUAACUCUCUUUUCCAGCUAUAUUUAUCAUCUUUGGUGGAGUUGCCUCAUCAUGAAUAUGAUGUUCUAGGCCAAGGCUUCUUAUAAGAGGAAGCACUUGUGACCUCCAGAGAAGAAAAUUAUUCAUCGAAAGCUUGAUAGAUAUUAGGCUAGAGCAUUGGUGGAAGGAUUGGAUGGUGAGUUUGGGUUCAAUUUAAAAGGUGUUAGCCAUAGCUAGCUCUGAUACCAUAAAGAAAUAAUAUGCAAGAUAAUUGCAAAAGAAAUAUGUUAUUGCACACACCUUAGUGAUGAUUACAAUUCUAAUUUAUAUACAAAGAGAAGGUUUCAACUAGGAAAGGACAUAAUUACGUCAGUUUAGGAACCUUAUAUUAAAAUGAUUAAAUUAUGGAAUAUUAUGACCGUUUGAGAGCUUGCCAAGGAGUCCUUAAUAUAAGUAACUUUGAUGAGAUGAUUUUAUUGAUUGAAGAUAAGAUUUAUAAUUUGUUGGCUGAUCUGUUGGCAUUAACGAGUGAUAAUCUGUUGGCUGAUCUUUUGGCAUUAACGAAGGAAUCUUAUCACUUUCUUUCCUUCUUAGUCCUACCGGCAAGGCUUACGUUAAUAUUAAUUUCUUUCUCGAUUCAUUUACUUCUUCAACCAUGGUACCACAACUUCCAAAGGGCUAGUCAAGAAUUAUAUAUCAUAACCUCGAAACAGCACUUAAAAAAGCAGUAUGUUUUUCCUUGAAUCAGUAAGCCAGUGACUAGACUAUCAGUAUGGCAAUGGUGACAUUAUGCUGAGACAAGCAUGCAAUUAAGGAUAUUUAAUUUUAAGUAGUAAGGAAAAAAAUUAGAGCAACAACAAAAAUUUAAUAAAAUGAAAGGAAUGGAGCUGGAAGAUUUUAGCAAAAAACCACAUAGCUACUUCCAUAUUAUUUGGCAAACAAAUGAAGAAUGAAGCAUUAGGUAAACUGAUAUUGUUGAUGUUGAAUUUUGGUCAGGUUGCGUAGCGACCAGACAAUCAUGCCAACACUUAAAUUUGUAGUUGUUGGGGAGACGGUCCUGUUCUUCUUUCUUUCUUUCUUAUCGAACGGGCUCUUGCAACCUCGAACUCUUCCUCCUAAGACACCUUUGUUCACAACAACCAGUUAGGGAACGCCGGAGGUUUUUCCAACAUAAACUCUCCGACGCUCAAAUCAAUGAUCUGGGUUUACUUAGAAAAACUUGUGCCACCAAUCACGUGACCUAAUUACAACUGUUUUAAAUAAAAAGAAUUAAUUUUGAGGAAGAAAGUAAGAUAAUUGAGAGAAAUUGAAAAAUAGAGGGAGAGUAAGUUCUAGAGAAUCAAGUAACAUAAUGUAUAAUCCUUUUACCUUAGUCAUCUGUAUCUUAUAUGCCAAACUAGUGUUAUCGGCUUCCUCUCCCCCACGAUCAUUGUUGGCUCAGAAGUGCAAUCAUGGGUAAAUAGAAAGUGUGUAACCGUUGAUGAGUGGGCAGUGUAAUUGCUAGUAAAUGGGCUUCGUACCUGGAUUCUUCGUGGGUACAUGUUGGUCGCCCCUUUGAUUAGGUCUUUGAAUUGACUUGACUCGUCCUCUCCUCGAAAGUACCUUAGCUAACCACAUAUACUCGACUAGUUGUUCCCCUUCUCAAGGAAUUGUUACCGUGGAGAGCACAUUAUGCUUGAGUGAAUAUUCAACAAUUGCCUCUUUAUCAGCCAAAUACCAGUCCUCCAGUUUCUAGUGCUGAGAGUGAAACGAAUCAAAACUAAAAACUUAAUAAACUUCAUUGACCAGUCUAGCUGCUCGACUCUUAUAAUAGGAGGCUGAUAAAAGUAUUUUUCACUUUCCUGACUGGUGGGCAUAUAUUCACUCAAGUGGUCGCAUUGAUUUAAAUACAUGCGCUGUGGCACACGUUGGGGUAGGCAUUUAAAUUUCGAACGAGCAGUUAUAGCACCCUCGAGGCACACGUUCUUAAAUGACACACUGAUUAAAACCUUCCAUUUUCUCAAAAUUCCUAAUUUCCCAAAUCACUUCAUCUUUCUCAUAUUUCUCUUUCGCUUUUUCCAAUUACCAAGCCAUUUUAUCUAACCGGGGAACAAGCCGUAAAUGUUGCCUUAGUUCUAAUCUUUCCUCGUCUCAGGUAUUGUUUUUUUUUUUUUGGCACUUCAACACUGGGAAUUUUAUUAUUUUUCCUUGGCUUUGCCAGUCUUUUGGUACUAGCUUUAGGCUUAUUUGAAAAAUGUCAAACAGUAGAGAGAAAGUGAAUGAGAUUGAUGAUGAUGAACUAUAGUUUUUUCCUAGUUUAUUUAGGAAACCUGUUUUCGUCCCGAAAAUUCCCCUAGAAUCUAUAGGUGAUAUCAGUGUUAGAGACAACAUUAGGAGGAUGUCUCCUGAGGCUUCAACCUCAUCUAGAGAAAAUGAGUUGAACAACAUUGAUUCUAGUGAGGUCUCUAAUACAGAGCAGACUUUGAGUGAGAGUCAGGUGAGAGCUCUAUAGAAUGAGAGUUAUCAUGGUAGUUUUAGACUUAAAUCAAUAAUACUUAGAGAGUAAAUGAUGUGUUUUUAUCGCAUUUUACUUACAUUUUGCAUGAGCAUCCAUUUUAUUUUAUUUUCAAUAAAUUGAAUUUGUUUUCGAUCAUCUUGUGCUUAGAUUAUGUGCAUGAUUGUAUGUAACUACAAAGCUCAAUUUUCGGGGAUGGAAAGCGGCUACAACACACCUGCAAAGAUGGCAGAAUAACUUGGCUGCAGAAGAAGUAAAACAAGUUUGAAAUUGUGAAGAUGCUGUAGCCGUUGGUGUAACAAUCUUGGAGCAAUGACAGACUGAAUUUUGUGCGAAAUAACUAACAGAUUGCGAUCUAAAGUUACCAAAAAUGGAGGAUGUGCGCCACAUGCUUUCGGUUGCCCUAUUUCAUUCAAAUGAAAAAAAUUUUAAACAAACUUCAGAUAUAAAAACAAACAAGCAAAAAUACCAAAACAUCUUAACUUAAGUCAAACUAAAACUUUAGACACACAAGUCCUAAGUAUCAAAACUGAGUAAUCAUAGCAUUAUUGUUUCUUUUAAUUAAAUUAUUAAGGUUAUAAUAGGAAUUUUAAAAAGGUGUGAUGGCUUAUUUAAUAAGUUGUUUAUAAAAAAAAAAAAAAAAACCUUUUAUCUAUUUUUAAAAGUUUCAGUCAAAUUACAAAAACUUAUGAAAUAAAUAGUUUUUAAAAAAUUUACCAAAUACUAUUUUUUUCAAAAACUUAUGAAAUAAAUCGCUUAUAGCAUUUCAACCUUAAUCUCAAGAGGAGCCUUAAUCUCUUUUUUUUUAUCCUUAAAGAUUGAGUGUGAAGAAACCACAAAUAACUGAAGAGGAUUAACUAACAGUAUUUAAUUAACAAACCAACAUAUGAGGUUUGUUUCAAAAAAGUAUUCAAGAAGAUUGAGCAUAAUCAUGAGUAACUUAAACAACAAACUGAUAUUUAGUGACUCACAAUAAUUUGAGAGAGAAAAAAGAAGACUAUGCCUUCGCCAUAUGAAUUCUUAAUAUUAAGUAAUAAUAGCAUGGCACUUCGAAUUCGAUAUGAAAAUUGUCAGUGUUUUUUUUUUCAAAAUAUUUGAUUAUGUAUUGAAGCAGUAGUAUGAGAUAAAGAAGGGAUAUUCCGAGUUUAUCUUACCUAUUGGAGGCCUAUUGCAGCGCCACACACCUUUUUCACGCCACAAGGUUCUUAACAACUAACAAGAUUUAUGGUAUGAAAGAGUACGAAAAAAAAAAAAAAAAAGAAGAUUAUUUUUUAUUUAUUUCUUUUUUAUUUUGAUUUGAAAAAAAAAAAAGAAACUUUGGGAUUGCUAAAUCACAAAAGAAAUAAAUAUAUAAAGCAACGGAGCCAUCAUAGUAUUUUUGAACUCCUCAAAAAAAAAAGAAGGGUGGUAAUUGGAUCAUUUACCCAUCUGGGUAUUAAUUAUUUAGUUUAAGGAAAAUAACAUACAUAGAUGUGAACAAGAAAAUAUAUUAUAUAUAUAAUUGAAGUAAACCGACAUGCACUCACACAAUUGACAUGUAAUACGACUCAUUGUAUCCUUUUAUAUAAUAAAAUAUAACACAAAAGAAUAGCACUCAACUUAACCAGACUCGUCACGAUUUCUCUCAAGAUUCUCAUUUGCCUCCCCAUCAUCAAUUAUACAACCAUGAAAUAAAGGAGUAAUGCUAAUCUCCGAGCAUUAAAAAUUUCAAAUCCUUAUUCAUAAAUGCAUGUAUUUAUAUAUGAAUUAUAAAAGGAAUUCAAAACUUAACUUGUCCCAAUGAAAUACCUGUGAUAUACAACAUAAUAUAUAGACAGUAGAAGCCGACAUGAAACACAUAACAUGUCACUGGAAAUAAUUUAUGAUAUAAAAAUACAUAUAAAUUCAAGUAGCUCUGGGGGACAACGGGUAAGUUGAUGAUCAUAGUCGGAACGAUGUACAAGUUGAUGGUUGCGAACUUUUUGAAAAUUUAUGAAAUAUAAGGAAAAAAAAAUUAAGGAAACUAGUCAUUUGUGAUACAUUUCGGUGGCCUUAAAUUAAAUUUUCAAGAAAACUCGUAACUUGUAAAAUAUCACGGCAAUUACAAACUAAAAUGUUGGUUCCGCCCACCGAUAUGUAAUUGUAGAUUGGUAAAAGACGGAUUAACAGCUAUCGUUCAAUUACGCAGAGGUCCAAUGGAUCACUGAUUAACCAAUAAUGCAGUGAAGUUCCGAAUAAUAAUUGUGAAUGGGUGCCCACUAUUGCCAUGCAGAUGCUUCAGGUGCAUUAAUAAAAUAAGGAGGAUCACAUUAGGAAUCUUGAGAUAUGAUCUUAAAGCUUCUCAAUUAAAUCAAUUAUGAGCCACCUUUGCCAUUAUUUCAUGUAAAUAUGGUAAAUAUCACGGCCAUUGACAUGAUAUUGCAAAUAUGAGGAAAAAACCUCAAAUCAUGGUGAUUGAUACGUUCCUUUUACGUUAUCAACUUUCUUGUAUAACUUGGUCUUUGAGCUCGCCACUUGAAUAAUACGAGAGUGGAUUUACAUUUUCGAUAUCGUUUGCCUAUAGUUUUCACACUUAGAAUACUGUUUCACUGAAGAGACCUAUUGAAAAUUCUAAAAAUAAGUUUUUACUCAACAUACUUUCUUAGAAAUAAAAAAAUUAUCCUAAAUUAAAUCUCUUUUCACUUUACAUUUAUAUUCUCUCUCGACAACCAACUAACAAUUGAUCAAAAUUAAAAAAUAAAUUAUGAAAUAAGAAUUAAAAUUUAUUCAAUAAUAGACGAUGAGUAAUUUUUCAUGCAUCUUAAUUAAUCAGCGUGGCUAUUAGAGGAUACUCACUUCAACAAAUUUUUCAUCAAUACUCUAUUAUCAUGAACCAAAAGUUAAUUAGACAAUUUGUUUUUUGUUCUUGUGAAGCCGAAAGUUAGUUAAAUUCUGUUUAGUUACUGAUUAGGUGGCACGGUGAAUCAGCUUAUUGUGGGCAGCAUGUGGUAAAUUCAUUAUGACUAGGAGUUGUAUAAAACACUGAGGAGAGGUUGAUCACGGGGCAUUCUUUUCGAUUGAGUUUAGUGGCUAAUACUGAGAGUUAGGAUUCUUGGUUAAAAGAGAUUUGUUCUUUGUCACUUGUAGUCUCGUUGUAAUCAAUCUUAAGCAAUAAAGCUUUUCUUUUUGGAGUUUGGUUUAUCUCUGUUCUUGUUUUUGUUUGGCCAAAUCUUGGUUUAUCUCUGUUCAUCUUUUUCUUAACAAUCUGGUAUUAGAGCUGAUAAGCUCUCUGUUCUUGAUCUUCAAGAAUGGCAGCCACUAGAUUUGAUCUUGAAAAGUUUAAUGGUGAAAACGAUUUCUACUUAUGGAGUCUGAAAAUGAGAGCCAUCUUGAUUCAACAGGGCUUAGAUAGUGCCCUCAAUGAUGAUGAAGAAUCAAAGUCCAAGAAAGAAAAGGGGGAAGGUUCGUCAGGUUCAGAUGGAGACUUGAGGACCAUAAACAACAAAGCUCACAGCACAAUUAUACUCCACCUAUUUGAUGAGGUGUUGAGAGAAGUAGCCAAAGAGAAGACUGCCUCUGGGUUGUGGGCGAAGUUGGAAGAAAUUUUCUUAAAGAAAUCUAUGGCUAAAAGAUUAUACAUAAAAAGGAAGCUCUACACAUUUUCAAUAAAGGAGGGGACAAUCAUGAAGGAUCAUCUUGAUGAGUUAAAUAAACUGAUACUCAAUUUUGAAAAUGUCAUCAUCAUACUUGAUGAUGAAGAUAUGGCUCUUAUCCUGUUAAGCUCAUUACCAGACACCUAUGAACAUUUCGUGGACACUUUGCUCUGUGGAAGACAAACUCUCACCUUGAAAGAUGUCAAGAAUGCUCUUGAAUCAAAAGACUUGAAAAUGAGAGCAGAUGGCAAGGAUCAUAGUGCUAGGGAUGGAUUAGUUACCAAAGCAAAGACAGAGAAAAAGGUGAACAAAGACAAGAAGAACAAAAAUCAGAAAGAAAAGACUGACAAGAAGAAGAAGAAAAGGAAAUGCUACUUAUGUCAAAAGGAAGGGCAUUAUAUAAAAGAUUGUUUUGAAAAAAAGAAGCUUGAAAAGUUACAGAAAGAAUCAAGUGGGAAAGCUGAUGUUGUAUUUGUAGAUGAAGGAGAAUCAGAAGAUGCGGAUGUUCUUAUUGCAACAGAUAAGAAAUCUUCUGGUGAGUGGAUACUUGACUCAGGGUGUUCUUUCCAUAUGUGCCCACAUAAAGAUUUCUUUGUGACUUUUGAAAAUGUUUGAUGGUGGUAAAGUUUUGCUUGGGAAUAAUCUAGCCUAUAAAGUUGCUGGAAUAGGGUCUGUUAUUAUUAAAAUGUAUGAUGGUACAGUCAGAAGCUUGGAACAAGUAAGAUAUGUUCCAGAGCUUAAAAGAAACCUCAUAUCUUUAGGAAUGAUAGACCAAUUGGGCUGCUGUAUAAGGGCUGAAAAUGGUAACUUCAGAUCCUUAAAGGUGGUACAGUCAUAAUGAAAUAUAGUAGGAGAAAUGGAUUGUAUGUGCUUAAUGGCUCAGUUGUGUUACCUGAUGUUAUUACCAAUGUAAGUAAUGAUAAAACCAGGCUUUGGCACAUGAGACUAGCACACAUGAGUGAGAAAGGAUUAAAAGAGUUGAGUAAACAAGGAUUACUAGGAACUGACCAAAUUUCAGCACUUGAAUUAUGUGAAAAGUGUGUGUUUGGUAAAGCAACUAGGCAGAAGUUUAAUCUAGGAAAACAAGAGACUAAAAAUACAAUGGAUUAUAUCCAUUCAGACCUGUGGGGGCCCUCUCAGGUUCUUUCUCAUGGAGAAGCCAAAUACUUCAUUACUUUUAUUGAUGACUUUUCAAGGAAAGUCUGGGUAUAUUACUGAAGCAGAAGAGUGAGGCUUUUGAAAAGUUUAAAAAAUGACUGACUUUAAUGGAAAAUCAAACAAAGAGGAGGGUGGAGAGGCUAAGAACAGAUAAUAGGCUCAAGUAUUGCUGCAAUGAUUUUGAUCAACUCUGCAUCAAGAAGGGGAUAGUCAGGCACAAAACUGCAAGGCACAGACCUCAGCAAAAUGGGUUAGCCAAAAGGAUGAAUAGGACAUUAGUUGAAAAGGUAAGGUGCAUGUUGUUUAAUGCAAACCUUUCAAAACACUUCUGGGCAGAAGCUGUUACUACUGCAACUUACUUGGUCAAUAAGAGCCCUUCAGCAGCCCUGCAUUUCAAGACUCCUUAGGGAGUUUGGUCAGGAAAGCCUCCCGAUCUUAGCAACCUCAUGGUUUUUGGCUGCCUUACUUAUGCUCACUAAACCAGGGAAAGUUAGAGCCAAAAGCUGUUAAGGGUUACUUCAUAGGAUAUCCAGAGGGUGUCAAAUGAUAUAAGCUCUGGUGCAUAGAUGGCAAACCUACAAGAACUCUUAUUAGUCGAGAUGUUAUGUUUGAUGAAGAGCCUAUGCAGCAUCAGAGGGUAGAAACAGAGCUUAUUACACAUGAUUCAAAUGAGGAUAAGGAAUACAACUUUGAGGUGGAGUCAAGUGAAGAUAAAAAAGCUGCAGAAAGGGAUUCCAAGUCUUAUCAGAAAACACACAUCACUUCUCAAACACAUGAUUAUCAGCUUACAAGAGACAGGGAAAGGAGAGUCAUUAAGUUACCCAAAAGGUAUGGCAUAGUUGAUAUGCUCUCUUAUGUUGUGGCAGUAAUUGAGGAAGUUAUUGGUGAAGAGCCUAUAAACUACAAACAAGCUACGAGCAGUAAAAUAGAGCAAAAUGGCUGGAUGCCAUGAAUGAAGAAAUCAUCUCACUAAAGAAGAAUAACACAUGGAUUUUGGUCAAGAAAUCUCAAGAUAAAAGACUGAUAGUGAGCCUUUUAUCUUGACGUUGAUGAUGAGCCUCAAGAUAAAACCUCAAGAUGCAAAUGGAUCUAUAAAAUUAAAGAAGGGACUGCUGAUGGUGAGCCUCCCAGGUAUAAGGCAAGACUUGUAGCAAAGGGGUUCACACAAAAACAUGGAGUGGACUUUAAUGAGGUAUUCUCCCCUGUUGUCAAAUAUAGUUCCAUAAGAGUUCUACUAGCAAUAACAUCAUUCAAAGACCUGGAAUUGGAUCAAAUGGAUGUAAAGACUGCCUUCUUACAUGGGAGUCUUGAAGAAGAAAUUCUUAUGGAUCAGCUUGAGGGGUUCAUUGAAGAAGGGACUCAAGAUAUGGUAUGCUUGUUGAAGAGGAACUUGUAUGGGCUGAAAUAGUCUCCAAGGCAGUGGUAUUUGAGGUUCGAUGAGUUCAUGAUCAGCCAUGGAUAUUACAGAAGCCAAUAUGAUAGCCGUCUGUAUUUUAAAACUUUAUCUUCUGGAGAUGGUAUUUAUCUCCUUCUUUAUGUUGAUGACAUGCUUAUUACAUGCAAAAGGAGAGAGAUUGAAAGGCUAAAAAUGGAGUUGAAUUCUGCAUUUGAAAUGAAAUAUCUGGGGACUGCUAUAAGAAUUUUGGGAAUGCAAAUUGUGAAGGACAGAAAUUCGAGAACCUUGUUUCUUACUCAAGCUGUGUAUGUUAAAAGGGUCCUUAGCAAAUUUGAGAUGAGUGGUGCAAAGCCUGUGUCAGUACCUCUGUCAGCACACUUCAGAUUGUCAAAGCUUCAGGAACCAAAAGAGGAUCAAGACCUUGAGUAUAUGAAGACAGUGCCCUAUUCAAGUGCAGUUGGUAGCAUUAUGUAUUCUAUGGUUUGUACAAGACCUGACGUAGAUCAUGGUGGUUGUUAGUAGGUUUAUGGGGAAUUCAGGAAGGGAACAUUAGAAUGUUGUUAAGUGGUUGUUAAGGUAUCUGGACAAGAGAAGGUCCAUUACAUGAUAUGUUUUCAUUUUAAAUGGAGGGGCAGUGAGUUGGAAAACAUCUCUUCAGUCGGUGGUUGCUUUAUCCACAACUGAGGCUGAGUACAUUGCAUUGACAGAAGCAGUAAAAGAGGCAAAGUGGCUAAGUGGAUUAGUUUUUGAGUUUGGGUUGAAGCAGGAUUCGGUUUGCAUUGGUUGUGACAGCUCCAGUGCAAUUCAGCUCAGUAAGAAUCCUAAAUAUCAUGAAAGGACAAAACACAUUGAUGUUAGGUUGCAUUUUGUCAGGGAUGAAAUUGCAAAUGGUGUAGUUAAUGUUGUCAAGGUUCCUACUCAGACUAAUCCAACAGAUAUUUUAACUAAAGCAGUCCCUACAGUCAAGUUUAGAAACUCUCUGAACUUGAUUGGUGUUGAUAGCUUGUAAACCAAGUUAGUAGUUGUUGAAGAGGUAGGUGAAGCUGUUUCAGAAUGAACUAAGGUGGAAAUUUGUGAAGCUGAAAGUUAGUUACAUUCUAUUUAGUUACUGAUGAGGUGGCAUGGUGAGUCAGCUUAUUGUGUGCCAGUAUGUGGUAAAUUCGUUAUGACCAGGAGUUGUAUAAAACACAAAGGAGAGGCUGAUCACGGAGCAUUCUUUUCGAUUGAGUUUAGUGGCUACUACUGAGAGUUAGGAUUCUUGGUAAAAAGAGAUUUGUUCUCUAUCACUUGUAGUCUCGCUGUAAUCAAUCUUAAGCAAUAAAGCUUUACACCCAUUUGGGUUCUUCAGCCGUGGAUGUAGGUACCUUGGCACCGAACCACGUAAUUCUUCUUCAUUGUUUUCUUUUUGGUGUUUGGUUUAUCUCUAUUCUUGUUUUUGUUUGGCCAAAUCUUGGUUAUUAAUCAAGCGCCAUUUUCAUCUUUUUCUUAACAGUUCUCAUAAAUAUCAAUGAAGUUGGAAAAGAAUUCAGAGAUCAAAUGAAUAGUUUGUUCUUAACUUGCUAGUAUAACACCUUAAGUAAGAGAAAAAUGAGUUAAUGCCUUUCUUGCUACAGAUAAAAGUGGUAGGAUUUCUUGGAAUCCAUUAAAUCUAACUUAAAUGAAAAUAGAUGAAAACUCUUUUAUGUUACACAGAAUUGUCCUUUACAAUAAUUUAUAUAUUAUGUAUUCAAAGAAUUUAACUUUUUAAAAAAAAUUGAAUUUUUAAAAUAAUUUUUCAAAUACAAAUAAUCCCACCAAUAAAAUAAUUCAUGUACCAAUCAAGGAUAAACAUAAAUUAUUUGGCUGUAGCAUUAAAUUAUAGAAAUGGCAUUUUUCAGAAAAAGAAAUUAUUGAAAUGAUGGACUCCUUGCAGUCAGUGAUACAAUUGUCAUAAUUGUUUUGCACGAUAGUAGGGUACGACUUUUUAAUGAGUUUUUAAUUUUUUUUCCCUCACAUACCGAGAGAACAAUAAUGUAGUAGUCACUUUGGCUGAUUUUAGUAUCAAUUGUCACAAUUUAGCUGAUGGAGCUCACCGCCAGUUGAAACUGGAAGCAAGGUUAGUACCAAUCUCAUUUUUUUUAUUGAUUGAGAGUGAAGAAACUGCAUCAUUGGAGGAAUCACUAACACUAUUUAAAUUAGUAAAUGCAGUUUGUAGCAAAAGGUAUUUAAGAAGAGAGAGCAUAAUCCUGAUUAAUUUGAAUAACAAACUGACACACAGCAGUUUUAUUUAUUUAGUUCAAAGAAAACAAAGUUCAUAGAUGUGAACAAGAAAAUCUCUUAUAUAUUCUAAGAGAUCUUAUUAUUCGGAAUGAAGCAAACCGAAAUGCACUCACACAAUUUACUGGCUAUGGUGCCCAUGACAUCCUUUUACUUUAACACUGCACUUAACCAGAUUCAUCAGGGUUUCUUCCAUAUUGAGGGGCUACAAGGAGAUCAAGAUUGUUAUUUCCAAUCCCAUCAUCAAUCAUACAGCCAUGAAAUGGAGCGAUGCUAGCCUCCAACCAUUCCUUAUUGGCUGAAAAUUUCAAAUCAGAAAACCUGUUCGUAACGGCAUAUAUUAAUGUAAGAAUUAUAAAUGGAAUUCAACUUAAUAUGGCCUGAUGAAUUACCUGCAUAAACAGUCUCCAUGUUCUUCAAAUCAGAAAAUAUCUCUGCUAGCUUCUGCACAAGUAAUUAAGGAGCGUUUGCUAGUCUUUUGAUUGUGGUUGCUUCCGGUGUGGUAUAACACAAUAUAUACACGGGUAGCCGACAUGAAGCUAUAUAAUAUAUGAUUGGCAAUUGUUUAUAAUUUGAAAAUACAUAUAAAUUCAAGUAGCCAUCGGUGGCAACGGGGUUAGUGGAUGAGGGAUCGACGGCUGAUGCUUGAUUGUUGAGUGGUAGAAGACGGAUUAAGGUCUAUAGUUCAAUUACGUAAAUAACCUGAGAGCUUGCAUGGGACCGAUGGCUGACUGAUUAAGCAAUAAUUGUAGUUAUGUACAUGAUAAUAAUUGUGAAUGGGUGGCCACUACUGCCAUGCCGAUGCUUCAGGUGCAUUUGAAAAAACUAGGAGGAUCACAUAAGGAUCCUUGAGAUAUGAUUUUGAAGCUUUUCAAUUAAGUCAAUUAUGAGCCAAGAUCUUUGCCAUUAUUUCAUGAAAAUAUGGUAAAUAUCAUGGCCAUCAUAGUUUUGCAAAAUAUGGGGGAAAAAAAUCCUCAGAGCCUUCUUGUAUAAAUUGGUCUUUAACUUGAGCAUUCGCAUUUCUAUAUUGUCUAUCUGGCAGACGUUUUGGCUGAUUUCGGUGUUGGUUGUCAUCAUUUAGCUGGUAGAACUCACCACCGAUGGAGAUUCAAAAUCUUAUUUCUAAAUAUCUCACUGAUUUUAUUCAUUUUUACUAUUGGCUUUCAUCUAUCUUUUUGUUGAUUCUUUUCGAAUGUAGAUGAGUAAGUUACUUUAUUACGUCCCUUGACUUGUGUUGGCUUUGUUUUUUUAUGCAAAUAAAGUUUCCCUCGCUUCGUACUUUAUUACGUGGGAUAGACUUUAUGACCAUCGUUUGAGCCAAUUAAGAAAUACUGCAUCAGUUGGUAUUCAAACUAAGUAUAGUAUUAUCGUUUGCUACGUUGCAUCAAUUUUAUAAAAAUUAAAUAUAAAAUAAUUCAUACAGUAGUCGAGUAUGAACAUAAAUUAAUUUUGAUGUAGCAUUAAAUUAUUGAAAUAAUGUUAUUUAGAAAAAGAAACUAUUAAAACGUUGGACUCAUUGCAAACGAUGAUACAAUUGUCGUAAGCUUUUUGCAUGACAGUAGGGUAUGAAUUUUUAUUUUUCCUUCAUCUACAGAUAGAACAAUAAUGUAGCAAUCACUUUGGCUAAUUUAGUUGUCGGUUUGUCGUAAUUUAGCUCGUGGAGCUCACCGCUAUCGGAGAUUGGAAGCUUUAUUAAUAAAUAUGCUAAUGGUUUCCCCCAACUAUAGAUUUUAUAGGCUUUUUUCUUGUUUGCUUUCGGUUCUCAUUUAUCUUUUUUGGUUGCCUCUUUCACAGAGCCUUGAAUCUUUUUUAUUUUACCACCGGGCAUUCUUUUGGAGGUAAGGUUUAUUUCGUCCACCUGAUUUGUAUUGGCUUUUUUUUUGCUUUUUAUAUAAAUAAAGUUUUCCGUAAUUUGCCAUGGUUAAUUUCUUUUAAAAAAUUAUUUUUUAAUAAAAUUAUUUAAUACAAAAAUACUCAUGAUAUGAUUUAUUACUAGUCUACUUUAAGUAAAUAAAACAUAAUUAUUUUAAACGCUCAUAUAAUUAGUAAAUUCGAUCUUUGAAUAUAUAAACAAUCUUCUAUCUUAAACCCUAAAACUUUUACAAAUAUUUGCAAACAAGAUAUUACGUACCCUUUUGAUUCAGUAAAUAAACUUUUAUUAAUUACUCCAAUCAAUUUUCAGCUUAAUGACAUCUAGCAAUCUGCUAUUACGUUGGCCAAAUCUGGUGCUGAAUCGUUAACUUUAAUGAUUUCUUCCUAUGCUUCUUCUAUUUAAGUAAUAUUUUUAUGGCACUUUCACAUAGAGCUUCUACUUCACUUAACUUGCAGCUUGAUUUCACGACUAAUUUUUAAAAUUGAAGCUGUGUCAGGGCUAGAUAAAUAAUAAGUUUGAAAUUUUCUUCUUUGUUUGUUCAAGAAAAUGAGUUUUUUUUUUCGAACUUGAUGGAUUUGAUUAAGUACAUAAAAUACUUUCUACAAAAAGAAUUGAAGAUGUCUUGUUCUUCUUUUUUUUUUCUUCUUUUUUAUAAUUUUCAUGAGCAAGAAAAUCUUAAUUUACAUAAACUUUAAUUCUUAAAUUAUGAUUUUCACAUCAUUAUAAUUGAAAGAAAACAUACUUUGAUCCAUAACAAAAUUUUUAUCAAGUUUCACCAUAAUAAUUAAAGAUUUAGCAACAUUGAUUUCUUUCUCUUAAUCCUUUUAGAAUGACUCACUUUUCUAAUAAAUAAAAAAUUAACUUGAUAUACAGUGGAGAGAGAAUCAAUUUCAAUAAAACUCUUAUUCUCACUUUCUAUGAAAGUGGACAUUUAGAUUUUUUCAAUUGAUCAAUAAAAUUUCAGUCCGUUAUUCCUUUAUUUUAUUAUUUAAAUUUCAAUUAUAACCCAUUCAAUAUUGUGGCACAUGGGCCACUACUACAGCAACAUAACGUGGGAGCUUGCGCGGGUCCAAUGGCUCACUGAUUAGCCAAUGAUUGCAGUUAAGUACAUUAUAAUAAUUGUGAAUGGCAGGCACUGCUGCUAUGCGGAUGCUUCAGGUGCACUUGUAAAACAAUUCAUACACCGGUCGGGUAUAAACAUAAAUAAAUUAUUUGGGCUGUAGCGUUAAGUUAUUGAAACGAUGGACAAUGCCCUAAAUUAUAUCUAGCACUAUAUAUAUAGUGUCAGCGCCAACGACGCUAGAUUAAUUUGAUCUCCACUGCCCCAAAUUUUGUUUCUGAAAUGGAAAAUGUUAUUUGUACUUGACAUUCUCUCACAAAAUUUUAUAUGGCAGAUAAAAUGAAGAUACCUGUAUAUAAAAAUAAAAUUUAUAAAGUGAAUGAAUUUGUUAUUCGUUAUUUUUAAUGAUUCUGAUUCGUUGUUUUAAUGAUUCUGUGCAAUUUUAUGGGCAGUAUCAUCUGUAAAUAUCAUUAUUAUUUUGAGAUUCCAUCACUUCAAAAUUUGAAUCAUCGAUUCUUCACUUCCAAACCAGCUAGAUUAAGUAAAGUAUAUCUAAAGACUAUGUGUAAAGAUAAAUACAAUUAAAUUCUAACUACGUUAGAAAAGCUCCAACUUAAAGUUUGUUUUUCUACGGUCACUAUUUUUUAUUUUUUAUUUUUUAGUUUUGAAUAAGGUUUUGAUGUCCACCCUGAUUGUAAUAUCAUUUUUUUCUUUAAUUUUAUUUCCUCUCACUUGUGAGGUCCCAAAAAAAGAAAAAACUAUAAUACCUACUAGUUUUCCAAAUUUUUUUAUAGGUAUUAUUGCUCUUAAUUGUACAAUGAGGAGGAUGCUUUAUACUCCAAAAUUAAUUUUGAAUACUCUUAUUUUAAUAAAAUAAUUUAAUACAAAAAUACUCAUGAUAUGAUUUAUUAUUAAUCUACUUUAAGUAAAUAAAACAUAAUUACUUUAAACGCUCAUAUAAUUAAUAAACUCGAUCAUUCAAUAUGUAAACAUUAAUCUACCCUAAACCCUAAAACUUUUAUAAAUAUUUGCAAAGAAGCUCUUACGUACCAUUUUGAUUCAGCAAACAGACAUCUAGCAAUCUGCUAUUACGUUGGCAAAAUCUGGUGAUGAUUCGUUAACUUUAAUGAUUUCUUCCUAUAAUUGGUUUCAUCUCAUGCAUUUAUGCUUCCUCUAUUUAAGUAAUAUUUUUAGGAUCCCUCUAAGUUACAUGCAUGUACCUUACAACCCUCUCACAUAUAUAGUGAAUGGAUACUAUUCAUGUGAGAGGAUUGUAAGGUACAUGCAUGUAACUUAGCAUUAGCCAUAUUUUUAUGGCACUUUCACAUAGAGCUUCUACUUCACUUAACUUGCAGCUUGAUUUCACGACUAAUUUUUAAAAAUGAAGCUGAGUCAUGGUUAAAUAAAUAAUAAGUUUGGAAUUUAAAUUAUAUUCUUUGCUUGUUCAAGAAAAUGAGUUUCUUUUUUUUAUCCGAACUUGAUGGAUUUGAUUAAGUACAUGAAAUAUUUCUACAAAAAGAAUUGAAGAUGUCUUCUUCUUCUUCUUUUUUUUCUUUUAGUGAAUUGAGUAUUUUUUUUAUAGGUGUAUAUAGUAAAUAAAUGAAAAUUAGUUUAAAAGGUUUGACAGAGUGUAAAAAAUAAAAAUUAUUUUUAAAAAAAAUAUGUAGAUGAGUGUUCAAAAUAAUAAAAUAUUCAAACUAAUUUUUAGAGUGAAAAUAAUCUUGUCUUUAUAUUAUAUAGUAUGAGAAACAUUAAAGACUAUGUAACUAUGAAAGGUAAAAGAAAUAUUUUUAUUAGGGUGAAUUUUUAUAUCAUGAUGGUUGAUUUUUUUUUUUUUUUUUAAUAUAGCAUGGUGGUUGAUUUUAAUUUUGGGUUUUAAACAUUUCAAGCAGGGUAUUUAAAAAGUAAAUUUGGAAUGGGGUGCUAUAAGGACUUCAAAAGGGUGUUAAAAGCUUCACCCAGUGGCAAAUCAGGCCGAUUCCAAACCAACGUACUAAGCCCAUUUGGGUGGGAUGUGACCUGUGAUCGGGUUUAAAUUGGACGUGGCUUUUAAUAGAUUAAAGAAAGAUUUCAAUUCAGUGCAGUACAACGUACGUUGUUAUGAUUUAAGCUCGUUGACUUUUAAGAUAGACCGCAUGGUGAUUGGGAUGGUUAAACGAGCUCACUUUGUAAUUGCCCGGUAGCUUCAUUUGUGCUUGGGAAAUGGGAGGUUGGCAAACCCGGAUCCGGCGCCUUUUGGAAACGGAUCAUAGCUCCGUGUUAACUUUCGUUGACUACACAUUGACUGAGCUCAUAUGGACCCGUUUAUUUCAUUGACUUUGAGUUUUUUAAGGGCUUUGCCACGUGUCUGUGUGCUUUCAUUAAAUUUUUAGCCGUCUUUUUUAAUUAACUUUAUUUAUUUAUUAAACUAACUGGAAUUGCUCUGUUCUUUUUUUCUUCCUAACUAAUUAAUAUCGAUCUCUUGGGACCUAAACUGCCACAGGAUGUUUGAGACUCAAAUCUUUGUAUGGUUUUGAUUUAUACAUAUAAUAUUGAAAAAGGAAGAUGCCUUUAAUUUUGCUUAAUUCACUGUUAUGCUCUUACUAGUUGAAAUUAAUUUGGUAUUGUGGGGGCGUUUUUACAUUGCACAAUGGCCAAGGAACAAUUACAUUGCAUGUUAAUUAAGCUAUUCAAAAAUUGAAAGAGGCAGUGAUAUAUAAUUAAAUGCCGUAACCAUGACAUUAUUGAUAAUGAAAUUUGGCCUCGUGCACCGAUGCAAGGUGAUGAUGCAAACUCUUGAUUACUAAUACAUAUGGUGCAAUAAUUUAUUCCAUUACAAAUUUAACUUCAAAUCUGCUGCCGCAUACAGCUACUCUGAUUUGGUUAAUUAAUUAAAAUUAACUUGGUAUUUAGGCUGCUUAUCUGGGGCAAAAAGUCCCCAAUGCCUCUCAAUCUCAUCUUCCUUUUUAUCCAUUCUCAUCAAACAUAGUAAAAAUGUAAGUCUCAAUAGGCCUUGGCUUCUUUGGUGACCCUUGCUUCACAUGCUGUAUCAAGUUAUUAUUAUAAGUCUUUGCAUUAUCAACGUUCGUUAACGCUCCGUCACCACCUGCCGCCGGCCACCCACUCUCCGAUAUCACAAUAUCCAACGAGCCCCCACAGGCUUUUCCAAUGCAGCAUAAGUACUAGCAUCAAACUGGGCAUCAAAAAGAUUCAGGUAACUUAACGGAGGGUUAGAAACAACCGGUUGUUCUGCCCUAAAUAGUGCAAAAUCAAGAGAUAUAUUACAGUCACCAGCAACGGGGAAUUGUUUUCGUUAAGGAAGGUAAUGAGGGGAUCGAGAAUUGUUUUCGUUAAGGAAGGAAUUGCUUAAAGGAGCCAGCUGACGGCGGAGAGAAUGCAUCAAGAACUCCCAAUUCAAUUGCAGUGGAAACUUUGAUUUGGCUUCCAAGGUUAGCUCCGUUAAUGGCGUUUUGUAUGUUUCUCAUGGUGGGUACAAGAUACUGCGCAAAGUCGUCUCCUGGUUUUGCUUCAUUUCCUACAGCAAUGCAUUUGAACUUGACAUUGUUAACAAAAUUUUGGACGUUCUCUUGGACCCAGGUAUUUGCUUCGGCUUGAGUGGAAGAGAUUCUUCGAAGGUCAUCGUUAGGAAGGCCUAGCAUGACUUCAAUGUUGGAGCCACGGAACGCUUCGAGUGCUUCUCUGUUUGGAUCAUAAAGUCUCAUUCUUCUGAUGUUGUUUUGGUUGUAAAGAGCUAUGACAUCUGGUUUUUUUUUUUUUUUUUGUUUUAACCACGAGGUAUCCUGGGGAGGGCCCCAACUGUGGGAGGCGCCUUUAAACCUGUACCACAACUCAGAAUAGAAGUCUCCGCUCGAACCGAGAGGCACAGGUUCUCCCAACAAAGGCGACUUCCCUGCGACUCGAACUGGGAAGCAAACCCAGUCACGCCACUUAAGAAGACUCCAUUGCCAGUGGAGCCAACACUUUGUUGGUAGCUAUGACAUCUGGUUUUGAUGGUAAGUUGUCACCAACCAUUCCAUAACAAACACCUAUUUCAGCACCUGCAUUAUAUAUCUAUGAAUAAUAUUAAUUCAUAGAGAUAUAUAUAGGUGGUGAAAAUGAUCAAAGACGGUGUUGAUUUCAGUAAAUUAAUCAUUUAGCACCUCAUGUUCAAAAUCCGUCUUUUAGAAAUUUCUAUUAAUUUUUAGCUUGUUUUGUCUAUUUUACAAACUACUUAUGAUGUGGUAAAACACUAAAACUCAAAAUUGAUUUUGAUGUCUUUUUUUUUUUUUUUUUUUAAAUAAUGUGAGGGGUGGACAGAAGUCAAAUUAAUAAAUCUCUUUUAGGUUUCGAACUGAGUAGUUAGUAAAAAAAACUACUUAAAAAAAUCAUUCGGUCAAGUAUGGUUUUGAUGAAUUUUACAGCAUGGAGGAAAUAAUUAAUUUUUGAUGAAGAACAUGGAGAUUUUGAUCAUUUUCUCGAGAAAGAUAUGUACAUACUUCUUGUGUGUAAGGUAGCCAUUAGCAGUCCAAGAAGUAACAUGAUCACGGAAGCCAUUGAAGGGGUAUUGGGAGAGUUAAAGAAUUUAGCCAUGCGUGGAGAAAAAUGAAAAUGCAGAAGUGUGAUAUACCAACAACAUUUCGUAGCAGCCGUUUCAUAGAGGAAAAUCAUGACGAUGUCUAUGAACCAUAUUGGAAGGCAAAAAAAGCCAAAAAAAAAAAUAAAUACAUAAAAGAAUUCCUCAUUGAUAAUAAAUAAAACUUGAACAUUUUAAAAUAAAUUAAUUCGACAGCUUGUCUUCCCGGUUAUUUAAAAAGUCUGAGGCUAAUUUAAUUUCUUGCUGCAUAUCACUAUCUUUUGCCCGUGCCCUAAUGCUGCAAUUUUUUCCUAUCCAUGGUUGCGGUGUUUAUAUUAAUUACCCGAAGUAUACAACACGGUUAUUCUUUUAUUAAUAUGCGUCAGAAAGUGGAACAAGUCUUGAUUAGAUUUUAUCAUCGACGUGGUCAUGCAACUAUCCAAUUAUAUAAUUUUACAUGUUAUAUGUAUCUCAUUCGUGUAUUAUUAAUGUACUUUAUUUUAUGUGUUAUUUGUAUGGUUGGUUACAUUUAUAACAACUAAUUUAUAUAAAAAAUGAUAAUAUUAAGGUUACUAUUAUAAUAAAAGUGCAUAUAUUUCAUUCCAAAAUUAGUAUUACUUAUCAUUUUAUUAGGGAAUGAAGACAUAAUUUUAAUUAAGGGCAAUUUACUAAUUUAAAAAAUUAAUCCCAAUUACAAGACAAAGUAAGUAUAUUAAUGGAAAUACAGUUCAUUUCAAUUUCAGUUCAUAUAACUCCAUUAAACAACUUAUACUGAUGCUAAUCAUUUCAAUUCCAAUUAUUCCAAUUACUGCAUAUAUGAAAUCCAAAGAAGGAAACUCACUAUUUUUAUGUUUCAUAGCACUUUUGAUCGUUAGAAUCAUCUUAAACCUAAAACACAUCAAUAGGGUAAGUGCUCAUCCUCAUAGACAUGCGUGAAUGGCGAAUUAAUUAAACAACAAAUUAAUAUAUUACAGCCACCAAGACACUCCCAAAAUGAGAACGUACUUCACUACUACAUAUUUUCAUAAUUUUAGAUAGCAUUUACAUUUUAGAUUGGAGCGGAAAUUCUGAGAAGUUGAAAUCCUAGAAUUAAGAGUGUGGAGUAGGAGCGAGAGUAAGUUGUUUACUUACAUUGGGAUGGGAGCAUAGAAUUGAAAUCAGAAUCCAAUUUAUAUGUUUACAUAGUCUUAAAUUGAGAAUAAAUAAUUUCAAAUUACAGUUUUAUCUUUAUUUGAAGAAUUGUACUUUUUAAGUACAAAAAUAUUAGAAAAUAUAUUAGAAAAAUAAAAUAUUUAUUUUAUUAUGUUUGUAAAUUAAUAAUUAUUAUUAAUAUUCUUAAUUACAUAAAUCACAAUUUUUAUUAAUUUUAAUUUUAAUUAUGUAAAUAAGAAAUUAUUAUUAAGAGCAACACAAAUGAAACAUUGUUAUUAAUAAUAUAAUACAAAAUUAAUAUUUUCUUAGAAUAAAAUAUUGAUUAUUAUUAAUUACUAAUAUUAAAUAAAUAUAAUACUAUUAUUUUUAAAUAAAUAUAAUAAUAUUAUAUUUUCAAAUAGAAAUAGUAUAUAGUAAUAUUAUUAAUUCUCUAUAAGUAUCAUAAUAUUAUUAUAUUAUUUUAUAAAUUUUAUUUAAAUGAAUAUGAUAUUAUGAAUUUAAUUUUAUUAAAUUAUUAAAAAUUAUUUAUUUUAUUUUAUUAAAUAUAUAAGGGUAAAAAAGAAUCCACUCCCCACUCCAAAAAAGGUAGGCCCCAUAGAGUGAGAUUUCCACUCUCCCUUAAAAUUGGCAAACACUGGAGUGGAGGAAUCUAAACUCUUCACACCCACUUCAGGAAGUAAACACUAUAUUAAUAUAUUGAUCUUUUUUUAGGUACAAUAAGUAGUAGUAGUAGUAGUAGUAAUAAUAAUAAUUAUUAUUUAAUAUUUAAAUAGGGUAAAAAAAAAGAAAUUUUGAUUUUCUUUAAAGUUAACAAUGUCAAUUCAUUUUCUAUUUCUAGUAUCUAUUUUCAUUCUCACUUCCCCAUGAAAAUGGAAAUGAAAUUUCCAUUCCAAAAUAUGUUGAUCCCAUUCAAAAUCUAUUCUCAUUCUUUUAUAUUUUUAGUAACUAAACACAAAUAAUCAUUCUGAUUCCCCUUUCAAUUCCCAACAGUCAAGCUACCUUUUCUUUGGGGUGGGCUAAUUUUUUUUCUAAUUAAAUGCUUUUCUAUUGUAGAGAGAAUUUAUUAAUAAGAAAUUAAAGAUAUAUCUAAUUAAGGACAUAAUAAGUCUUAAUCCUAAAGAUAUUUAUUCUACACAAAUGAAAUUAUUGAAGUAAGAUGCAUGCAAAAAAAAGAGUAAUAACAAUAAUAAUAAAAAUACGAUGUAAAUUAGAAAAACACUAUUGAAGUUGUCUCCUGCGAUUCUUCAAAAAAUAUAUAUAUUAUUGAAUAUAGAUCAAUACUAUCAGUAAUUUCUCUUUCAAUAUACAGAAUCAUUCAAUCUUAAAGAUAUUCAUUCUCUAUUUUAUUUCAAUUUGUUAUCUUAAUAAGUUCCAUAAAAGAAAUGCUCUCUCUAUUAUUGUUGUUGAAACAAGAAGUGUUUAUGAAAGCCAUGGGAUUUGGAGAGGAUAAACGUUUAUUCUUCAUAAUUUUAUUUUUUAUAUAUUUUAUUUUUCAUUGAGAAAUAUCCGGGAUAUAUAAAAUGGACCAAAAUUAAUUGGAGUUAAAGAAGAUGCCAAGUGUUUGGCAACUCAAUCCCAAUUGAGUGCGACUUGUUAUCAUGUCUUAUGGAAAAUAGAACACUCAAAUUUGUUAGGUGUCAUCAUCGACCUUAUGCAUAGAUGGAUGUUAAUAUCAAUGUCAAGUCUAAUUAAAAGUAAUCUAUUUAGAUUUUCAGUAUUAUGAGCUUUAAUGUAUCUAAUAGGGUGUGGGCCUUUAAUGUGUAGAAACUUAAUAUUAUUUUAAUUCUAUGAUGGGCAGAUUUAGGAAUAUCCAAUGACAAUAGGAAAAGAUUGUUUAUAUAAGUGGUUAUAGUCCCUAGGUCACACAUAUCUGUCUAUUCUCUAUUGACAUCCCACCAUCAGAGAGAAAACGUAAAGAGAAUUAAAGAACUCUCUAGAAGAAUGUGUAGAUGUGGAAGGCCAACCACACAACUCUAGAAAGCAAUUCACCCUUAUGGAUUCAGGUACACUUCAGCAUAAUUUUGUUAUUGAUUCUUAGUGAUAUAAUAUGAAUGUUCCUCGACUAUAGGUGAUGGUUUUCACCAAAGGUUUUUCUUAUUUCCAACAAAUGGUAUCAGAGCAUUUUUAUGUUGAAUCAUUGAGAAUCAAAUUUAUCUUUGAUUAUUUAUUAAAUCUUUGGUAUUCUCGAAUUUAAUAAUACUAGAAUUAUUAAAAUUAUUGAAUUUGAGAACAAAUAUGCAAUUGUUUUUCUAGAAUUUUUUAAAUUCGAAUUUACAGUUUAAAAUUAAAAAAUUCAAUUUUUAAAAAUUCGGUUUAAGGUUUAAAGCUGGCGGCAGCCCAGCCACCAUCGGCAUCGACGCCAGGGCGGUGAUAGUCAGGUUGAGUCGUGGCUGAAGGCAGCGGCAGAAGGUAAAAGGCUGCCGCAUCAAGGAAGAAGAAAGAGAUUAAAAAGAGGAAAUAAAAAAAUGAGAUGGUGGUCAAGUUCUUUUUUUUUUUUUUUUUUGCUAGGAAUGGCGCGAUCAUCAGGUCGCGUCAUCAAGCAAGCCACAACCUGGUGGCUGCGGCAGCUUAGGUGAGAGCGGCUGCCAUGGCCGCCGCCUAAGCUAGGAGAAGGAAAAAUGCAAAAGUGAAAUUAGGGUUUUAUGGUUUAUAUCAUGUAGGUCCCUCAGGUUUUAUAGAAUUUGUUUACGGUAAAAUAGUUUUGAAGUUUCUCAUUUAAGCACUAAAUUUGUUUGGGCUUAUUGAAACUAAAUUUUGGGCAUAAUAUAUUGGGCUUGAUGGAUUAAAAUUAACGUUUGGUUGAUAUUAGCCUAUCAAAAUUAAUGUUACGUUUAGCCCAUUGAGAAAAAAAAAAAAAAAAAGAAAGGUUGGUUUGAUUUGUGGGCUGUUUCAGGAUGAGGUUCGGGUACCAGUAAACGAUUAUUGGUCAAUGGUCAACAUUGAUGUUGAAUUUGAUCGGUGACCAAAUUUUGACUUUUUAAAUUUUUUUUAGAUAAUCUUUUGUGCAAUUUUAAAUUCAAAUAUCGGUAGGUUUAUAUGCAUUUUGAGAUAAAUUAAUUGAAGCGACAUGUCACCAAAGUGACCUCUCUUAUGAAAAUUAAUAUAUUUUUAAAUAUAAAUGGUUUUGUACAAAUAAUUUAUGUUAAUAUCGAUCGGCCCACCGGAAGGUCUAUAUUUAAUAUAAUUACAUGUACAUUGUGAUGAUUAUUCGGUUUUACAUGCGAGCAAUAAAUAAGCCCAAAGAAAGAUUCAUUGUUUGACAUGUUCUUAUUAUCAGUGUUUGAUUACUACAUCAAGAUAUUACUUACGAAUUAAUAUUUUGUCCAAAGACGAAAUAUUAAUGAAGUGCUCGAUAUCUUGAGAUGGGUUUAUCUUUAUUUGAAUUUAAUUUUUUAAGACUAAGAUAAGCCUAUUUGGUUUGUUUGUUGUUCUUUGUUCAGUUAUGUCUAUUGCUAAUAUUACUGCCAACAUUAAUUUUAUUCCUAUGCUAAAUGGCCCCAACUUCAAAUCAUGGGAAGGGAACUUUUUAAUUGUACUCGCAGUCAUGGAUUUUUACCUUGCGUUAAGGGUUGAUUCUCCACCACCUCUUAAGGAUGAAAAUACCAUUGAUGAUAAAAGGGAUAUGGAAAGGUAGGAGAGAUCAAAUCGCACGUGUAUUAUGAUCAUGAGUAAGGCCAUUAUGGAACCAUUCAGGACUCUAUGUCUGCAAGGAUAACUACGAUUAAAGAGUUUCUUAUAGAAAUUGAAAAUUGAUUUGUCAAGAACGAAAGGGCAAAAAUGAGCACACUCUUGACAAAUCUGAUUUCAAUAAAGAAUAAGGGCAAGGAUAAGGGUUAAAAAAAAAGAAUGGGAAUAAGGAAGCUGCAGAUACAACACCUGAAAAGAAACAACAAAAGAAACUGGAUGAUCGAGAAGCUACUAGUUGUUUCUUUUACGGAAUUGAAGGGCAUGAUUUGGUUUGUUUUAAGGUUAAUUUAACUUUGGUACCUAGACACACGUGGUGGAUAGAUUUUGGUGCAACCACUCACAUCAGUGUAUCUAUGCAAGGUUGCUUGAAUUGCCAAAAGCCCAAUGAUGGUGAAAGAUACAUUUAUCUGGGUGAUGGUAGGAAGUUUGAAGUUGAAGCAAUUAGAAAAUUUAGAUUAUUAUUAAAGACAAGAUUUUAUUUGGAUCUUGAUGAAACAUUUAUUAUUCCGUCUUUUAGAUAGAACUUGAUUUUCAUUUUUGUUUUGGGCAAAAAUGGUUAUUCUUGUCCAUUUGGAAACGAAAAAUUAAGUUUGUUUCAUGAUUCAAAAACUAGUUACUUAUGGUUUUUUGUUAGGAAGUGGUAAUCUUUAUAUGCUUGAUGUGAUUGCUUCAUUUAAUGAAUUAUUGCAAUUAAGUACAUGAGGUUUAAAGAGAAAAUUAACCAAUGAGAAUUCAGCUGUGUUAUGACAUAAAAGAUUGGGUCAUAUCUCCAUAUGGAGAAUAGAGAGAUUUGUGCCACACGAAAUUUUUGAUCCCUUAGAUUUCACAGAUUUUAAUAAAUGUGUUAACUAUAUCAAAGGGAAACAAACCAAUAAAAGGAUAUUUAAAGCCAACAGGACUUUGGCCAUCUUAAAACUCAUUUAUAAAGACAUUUGUGGGCCAUUUCCUAUAGUAGCUUGGAAUGGUAAAAAAUAUUUUAUGACGUUCAUAGACUAUUUUUGUAGAUAUGACUACAUAUAUCUCCUCCAUGAAAAGUCACAGUCCUUAGAUUUGUUCAAAAUCUUUAAGGUUGAAGUUGAAAACCAAAUCAUCAAAAGAAUCAAAAGCGUCAGGUCUGACUGUGGUGGUGAACACUAUGACAGAUAUAAUGGUUCAGGUGAACAAUGUCCAGGACCAUUUGCUAAAUUUCUAUAGGAAUGCGAUAUCGUCCCACAGUACUCUAUGCCGGGUUUGCUCACUAUGAAUGGUGUUGCUGAAAGAAAAAACAUGAUGCUUAAAGAUAUGGUGAGGAGUAUGAUUUGUCAUUCUAUCUUACCAGAAUACUCUGGGGAGAAGCCUUUAAGAUUGCAGCAUAUAUCCUUAGUAGAAUUCUGGUGCACGAUUUCUUACGUUAUAGGUGUCAAUGUGCAAGUGUACACAACAAGUAAUAUAAUGAUAAUUAUUCGAGAUCAUCUCUACAGGGAUUGAUGUUAUUAGAUUUGCUAUAACAAUCUUAACAGUGCAAUUUUACUUUAAUUGAAAAUAAAACACUUAAUAAAACUAAUAAGCCAAUUAAAAUAAAAAUGCAACAAAUAAAAAUGCAGUAAAGUAAAUUAUCACGUCACACGUAAAGAAGAAACUAAUGGAAUAAACUAGUUGAGUGAUUAAACUCUUUUAAUGGUCUUGACUAUUUCUUCUAAUUUUCAGUUCGGUUGUUGUAGCAUUUGCUACCGCACUGAUAGAAUCCUUAUGUAUCUUCAGCUGUCACAUGUUGGAUGUCUUAUAUUUUUAUACAACCUAACAAUGACCAAUUGUUAUGCCAACACAAGAUAUAAUAUUACACGUUUAGGUUCUAUUUACCCUACAAGAUGAAUCCCUAUGUCUAGUUCAUCAUUAAUCUUAGAUUAAAUAUGACCCUUUUGGAAUUAAGUAAAACUUAGUCCAAGAAAUUCAAUAUAGAACCAAGUAUUGCUCUUAUAUGUUAUACUAAAAUAUACCAUUUUAUAGUCAUCUCUUAGCUAGUAUCAUUAAAUGGGUGGUCAACCAAAAUAAUGAAUUCCAAUUAAGGAGACUACCAAAACCCCUUAUCAGGUUUAGAUAGGCAAGAAGCCUAGUCUAAAGCACUUGCAUGUUUGAGAAUGUCCAGUUGAGACAAGGCUUUAUAGGCUUAAUGAGAAGAAAAUGGACUCAAGAAUGGUGAGUUAAUAUUUUAUUGGGCACUCAGAACGAUCCGGGGGUACAAAUUUUAUGAUCCCACGACUAAGUCGAUUUUCAAGUUGGGAAAUGCUCGGUUCUUCGAGGAUGUCGAGUUUGCGGGGUAGAUACAGCUAGAGACUUUGUCUUUGAAGAUGAAUAUGUUAAUAUUCCUAUAGGUGUUAUUUGCAUUGAUCGGGGUCUCAUUCUUGACUUUGUUCAAAACAUAACAGAUCAGGAUAAUAUUGGAGAAUCCUAAACUUUACUAUCUCAAGAACCUAUGCCAUUAAGGAGAUUUAUAGGGAAAGGAGAAGUGCAUUGCCAGAUGAUUACAUCAUAUUUCUCUAAGAACAUGCGGUAGACAUUAAAAUGAUGGAAAAUGAUCCAAUUAAUUUUCGUCAAGCCAUGAUGCCAUAAAUGAAGAGAUGAAGUCCAUAAAGGACAAUGACAUAUAGGAUCUUAUCCCAUUAUUAGAAGGUACAAAAUCUAUUAGUUGCAAAUAGAUAUUUAAGACCAAGAGAAAUUCGAAAGGCAAUGUGGAGAGGUACAAGGCGCGUCUUGUCGCCAAGGGCUUUACACAGAAAGAAGGCAUCGACUAUAAAGAGACUUUCUUUCCGGUUUAUUCGAAAGACUCUUUGAGUAUUAUAAUGGCAUUGAUGGUGUAUUUCGAUAUUGUGUAACAUCAUAUGGAUGUAAAGACGACGUUUCUCAAUGGUGACAUUAAUGAGACAAUCUAUAUAGUGCAACCAGAAAACUUUGUCCAGAGACCCAAAGAAUAUAGUUUGCAAAUUUAAGAAAUUAGCUAUGGGCUUAAACAUGCAUCUCAACAAUGGUAUUUCAACUUUCAUCAAGUGAUCAUCUCAUUCAGUUUUGAAAUGAAUUUAGUCGAUGAUUGCAUAUACCAUAAGUUCUAUAGGAGCAAAUAUAUUUUUCUAGUUUUAUAUAUCGAUGACGUUUUGCUUAUCAGUAGCGAUAUAGGCUUGUUGCACGACACCAAGAGAUUUCUAACUAAGAAUUUUGAGAUGAAAGAUCUUGGUGACGCCUCUUUUGUAUUAGGCAUACAAAUACACUAGGAUCGCCCCUAGGGUAUUCUUGGAUUAUCUUAAAAGAGCUAUAUUGAUGGCAUGCAAAAUUACAAAUGAGGUAAUACCCCUAUGACUAAGGAAGACAAGUUUAGUCUCAAUCAGUGCCCCAAGAAUGAUUUUGAGGAAAAGGAAAUGCAAAUAAUUCCUUAUGCGUCAACAAUAGAAAGUUUGAUAUAUGCUCAAGUUUGUACGUGAUCGGAUAUUGAGUACGUCAUUGGGAUGUUUAGAAGAUAUUUAAGUAAUCAGGAAUAGACCAUUGGAAAGCAACUAACCAGGUCUUACAGUACUUACAGAGAACGAAAGAUUACAAGCUCACAUAUUAGAGGUCAGAUCAACUUGAAAUCAUUGGGUUUACUAACUCUGAUUUUUUUGGAUGCUAAGAUAGUAUGAAAUUCACUUCGGGUUACAUCUAUCUACUAUUUGGGGGUGCUGUCUCUUGGAAGAGUGCUAAAUAGUCUUUUAUAUCCUCUUCUAUAAUGGCAACAAAGUUCAUAGAAUGUUAUGAUGCAUUUAAUCACGGAAUAUGGAUACAAAUUUUGUCACGGGGCUGCUGAAAUAUAAGUGUGCAACCCAAGAGGGGGGUGAAUUGAUAUUUUAAAAUUAUCCUAACAAAGCCACACAACAAUCCAAUCUAACGCCUUAAUAAAAUCGAAAGCAAUAAGUUCAAUAAAAGCACAAUAACAAAUAAGUACGGGAGAAGAGAAACAAACACACGAAUUUUUACGUGGUUCGGCAAUCCCCGCCUACGUCCACGCCUCCAAGCGAUCCAAGCUUGAGAAUUUCACUAUCCGAGCCUUUCCAAGGCUUCAAACGUUUACAAUUGACUUUAAGGUGUCAAUGAACCUUUACAACAAAGAGAUUCUCUCCCAAUCUCUUCACUCAAGUGUAUCACACACUCAAACACUUACAAUUAAGAUGAAUAAAUGAAAAUUACAACAAAACUCACUCAAAGAGUAGAUAUUCAAGAUGAAGAACAAGAGAUGAUUCAAUGUUUUAUGAUUUGCGAAUUGAGAGCUCAAGAUAUCUUGUGUGCUUUUUGUUUAUGCUUGCUAGAGAGCUUGAAAAUGAAUUGGAUUUGAGUUUAUAUAGUUUGACCCAAAAAACUAGCCGUUAUGUACAUUUUGGUCAUAACCAGCUUACCGUUUAUGGAAUCCAGUUAGCCGCUUUUAUGUUACCGUUAAGGCAAAAAUUUGAAUUUCAGAAUAUCCAACAUGCCGCUUUUCAUAUCCGAUUAGCCGCUUUUGAAAUCCGGAUAGCCGCUUGCGAAAUCUGGAUAGCCGUUUAUGCUUCAGAAGCUUACUGCCCAAAAUCCAAAUUGUCGCUUACCAUAUCCGGUUAGCCGCUUCCUACAGUAACUGCUACAGUGAAAUAUUUUGUAAAUUUAUAGUUUGACCCUAAAACUUUAUAAAACUAUUUUAUAGCUCAAAACGUUAUGAAAUCUUUCAAAUAGGUCCAAUUUCAGAAUUUCUAAAUAAUGUUUUGUCAAUCCCAAAACUUUCUAAAAUUAUGAUUUCACCCAAGUUAUGUGAAAUUAUAGAAUGACCUAAAAUAUUUAAAUAGUUUCAAAUAGGUCCAAAUCUGAAAUUUUAAAACAAUAUCAAAGUUUUUAAAAUACUUUCAUUUUAGUCCUAAACCCUUUAAUUCCAUAACAUCAUUUUCUUAUUAUAAAAGCACAAUUUAUAAAUCUUUGUUUAAUCAACAAAUGUGGUUUGUUAUCAUCAAAAUCAAUAUUUAUAACCAUAUAGGCUAACAACUGCAUAUAGUAGAUAAUGUUGAUAGACUACUCAAAUUAUUUUGUGACAAUAAGUCAGCAGUGCUGUAUUCCAAUAACAACAGGAGCUCAACAAAGUCAAAGUAUAUAGACAUCAAGUUCCUAGCUGUUAAAGAAAAAGUUCAGAGUGGACAGUUGUCUAUUGAGCACAUCGACAUAGACUUCAUGAUUGCAGAUCUAUUUACUAAGGGAUUGCCCCUCAAGAUGUUUCAUGAGCACACUGCUCAUAUGGGUGUCAUGUCAUUAAAGGAUAAUCAAUUUUAGUGGGAAUUUUUUUAUUUUAGAUGCUCUUAUAAUAUAGACAUUUUUAGUUAUUUUAGUUUAUGGAUAUUUCAGGUUAUUUUCUACAGAAAUAAAGUUUUGGUUUAUUCACACUCUGAUUUUGGUAUGAUUUGAUCUUAGUAAAGUAUAAGGUGAACCAGUUGGAAAUAGGCAUGUUAAGAUCACAUUGCAUGAAAUUUCCAUGCUACACAUCCACAUUAUGAUCCAUGUCAUUUAGUCCUAUUGGCAUAGCGACCAUUGAUGGGUUGAGUGACAAUAAUUGUAGCGAAGGCCAAUUUAAUUCUAUGUUGGUAUGAUUGAUGGACCGGAUUGGUUACAUAUACAUUAUGGUAAUGGUAGUAAGGUUGAGCUAAUAUGAUUAUUUUUGUAAAAUAUAAUUAUAAGGUUACACAUAUAGCCCAAGUGGGAGAUUGUUAGAUUUUUUAAUCCAAUAUUGUUGGAUUCUUAAUCCAACAUUGGGCUUAUAUGUAAAUAAUUAUGUGUUGUAGAUUUUCAUAUAAGGUUAACCUCAAUUAAAAGUUAUCUAUUUGGAUUUUCGGUAUUAUGGGCUUUAAUGCAUAUAAUAGGGUGUGAGCCUUCAAUGUGUAGAGACCUAAUAGUAUUCUAAUUUUAUAAUGGAUAGAAUUAGGAAUACCCAGUGACAAUAGGAACAAGUUGUCUAUAUAAGUGGUUAUCGUCCCCAAAUUACACGUAUCUUUGUAUUCUCUAUUGACAUUAUCAUCAGAGAGAAAUGACUCUCUAGGAAAAUGUGAAUAUCUGGAAGGUCAACCACACAACCCCAUAGAGCAAGUCAGGGUUAUGGAUUUAGGUACACUUCUGCAUAAUGUAGUUAUUAAUUCUUGGUGAUACAACAUGAAUGUUCCUGGAUUAUAGAUGUUGAGUGUUAGACAAUGUAUAUUUAUAAAGGAGAAAAUCGUCAUUUUACAUUUCAAGUCUUACUAACAACCCUUACUUUUAUGUAUUUAAGGUUCUUGUAAUUUAAUUAUGUGUGUUUUAUUUUAAUUAAGUAUUUUGUGUAUUUUAAGGGCAUCAUAGUUUUUUCACAAUAAAUGAGAGAUCAAACGGCAAAACGGACAUCACUUUUAAACUCAGGACGGUCGAAAACCUUAGGAGGAGCAUAAAAGAAAAAAUGGCACUGUUCACAUGUACGGUACUAUUCACAUGUACGGUAUUGUCUACAUUACUGUUCACGAUACUGUUCACAUAGACGGAUCGAUGACGUGGCAUUGACCGAUGAUGUGGCAUUGACUGAUGAGGUGUCAUGAUCCUGUUGGUCUAAAAUUCUUAUGAACUGUUGAUGGUGACAUGGCAGCAUAUUAGUGGACCAAAACUUGCGCGUACGGUACAUGCAUUACACAUGAUUAUUUUCAACCAAACCGCGUUACUGUUCAAAGCCGGGUCAAACCGUGUUACUGUUCAUCCGCGUGGUCAAACCGCGUACUAUUGACUGAUAACGUGGCGCAAUCCUGAGCGUCCAAACUGUUUUUAAUCUGAUGGCCGUGAUUUACUCAAUGUAUUUAUAAAAAGAGGGCCUCCCCCUUUAAUUUGAUAGCUCUGAAUCCAUUUUUGGGAUCCAUUUUCUGUAAUUCCUUCUCCAUCUUGUUUUUCCUACGUAUUUUAAUAAAUUUCUAUUUUACCCCUAGUUCAAUUAUGAAUAGCUAAUUUUCUUUCAAGCUUGGGUUGAAGGUGAAGUCUCAACAUGUGUCAUGGGCUUUAUUUGGUAAAUUUAUUUUCUUUUCCCCUCUAAUUUUUGUGGAUGAUUUGACUUUUCGUUGACAAAUAAUACUAAUCUUGUCUAGAUACCGCCCUGGUUACACCGGCUCCCUAGUACAAGGUUAUUAUUAUUUGGCACGAUAAGCCCUUAGCACCAUAUUGAUUAGAGUGUGGUUCAUGAGGUGUGGAUUCCCCCCUCAUGAUUUAAUUGGCAUUAAUAAGGAAUAUUUAGCCCAUGGUGCAUGUUGAUGCGGAUCCAGAUACCCAAGUAUGUCAAUUUAAUAGAUUUUCACUUCAAUUUAUUCUUGCCUUCUUAAUUUGAAUUUUAGGAUAAUCCAAAUCAUUUUCACCACAAAUCCAACCACCCAUUUAGAAAAUUAAUUCUACAUACAAUUAAAAUCCACCUCCUCGUGGGAUCGACACUCGUCACCAUUAAUCUAUUCUACAAUAGAUUCGUGUACUUGCGAGUUCAAUAAAAUUUGCACAACAAUAGAUGAUGGUUUUCAUCAAAGAUUUUUCUUAUUUCCAUCAUAGAGGUGAUAACUUAUAAGAAAGAGCAACAAAGGUGAGCUCUACACAAGCCUUUUAACAUAUAUAAUUAAUAGAAGGAAUGUAAAUGGCAUGUAUCAAAGAGAUUUUGAUAUCCUAACAAUUGAGAUGUAAAAAAUAAAAUUACACAAGUCAUCAAGAUCAUGCUAAAAGAUCCUUGGUAUUUUAUACGCAGAAACUGCAGCCACAUAAUUUUGAUCUUUUUUAUCUUAAUAAGACUAUAUUCGCAGAAAGCUCCAGUCAAAUUUCCUUGAAGAAAAGGGAAAUGUAAUUGUUUACCCAAGUGUUCAUGUGUGAUGAUGUGGGCGCGCUUUUACAUUGCAUAAUAGCCAAGGAAUAAUUACAUUACAUGUUGAUUGAGCUAAGCAAAAAAAAAUUGAAAGAGAAUAUGAUAUAUAAUUAAAUACCACAAUCCAUGACAUUACAAAAAAUUGAAAGAGAAUAUGAUAUUAUUGAUAACGGAAAUUUGGCCUCACGCAUAGAUGCAAGGUGAUCAUAAAAACUCUUAUUUAGUAAUACAUAUGGUGCAAUAAUUUAUUGUAUUACAAAUAUAACUUCAAAUUUGCUGUUGCAUGCAGUUGCUUUGAUUUGGUUAAUUAAUUAAAGUUAACUUGGUAUUUAGGCUGCUUGUUUGGAGCAAAACGUCCCCAAUGCCUUUCAAUCUUAGCUCCCUGUUUUUCCUUCUCAUCAAACAUAGCAAAAAAGUAAGUCUUAACAGGCAUGUUAGGCUUCUUUGGUGACCCUUACUUCACAUGCUGUAUAAAGUUAUUAUUAGAAGUCCUUGCAUUAUUGAUAACUCUAUGAAAUGAGAGUUAUUACGACAAUUCUAGACUUAAAUCGAGAUUACUUAGAGAGCAAAUGGUAUGUUUUUAUUGCAUUUUUGUUACAUUUUGCAUAAACAUUCAUUUUAGUUUCAUCCUAAUAAGUUUUGCUUGAUUAAUUUAAUUUGUGAUCAAAUUGUGUGCAUAAUUGUAGGUUUUCAGAAGCUUAUGAUUCAGGGAAAGAAUGUUGAAGCAAUAGGCUGGCACAAAAGAUAAAGAAUAUGGCCACAAAAGAAGUAAAACAAAAUAUGGAAUAGUGCAGUGCUAGACUGGUUGCUGGAGCAGCCAUUGCUGUAGCAAUCCUGGAACAACGAUAGAGAAAUCUUAGCACGAGAUAUUUACAGAAUUGAGAUUUGCAGUUUCCUAAUCUGACUCAUACGCGCCCUAGGCUCAUGCUUACCCUAAUUUUCAGUAUAAAAAGAGGCGCGCAACACAUAAAAUGGUGGCAAGGAAUUAACAUAGAAAAAAUCAAGAGGAAAAGAAGAACACAAUCAGAAUUCAAGGGAACAGAUGCUGCAUCAGUAACGAAUCCAGAGAGUUGUUUGGAUUCAGUCUCCAUCAUUCUUUACUUGUUCUUUUCUCUACUCUUUGAUUCAACCAAUGUAUUUCGUGACCAUUAGUUUGCUGUUUGUUUCUCUUUUUCAAAAGAUGAACUAAACUUGCUUGAUGUUGAGUGACAAACAAUCUAAAUGGGUUUUUGACUGUUCUUAUGAGUUAUUGUAUGAUUGUGAUAGCAUUUUACUCUAGUAGCUAUUAUUAUAACUGUUAUUUCGGUUGGCCACCCAUUUAAUGCUUCAAGUUAAGAUAAAGCCGCAAAAUGGCAUGUCUUAGUGGAUAUUAUGGGAGUAAUACUUGAUCUUAAUUUGAGUUUCCAGGAUUGAAUUUAUCUUGAAUCCCAUAAGGGCUAUACUUGAAGUUAAGAUUUGUGAAAAACUAGAAAUAGGCACUCACCUUGUAGGGUUGAUAGAGUGGAUGUUCACAAUGCCAUGCCUCAUGUAGAAUAGCAACUAGUCGUUGUUAAGAUACUUAAAGGUAUGAGAAGUCCAACACGCGACAGUUGAGGAUGCAAAAUAAUUCUGCCUAGUUCUAUAGAAAUUGCUGUAGCAAUUGGUAUUAAUUUGAUGAAAAGCAGUCAGGCCAUGAAGAGAGUUUGAUCAUUCAACUACCUCAUUCUCAAUUGAUUCUUUUAAGCAAUUUACUUAGUUUAUUUUAUUACUGCAGUUAGUUGUUUUAUUUCCUUACAAUUGUUAAUUUCGGUAGCAAACAACUUUGAAUUCGUUCAUCUUGAAAUAAAAGGUAGAUAACACUAUUGUGAUUGCUGUAGCAUUUCUAGUAACAUCAAUCCCUGUGGAGACAAUUUUAAAUACUCAUCACUUUAUUACUUGUUGUGUACACUUGCAUAUUGGCAUCAAUAGCAAUUGAGUUUAAAAUUAACCAACAAUUUUCCACAUUCAUUAACGCUCUGUCACAACCUGUUGUUGGCCACUCACUUUUUGAUAUCACAAUAUCCAACGAGCCCCGCCACUUUCUCCAACAUGUUAUGUGGGGAAUGUGGAAUCAAAAGCACCAAAUAAUCAUAAGAAAAAUAAAGGACACAAAAUUUAAUGUGGUUCAGCAAUAUGCUUACGUCUACGGGAGCGAGAGAAAAUAAUUGUAUCACUAAUAAUUAUUAUAGUACAAUGUUUGAGUAAAAGAAAUCUCACUUCCUAGAACUCAAAUACAACCAAUACUCUCACACACUUGAAAGGAAAAACCUAUGAAUUACACACUCUCCAGUUGCUCACUCUCUUAACAAUUUUAUAAUUGAAUUGUUGCUCUCCCAAAUUUUGGGAUGCCUUUAAUGAACGAUUGCUCCACUAUUUAUAACUGAACCUUGCCAUGCAUGCUAGCCAUUUUCAAAGCAAAAUUCUUGGCACUUUUCAAAUUUUCAAGAUUCGGUGCCAACCUUGGUGGCACAUUAAUCAUUUCUAUGCUAGCCACAUGUAUAUUUAACUAAAGUAAAAAAGGUUGCAUGUGCUCAACAAUUGUCUACCUUGGCUCAGAUUUGUCAAAUCUGAGCCGACUAUUAAUGAUCCAUCAUCUCUAAAGUGGUUGCUGAAAUAUGAGUGUGCAACCCAAGAGGGGGGGUGAAUUGGAAUUUUAAAAAUUAUACUAGCAAAUCCACACAACAAGCAAUCUAAUGUCUUAAUAAAAAUUGAAAGCAAUAAGUUCAAUCAAAGCACAAUAAUUAAAUAGCAAGGGAAGAGAAAGCAAACUCAAGGAUUUUUACGUGGUUCGGCAAUCCCCGCCUACGUCCACGCCUCCAAGCACACCGGGCUUGAGGAUUUCACUAUCCAAGCCUUUCCAAGGCUUCAAACGUUUACAAUUGACUUCAAGGUGUCAAUGAACCUUUACAACAAGAGAUUGUCUCUCCAAUCUCUUCACUCCAAGUGUUUCUCACACUUGUACUCUCACAAUUUGAUGAGAAAUGAAAAUUACAACAAAAACUCUCUUUAAGAGUGGAUUUACAAAUGAUAGCUCAAUAAAGAUUUAAUCUAUGAAGAUUUUCGAAUUUGAAGCUCAAUAUAAGUUGUGUGCACUUGUUUAUGCUUGCUUGAGUUACCAAAAAUGAAUUGGUUUUGAGUUUAUAUAGUUUGAACUCAAAAACUAGCCGUUACUAGCCGUUAUGCACAUUUUUGGUCGUAACCGGCUUGCCGUUUAUGGACAUCCAGUUAGCCGUUUGCGUUUCGGAUGUUUACUGCCCCGAAUCCGGAUUUCCAGUUUUUAGAAUCCGGUAAGCCGCUUGCUACAGUAACCUGCUACAGUGAAAUUUUCCCAUAUUUUCAAUUUGACCCCCAAAACUUUAUAAAACUAUAGUAUGACCCAAAAAGUUAUAAACGUUUGCAAAUAGGUCCAAUUUCAGAAUUUUAAAUAAUGCUUUCUCAAUCCCACAACUUUUUGAAAUUCUGACUUCGCCCAAACUUUAUGAAAUUAUAGAAUGGCCCAAAAACAUUUAAAUAGUUUCAAAUAAGUUCAAAUCCGAAAUUUCAAGCACUACUUAUUUAUUUCAAAGUUUUCAAAAUUCUUUCAAUUAAACCAUAAACUUUGAAAAACAACCAAUUUCAUAAAAUCAUUUUUCCAUUAAAUAUGAAACAUUUAUAAUGUGAACAUAAUGAUUUAUUUAAAAAGAAUAAAAACAAUCAAUUUCAUAAAAUCAUUUUUCCAUUAAAUAUAAAACAUUUAUAAUAUGAAAAUAAUGAUUUAUUUAAAAAGAAUAUUAAAUAAUUUGAGCUUAAAAGAUUAAUCAUUUUUAAUCUUGUUUGUUAUCAUUAAAAUCAAUAUUAUGAAAACAUAUAUGUUAACAGUUGCAUCUGUGAUUGCUCAAGUACCCAAAAUUUGGGAUCAAGCCAAUCGUAAUUUAAAAAUUUCCCAAACUCAACACAUUCGAAGGAUUUGAAUUAGUUUCAAGCAAUAUUGAAACUUAACUCCAGAAAUCACCUUUAACAACAUAUCUGAUGGAUUAUAUUUGGUAUCAAUCUUUCUUAACAACAAAACAUCGCUCUCGAUAACCUCCCUUACAUAAUGAUAUUUCAUAUCUAUGUACUUUGUUCGAGUAUGAUAUGUUUGGUUCUUUACUAGGAAUAUCGCGCUUUGGUUAUCACAGAAGACCUCAAUAUUCUCUUAAAUUACUCCCAAAUAUCGUAACAAGUCCUUAAACCAAAUAGCUUCCUCUACAGCAUCAGUUGCUGCCAUAUACUCUUCUUCCGUAGUGGAAAGAGCAAUUGUUGAUUGUAAAAUCAACCUCUAACUAAUCGAACCUCCACCCAAUGUAAAUACGUAGCCCGUUGUUGAUCUUUACUUGUCAAGGUCUCCGUUAAAAUUAGAAUUGCAAUACCUAACACAUUAUUGACCAUAAUUUUUUUUUAACAAUAAUCCAACAUUGACUGUCCCAUACAAAUAUCAGAGCAUUCACUUCAUUGCAAGCCAAUGGUUUUUGUUUAGAUUAUGAUGUAUUAACUAGCUAUACUCACGGCCUUGAGCACACCAUAGCAUGCGUAAGACUACCCACAACAUACGUAAGACUACCAACAUCACUAGCAUAUGGAACACGAGCCAUGUAGUCAUGCUCCUCUUGAGAUGUAUGACAUGAAUAAGAGCUUAAUUUGAAAUGAGUAAAAACUGUUUUAGUUUUGUCAUCUAUAACAAACUCUUUUUCAUCUUCAAAUAAGACUUUUAAGUUAACCAUACACUCUCAUUCUUUUUAUCUCUACGAAUCUUCAUUCCAAGUAUUCUCUAUGCAUCAUCCAAGUCUUUUAUCUCGAAUUUAGAAGUUAUCUGCUUCUUUAACCUUUCAAUCUCACAUCUAUUCUUCAAAGUUAUAAGAAUAUUGUCGACAUAGAGUAACAGAUAGAUGAAAGCUCCAUCUUGUAGUCUUCUAAAGUAAACACAGUGAUCGGGUUCACUUCUGGUAAAUUUUUACCCUUGUAUGAAUUGAUCAAAUCUCUUGUACUAUUGUCUUGGUGAUUGUUUCAAUCCAUACAAAGAUUUAAUUAAUCUGCACAUAUAAUUCUCAUUUCCAGCAAUUUUGAAACCACAAGGCUGAGUCAUAUAAAUUUCAUUCUCCAAAUCUCCAUGUAAGAAUGACAUCUUAAUAUCUAGUUGAGCAAACUUUAAGUCAUAUUCGGCUACCAAGGCAAAUAGGAUAUGAAUGGAAGUAUGCUUUAAAGCUGGAGAGAACACUUCAUUAUAAUCAAUACUCUCCUUUUUAGAAAAGCCUUUUGCUAUAAACCUUGCCUUGUAUCGAGGAAUUGUUUAAUUUGGAGAACCUUGCUUCUUAGUGUAGACCCAUUUAUUGCCAAUAGCUCUUUUUCCCUUAGGUAACUCCACAAGUUCCCAAGUCUGAUUUUGAUAAAGAGACUUCAUUUUUUCUUCCAUGGCUAACUUCCAUUGGUCACUUUUAGUGCUGCAUAAUGCCUCACUGAAAGAGUUGGGGAUGUCAUCAUCAAUAACUGGAAGUGCAUAGGAUACCACCAUGUUUUUAGUAAGACAUUCGGUUUUCUUUAUCACUUUUUUUUGUCUCUCUAUUGCUAUACUGUCAUUUUCAUCUUUUAUAUCUUCAAUUGUUUCUUCCUCUUGUGGGACAUCAACAGAAAAAGCUUCUUCUUCUACUCUUGGGGUCUCCUCUAAAGUUGAAAUCUUCUCUGAUGUAGAACUAACUAGUAUAAAUAAAGUUGUAUCAAACUCCACCCGUUGUAAUGUCUCAUUGGUCUUGUUCUCCACCUACUGAGAACUGAAAACCUUCAACAUAGAGGCUUCAUCAAAAGUGACAUCUCUACUAUACACAGACUUUUUAUCUUCGAGAUCCUAUAACUUGCAUCCUUUAACUCUACCUUUAAAUCCAAUAAAGAUAACUUUUCUUGUAUGAGGAUCGAGUUUAUCAUUCUUUAUAGGAUAAUAAGUUGGACUGCUAAACACACGAAUGGAGUCAUAGUUUUGUGCAUGUUUUCCAUAUCAUAUUUCCAUAGGAGUUUUACCUGCAAUUAUAGUAGAAGGCAACCUGUUUAUCAAGUGAUUUGCGUAGCUCAAAACCUUAGCCCAAAAUUUUUUUAUCUAAACCAGUAUUAGAUACAUACACUGUACUUUCUCCAGUAAAGAACGAUUCAUACGCUCAGCCACAUCAUUAUGUUGCAAAGUAUAUCUCACCAUGAAAUGUCUUUUAAUACCCUCACUCUGGCAUACUUACAAGAAUAGAUCAGAAGUAUAUUCACCCCAAUUAUGAGAACGUAAUACUUUGAUCAUUCUGUCAGUUUGAGUCUCCAUAAGUUUCUCCCAUUUCACGAAAAUCUCUAGAAUCUCAUCCUUUACUCGCAUGGUGUACAACUAAUCACGUCUAGAGAAAUCAUCAACAAAUGAAACAAAAUAAUGGCUUUCACCAAUUAAUGCAGUCUUUCCUGGUCCCCAUAUAUCACUGUAAACAUAUUUAAAGAUAUCAUGAGUAUCAUGAAUAGUCAUACCAAACUUGACCCUUAUUUUCUCGCCAACAACACAAUACUCGCCAAAUUUCAAUUUAUAGGUGUUGGUACCUUUCAAAAGUUCAUGCUUCAUUAGAGUUUGCAAAGACUUUUCCCCAGCAUGUCUUAGUCGUACAUGCCAUAGCUUGGUGGUGUUACUGUGUCCAUCACAAAUAUUAGCUCAUCGGUUAUACCUUCUUUCAAAUAGUAUAAAUUAUGACAUCAAACCCCUUGUAGAAUCACUAUAUCCCUAUGUGUGAACUUCAUUUUGCAAUCUUCAAUGGUAACCUUGUAGCCUUUAGCCUCCAAAGCACUUACAGAAAUUUGAUUUCUUCUUCAGAGUUGGAACAUAUCUAACUUCUUUCAAUUCUCUGACCAUUCCGUCGAACAUUUUGAGCCGAAUUGCUCCUAUCCCCAUUGUGCGACAAGGUUGAUCAUUCCCUAUCAUAACUAAAUUGGAUUCUAAAUCACAGAAAUCUAUAAAUCAUUUCUUUAAGGGACACAAAUGGUAGAUAACUCCAGUAUUAAGUAUCCACUCACUCAAAUUAGCCACGUAUGCUGCUGGCGUAAUACUUAACGAAUAAUUAGAGUCUUCAUCUUUACAUGUCAUAUUUCUUACUACUGAGCCUUUGGACAAUCUUUCUUUCGAUGGCCUCUCUCAUGAUAAAAAGACACUAAUCUUGAGCUAUAUUUCUACUUCUCGAUUUGGACCGAGAAUUCUUUUCAACUCGCUUUUUCUUUUUCUCCAUCGUCCUUCUCUGGCCGACAAAGCUUCAGAUGAUGCUAUUUCAGAACGUUUAUCUUUAUUCCGAAUUUUUAAAUUGGUCAAUACUGUGCAGACAUCCUUGAAGAUAAUCAUGUUUUUCCCAUAUAAUAAAGUGGUCACAAAAUGACUAUAUUCUUUUGAAAGUGAGUGUAGUAGAAUCGUCCUUUAACUUCAUCCUUAAUAUCUUCACCAAGAUUUUUUAAAUCUACAAGCACCUUCUCAAAUCUUGAGACAUAAUCGUGCAUUGACACCCUGGGCUUCAUUCAAAAGUCAUAUACUUGGCUCAUUGCAUGAAGACAAUUUUUAGAACCUUUCAACAAGUCCUUCUCAUCGAAUGCACGCCACAAAGUCAUCACACGCUCCUUAUCUUUCGCCAAAUAUUUCACUUCCUUGGUCAAGCAAGAUCUGAUUUGACCAUAAGCUUUUUCAUUCAUACAAUCCCAAGUUUCUUCGUCAUACAUGUAUCUUUUAUUUUUCAGAAAAACAUCGAGAUUGAUUUGAAUAAGAGCAUCCAUAACUCCGCGCCUCCAUAUGCCGAAGUUGAUUUUCCCAUCAAAAUUUUCAACAUCGAUCUUUUGAUCUCCUAUAACAGGUGCUGAUUGGCGAUGUGACAAGUCUCGCUUCCCACCCGUAGUGUCUCCUAGAAUAGUCUGGGUAGAUCUCUCCCCAAUUCUGUAAGUUUCACCUUCUAUCAUUUUCUCAAUAAAUUAUUCCUACCUUAGAGAUCAAUACGUAUGGAAAAAACGCACUAGGAAACUUUUCAAGAAAGACUGGAGGGGUCACAUCAAUCCCAUUUAAAACCAAGUCUCCUUAGGCUUUUAUUACUUUUGUGACAAAACUUUCCUAAACAUGUACAAAUCCACACUACACAAAAUAUUGAUCCUCCUAAAUACGAACUACUAGCUCCACUGUAUUCAUAAACAAUACCGUACAUGAAUAAUAUUGUAUACGUGAACAAUAUCAUUUACGAACUGUCUGCACUGAUACCACUUGUUGUGCACGAAAUGUGGCAUCGAGCGCACCAAAUAAUCACAAAAAAAGGAAGAACACAAAAUUUAACGUGGUUUGACAAUAUACCUACGUCUACAGGAGGAAGAGAAAAUAAUUGUAUCACUAACAAUUAUUGAAGUACAAUAUUUGAGUAAAGGAAACUUCACUUUCCAAAACCCAAAUAGACCUAGUACUCUCACACACUUAAAAGGAAAAACCUCUCAAUUACACACUCUCCAAUAACUCACUCUUUUAAUAAUUCUACAAUUGAAUUGUCACUCUCUCAAAUUUUGGAAUGCCUUCAAUGAACAAUUACUUCUCUAUUUAUAGUUGAACCUUACCAUGCAUGCUAGCCAUUUUUAAAGCAAAAGUCCUGGCACUUUUCAAAUUUUCAAGGUUCGGUGCUAACCUUGAUGGCAUAUUCAACCUUUCUAUGCUAGCCACAUGCAUUUUUAACCAAAGUAAAAAUGGUUGCAUAUAUUCAACACAACGCAGCAUAAGUAGCAUCCAACUAAAUAGUGCAUAAUCAAAAGAUAUUCGAUGGUCACCAGCGAUGGCGAAGUAAGGGUACAAGUUAACAAGCAACGAAGAUUUGUUUUCGUUGAGGACAGUAAUGAGUGGACCCAAAAUUUGUCUGUUGUCUUGCCUAAAGGAGCCUGCAGAGAGGAUACUUCAAGAGCUCUGGAUUCAAUGGUAGUGGAAACUUUAAUUUGGCUUCCAAGGUUAGCUCCAUUAAUGGCGUUUUGUAUGUUUCUCAUGGCGGGAACAAGAUACCAAGCGAAGUCUUCUCCCGGUUUUGCUUCAUUUCCUACAGCAAUGUACUUGAACUUGACAUUGUUAGCAAAAUUUUGGACGUUGUUUUGGACCCAAGUGUUUGCUUCGGAUUGAUUGGAAGCGAUUCUUCGGAGGUCGUUGUUGGGAAGGCCCAACUGACUUCAAUGUUGGAGCCUCUAAGAGCUUCGAGGGCCUCUCUGUUUGGAUCAUAGAUUCUCAUUCUUCUGAUGUUGUUUUGGUAGCAGAGAGCUAUGACAUCUGGUUUUGAUGGUAAGUUGUUACCACGCAUUCCAUAGCAAACAACUAUUUGAGCACCUGGAAUGAUAUACAUAGAAUCAACAAAUUAAAACUUAUAGUUAUGAAUAAUAUCAAUACAUAGAGAAAGAUAGAUAGGGAAAAUGAGCAAACCGCUAUGUUGGAUUCAGUAAAUUAAUAAUUUCGCACUUAAAACCCUCGUCUUUUAAAAUUUUCUAUUAAAUUCCAACUUUUUGUGUGUCUUUUACUAGUAAAACAUUAAAUCUCAUUAUUUAUCAAUAAAAGUCUUAGGAAUAAAAUAGUAGAAGAUACAAAAAUUGAAAGUUAACAGAAAUUUCUUAACCACAAGGAUUUGUGAUGAUUUUUUUUUCUUAAAAAAAAAAAGGUCAAGUGAGCGCAAAAUAGAAAACACUUUUUUAGCCCAAUAUCUCUCCCAAUUUUCGAACUUGGGUGGUUAGUAAGAGAAAACUACUUGAAAAUCAAUUGAUCAUCCCUGUGAACAGUGGACAGUUUUGAUGGAUUUUGAAACAUAGAGGAAACGAUUAAUUUACAAACAACAGGAGGUUUGGAUCAUUUCCUUAGAGAAAUAUAUGCACACGCACAUACUUGUAGUGUCUAGAAUAGCCACUAGCAGCCCAAGCAGUAGCAAGACGACGGAAACCAUUGAAUGGGUAUUGAGAGAGGAUAAGAAUUUAGCCAUAGAGAAAAAUGCAAAUGGAAAGUUGUGAUACCAACACCACUUCUAAGCAGCCUCUUAUAGAGGAAAAUCACCAUAACCAUGAACCAUAUUGGCAGGAAAAAAUAUAUAUGUGUGUGUGUGUGUAUUGCCACGUUGAUAAUAUGUUGACAUCUUAAGUAUUUCGAAACAAAUUAAUCAACCAAUUUGUUUUUGGGUUCUUUGAAAAGUACUGAAGUUAAUAAUUUUCUUGAGCAUGUCGCUAUCUUUUGUCUCAUUGGCUGUGCCCUUCUGCAAUUUCCUCCAUACUUGCGGUGUUCAUAUUUGUUGACAUUCAAUUACUCAACAACGCGGUUCUUUUUAAUAUGGUAUUAAAAAGUGGAGCAAGACGUGAUUAGAUUUUAUCAUCGACGUGGUCAUGAAAAAAUCCAAUAUUUUAUAAUGUCACAUGUUACUUAUAUAAUCAUUCUGUAUAACAUUUAACUCAAAGGAUCCAUGUACAAAUUACAAAAAUAUGUAGACGUUCUCAAUUUAGAAAUAUCUUGUUGGUGGCUUUAAUAUUAAUUUGUUGCUUAAUUAAGUCGCCAUUCAUGCAUGUGCAUGAGCUGAUGAGCAUGAGCCCUUACUCAAUUGAUCCAUUUCGGUUAAAGAUCAUACCAAUCGAAAGUGCUAUCAAAAAAUAAUUUUUAAUUAUUGAUAUUUAAUUAUCUGGUGCACAUGCUACACAAGAAAACCUGCAUGCAUAUGCAUGCUGAUGCUGCCUUGUAAUAACUUGUAGAGCUCGAGAAGGACGUUAGAAACAAAAUUUUAUUGUUACGGCUUCUACAAAUAUGAUUUUUUUUUAAAUGUUAGCCUAAGGACAAUUCAAUUUUCUACCCACCCACCUGAAAGGAUUAAAACUUCUUACUCUUGCUCAAACAGCAUUAAUAAUAAAAAAGUUUAGAGUUCUCAACUUUUAAAACUAGGAAAAGAAUUGCACCUUUAUUUGGCCAUGAUGACAUGUUAAUUUAUGAGAAGAUAUGGUACUUUUAGCCCAUCCGAUGGGAUUCCUGCAAUUUUUGGAAAUAGAUUAGCAGAGGAUAAACAUUAUAUUUUUCAUAAUUUGAUUUUUAUAUAUUGUAUUUUUCAUUGAGGAAUAGCCAGGACCUAUAAAUUAGACCAAAAUCAAUUGGAGUGAAAGAAGAUGUUAACUAAGUCUUUGUCUGCUGUAACAAAUAAUGCCAAAACUGCCACUUUCAAUAUUGUAUUUGUAUAUUUUAAAUCUUUUUAUCGAUACGUGCUCAAUGAGGCAGCAGAAUUCCAAUUGAAUGCUACUUGUUAUCUUGUUAUGUGGAAAAUAGAAAACUCAAUUUUGUUGGUAUCAUCAUCGACCUUCUGCAUAUGUGUUAAUGUCAAGUCAACCGAUAACUAAAUUUCACUCUGUCAGCAGGCUGCUUGAAUAAGGUUUCUAGAGUUUAAACAAGGUGAUUGAAAACUUUUAAGAGAAAAUAUAGAUUUCACUCUUAUUAUUCUCAUUGGUUCAAAGGCUUAUUUAUACAAGAUUUUAAAUAACAUAAAGGAAAAUAAUCGAAAAUUGAAAAUGAGGAAUUCAUCUUUCAAAUUUAAUUUUAUUCUUGGUACUUUUCAUAUGUGUAUGAUAUAAUGGUCUUGAUUAUUGUCAUCUGUGCAUGUCUAAAUGGUCUUGAUUCUUUCUAUCUAUGCAUCACAUGAUUCUCUUGAUGCUUGCCAUGUGUGUAUAUUACUACGGUCCUUAUCGCUGUCACAUGUUCAUCACAUUAUGAUCUUGAUCCUUGCUGUAUAUGCAUCAUCUUUGUAUGAUUCUUAUCAAGUGAUGACAAGCACAAAACAUAUUAUUAAUGUAUUAGUCGACAAGACUCAAGUGAAAAAUGGAUCGUGUUAUAAUUACAUAUAGUCUUUGCCGUCUAUAUUCAACAAAUUAUUUCCUUGUAUAUUAGACUAUGUUAUACUGCGGUAAUGUAAGCUCUAAAAAUUCGAUAAUUAUGAUUUACUUUUAUACCAUAAUUAAAAGCAUCGUAUAUGUUCUUAACCAAACAAUUAUAUUUCAUGUUUUUAAUAAAACAACUACAGGAUAAAACUCUUUGCUAGGGACUUGACCAAAUGAUUUUCAAACGAUUUAAUUUCUUUAGUUGGCCAUCUAAAUUCAAAUCUUAGAAAGAGAGAAAGAGGGCUGGACACAUAGUUCAAUUUACACUGAACCAAACUAAAAUUUCAAAUUCAAUUCAGUUUUGUUUUCAAUAUGAUAACCAUUAAUUUUAAUUUAAGCCUAUUGUUAUUUAACAUCAACCAUCCCUUUAAAUUGUCCUACACGUUGUACACAAAUGAGGAUCGGACAUAGUAUUAUAAAUUAAGCUUUGCAAAACAGUAAACAUUGACAUUAUUGCUCAUGAAAUUUGCUCUCAUGCACCCAUGCAAGGUGGUGAUACAAAGUCUUAUGCACUAGUACAUAUAGUAGAAUUUAUUCCAGUAUAAAUAUUACCUCGAAUUCUGUUGGUGCAUGCAGUCGCUUUAGCUUAGUUAAUUAAUUAAAAUUAAUCUGGUAUUUAGGCUGCCUAUUUGGAUCAAAAAGUCCCCAAUGCCUCUCAAUCUCAGGUCCCAUUUUGCCAUUCUCAUCAAACAUAGCAAAUAUGUAAGUCUCAAUAGGCCUUCCAGGCCUCUUUGGUGACCCUCGCUUCACAUGUUGUAUCAAGUUAUUAUUAUAAGUCCUUGCAUUAUCAACAUUCGUCAACGCUCCGUCACCUCCAGCCGUCGGCCACCCACUCUCCGAUAUCACGAUGUCCAGAGACCCCCCGCCGGUUUUCUCCAGCGCGGCGUAAACAGCAUCCAAGAUGGCGUCAAAAAGACUCCGGUAACUUAACGAUCCGUCGGAAACGACCGUCUGUUGUGACCUAAAUAGUGCAUAAUCCAGAGAUAUUUGGGGGUUACCAGCAAUUGCGAAGUAAGGGUACAAGUUGACAAGCAAGGGGGAUCUGUUUUCGUUGAGGAAACGAAUGAGGGGAUCAAGAAUGGGUCUGUAAUCUUGCUUAAAUGAGCCUCUUGACGGAGGGAAAGAUUCGUCAAGAGCUCCAGUUUCGAUAACAGUGGAAACCUUGAUUUGGUUUCCAAGGCCGGCUCCGUUGAUGGCGUUUUGUAUGUUUCUCAUGGCGGGAACAAGGUACCGAGCGAAGUUAUCUCCAGGUUUUGCUUCAUUUCCUACAGCAAUGUAUUUAAACUUGACAUUGUUAGCAAAAUUUCGGACGUUGUUUUGGACCCAAGUGUUUGCUUCGGCUUGAUUGGAAGCGAUUCUUUGGAGGUCGUCGUUGGGAAGGCCCAGCAUGACUUCAAUGUUGGAGCCUCUGAGAGCUUCGAGUGCCUCUAUGUUUGGAUCAUAGAGUCUCAUUCUUCUGAUGUUGUUUUGGUUGUAGAGAGCUAUGACAUCUCGUUUUGAUGGUAAUUUUUUAGCUUUCAUUCCAUAGCAAACACCUAUUUGAGCACCUGUAAAAUGCAAUGCAUAGAUAAUGAACAAAUUAAAAACUUAAAAUAGUAGUUAAUAAAUAGAGAGAUGGAUAGCGAAAAUGAUCAAAUGGGUACGUUGGGUUUCGGUGAAGUAAUCAUUUCGCACCUUAUAUUUCAAAAAUUCUGUCCAAAAACAAGUUAUGUUAAAUUCUAACUUGUGUUAUGUCUUUCAUUAUUUUUUUCUUGAUGUGGUAAAAACACUAAUUAAAACUCCAUGUUUUAAAAAAAUAUUGUGUAAUAAGUAAAGCAUUAUUAAAACACAGAAAAUUGAAAGAUAACGUAUGGGUUUGUUUUGAUGGAUUAAAAAAAAAAAUUGUAGGAACUGGAUAAAUCCCAAAAUCAAUUUUUCAGUUUACUAUCUCUUCUACAGAAUCAUAUUCGAUCACAGAGGAUCAGCUAAAAAAUUGCUUUAAAACCCCUUGAUCAAGUUCCUAGAAGCGAUUUUGAUAGAAAUUGAAACAUGCAAAAAAAAUAAUUAAUUUUUUUACGAACAACAAAGAGGUUUUGAUAACUUCUCGAGAAAUUAAGAUAUAUACUUGCUGUGUGUAAGGUAGCCAUUAGCAGCCCAACAAGGAACAAGACGACGGGAGCCGUUGAAGAGGUAUUGAGAGAGGAAAAGAAUUUAGCCAUGGAGAAAAACGAAAUUGCAAGGUGUGUUAUGCUAACACCAAUUCUUGCCAGACCAUUUAUAGAGGAAAAUCACCAUGACCCAUAGUGGAAGAGAGAAAACAAUCUUUUACACGGAUAACAAUUGACAACUUGCUGGGUUCCUUGAAAAGUGCUGAGGUUAAUUAUUUUCUUGAGCAUGCAUGUCGUUCUCUAUAGGCUCGUCGGCUGUGCCCUACUGCAACUACCUCCAUAUUAAUUUGUGGUGUUCAUAUUUGUAGACAUUUAAUGUUUGUGAAUUUUCGGAUAUGGAGGCAAAGAACAAAGAAAAAUUUCUUAGGAUUUAAGACGUGUUUGCACACUUUCUUUUAAGGUUUUAUUUGCCCUCACCAAUCUUGGUUUGCUAUAGAGUUUUAAUGGCAAACUACCCCCAAGAUAUAUCAAAUCCUGAAUACAAUCUCUAGCAAAUAAGAUUGUAUUUCCAGAACAUAUAUGAAAUCUGCAAAAUCUAAUUCUAAUCUAAGUGUAUGUCUCUCUUUUAAUAAAGAAGAUGUUUAUUUGAAAGAAUACAACCAUUAGAAAUGAUACUUCUUCAAAAACACUCUUUUGGUUUGAAUUUGCAUCGAAUGACAAUUGAAAUUUCCAAGCUUGCUAACCGUUUUUCCAGUUGACACAAAAACACGCUCUCUGGAAAUAAACAGUUAGCCGUUUUCUCAAUAACGGUGAGCCGUUUUAUUCCAGAAUGUCAAAUAAUUUGCUCUUUGUAAAUAAACGGUUAGCCGUUUUCUCCAAAUGGUUAGCCGUUUUCUCUAGAACAGAAAACAUGCUCUCUGAAAAUAAACAGUUAGCCGUUUUCUCCAAACGGUUAGUCGUUUUAUCCAAACGGUGAGCCGUUUUCUCCAAAUGGUUAGCCGUUUUCUCUAGAACAGAAAAGAUGCUCUCUGAAAUGAAAUGGUUAGCCGUUUUCUCCAUAAACGGCAAACCGUUUUCUUCCAGAAUAUCAAACCAAAGAUUGAAAAAUGUUACAAUCUCUCUUACAUUUAAUUACUCAACAACAUGGUUUUUUUUUAUUAUGGUGUUAGAAAAUGGAACGAGUCUCCAUUUUUAAUUGUACUGUCGACGACUCGACGUGAUCAUGCAUCUAUACAAAUGCUAAGUGUCGUGCCCUGUUUAUAGGAAGAUUUGCCUAGCUCUAGAAUGUUCUAAGUCCAAAAAGUUCUGAAGGCUUGAGGAUUUCCUCAUUACUUGUAAGAUCUAGAAAUUUCUAUGUACAAGUGUAAAAAGUGCUAGAAUUUGCUAAAGUUAGAACCUUCUAGAAUCAAGCCAAGCUAGCACAUCUUGGCUUGUGCAUUUAGUCUCUUUGUCCUGGAAUUUGAGUGGUUCGUGACAUUGAGCCCUCACCCACGUGUUUUGGUUUAAGGUGAUAUAUAUCGAUCUAAAGUGCUAUAAAAAAUAAUGUGCUAUUUGAUAUAAUUUAUCAGUUACAUAUGCAAAAAAAAAAAAAAAUGCGUGCAUCAAUGCCUACGCAUGCCGAUGCUGCCUUGUAAUAUAACUUGUUGAGCUUGAGAAGGACGUUCAUCAACACAUCGAUUGUCACGGCUUCUACAGUUCGAUUUUUUUUUGGAAAAUUAUCCACCGUCCACCCGUUUUCUCACCGUUUUUUUAAAAAUACACAAUUUUUUUUUGCAUCGCUCCACCUGAAGUUAACAUUUUUUUCAUUGGUCCACUCUCAUUAUAACACCGUUAUAACUUUGCUAACAUCAUAGGGGUAAAAUUAUCAUUUCACAACGACACAAUGGUGGAUAGGUACAAAACAAUAUAACUUCAAGUGGAGUUCAGCAAAAAAAAAAAAAAAAAAGAAUUGUGUAUGUUUGAAAAAAUAUGAAAAAACAGAUAAUCGGUGGAUAAUUUAUCUUUUACAUUUGAGGGUAAAAAAGUAAUUUAAAUAAUAUUUCGUUAGUUUUCUUAACGGUUUCCAAAUAGAAGUGGAAAAGUGAAAAGAAAUGUAACUUCAGGUGAAUUCCAAUAAAAAAAAAGAAUUAUGUAUUUUUAAAAAAAUUAAAAAAAACGGGUGGACGGUGGAUAAUUUUUUUUUUAAAAAAAAAAACCUAACAGCAAUUCAAUUCUCUUCCCACUUAUGCGAGCGUGGAUUCAAACCUCAUACUACUUAGCUUCAACAGAUAUUGAUAUAGUACAUUUACUGGUGUUCACAUGAUUAAUUAGGGUAUCGAAAUGUAAUAAUAACAAAAAAAAAUUCUCAACUUUCAGCAAUAGGAAAAGAAUUGCACCACUCUAUGAUCAUGAUGACAUGUUAAUCCCUCUCUCGAUGGGACUGUUGCAAGUUUUGGAAAUAGAUUAGCAGAGGAUCAACAUUUUUUUUUUCAUAAUUUAGUUUUUCCAUAUUAUCAUUCUGUUCGUUGAGAAAUAUCCGGGUUAUAUAAAAUAGACCAAAAUCAAUUAGAGUCAUAAAAGAUUGAAGUCAUUUGAUUCUUUAUAGUCAGCUGUAACAAAUAAUAAUUGCCAAAUUGCCACUUUCAUUUUAUUUGUCUGUUUUUCUAGAAACGUGCUCAAUUGGGGCAGCUGAAUCCCAAAUUCCCAAUUGAGUGCUAACUUGAUUGAGUGCUACUCUGCUAUCUUGUUAUGUGGAAAAUAGAACGCUCAAAUUUGUUGGUAUCAUCAAUUCAUCUCAUUCUGUGCAUGCGUUAAUGUCAAAGUCAAGCAAUAACUAAAUUUUACCCAGACAGCACGCUGCUUGACAACGGUUUAUAGAGUUUAGACUAGGAAAUUACAACCACAAAUCAUGCUAUUAAAUAAUAGUCAACAAGACUUAAUUAAUAACUUGGUUGAGUUACAAUUAGAUAUAUGUCUCUAUCGUUUGUAUUUAAAAAUUUAGUACUUCUAUACUAUCGAGACUUUGUUUGUUGAUGGAGGUAAUAAUAAUAUAAGAUAUUAGAUUAAGUUAGUGGUGGUCGAUAAAUAUAACUUUUAAAUAAAAGUUAUGAAUAUUAUGUGUUUAUAAUCAAAGGAUAAAACUCAUCCUUAUAGUAUUAAGGUGAGUUUAAUAAAGAUAUUUUUUUAUAAUAUAAUUUAAAUUAAGGUCAAAAUGGUAAGUGGCCAAGUAAUGCUAUUAAAUAAUUGUCAACAAGACUUAAUUAAUAACUUGGUUGAGUUACAAUUAGAUAUAUGUCUCGUCUGUAUUUACAAAUUUGGUACUUCUAUAUUGUCAAGACUCUGUUUGUUGAUGGAGAUAAUAAUAAUAUAAGAUAUUAUAUGAAGUUUGGGGUGUUCAAUAAAUAUACCUUUUAAAUAAAAGUUAUAAAUAUUAUGUGUUUAUAAUUAAAGGAUAAAACUCGUCCUUAGAGUAUUAAGGUGAGUUUAAUAAAGAUAUAUAUAUUUUAUAAUAUAAUUGAAAUUAAGGUCAAAAUAGUAAGUGGCCAAGUAAUGCUAUUAAAUAAUAGUCAACAAGACUUAAUUAAUAACUUGGUUGAGUUACAAUUAGAUAUAUGUCUCAUAUAUAUUUACAAAUUUAGUACUUCUAUACUGUCGAGACUCUGUUUGUUGAUGGAGGUAAUAAUAAUAUAAGAUAUUAUAUAAAGUUAAUGGUGUUCGUUGAUGGAGGUAAUAAUAAUAUAAGAUAUUAUUGAAGUUAGUGGUGUUCGAUAAAUAUAACUUUUAAAUAAAAAUUAUAUGUUUAGAAUCAAAGGAUAAAACUCGCCCUUAGAGUAUUAAGGUGAGUUUAAUAGAGAUAUAUUUUUUAUAAUAUAAUUGAAAUUAAGGUCAAAAUGGUAAGUGGCCAAGUAAUGGGUUUUAUGAGACUUUUGGAAGGGAUGCUAAUAGCUCCAGCAUUUAUCUUAAUUUUCCCAAACCGAACGCGACAUGCUCACCCCUACCAACACCAGUACCAGAGGGAGCCUAAAACACAAAAGAAAGAAGGAAAUGACCACUUGACAAGUCUGCCACAAAGGUUAUGAACUAGUGAACUACAAGAACUUGGACAAAUAUUUUUGAAUUCCACCACCUACGUACAAUGCCUAAAUGAUUACAAUUUUUUUGGGCCGAUAAAUAUGGACCCUAAGAAGCCCAGCAGUUAAAGACAAUCAAGGCAAGGGAAAAGCCCAUUAGAAGAGCAUGAAGAACUAGUACAUGUCUCUCACUGUAAGCACUGAGCAGAAUAAUUUUAAGUCCCAAUGAAGAGCAUCAACAGUACCGAGUUUCGUUUGGUUCUAAGGGAUAUGGUUGGUAUGGCCAAAUCUCCGGAAACCAUUUAUGUGCAGUCAAAUAUUCCUAUUUGUAUUGACCCGAUAUUUGCUUGACCUGACUCAGCUCGAUCAUUUCAGAAUACUUCAAAUAGUCAAUGCCUUUCGAGCAAAUGUUUCCUCAAGAUCGUGAUUAUCUUGUUGAGAACCUCAGUAUUUUCAAUCAAAUACUGCUCAACUUGAUGUCUAUCAUUGAAAACCUCCCGUUUUAUGAUAUAGCUGUUUUCUUCCUUCUGAAUGAUUCCAUGUUCACAUGCCAAUUCGAAAAUUUCGGAUACACGGUAGAAGCCUUUGCCAAAUUCUUUCGCGAGGUCAGCUUUCUUCAUUGCGGGUGCCAACUUAUCUCUCACCACUUGGACGCUAGCCUCCAGCCCGGUUAUCUGAAGAACAAGGAAACAAAAUAUAUAUAUAUAUGAACCUCAAUGACUCCGGAGAAGAUUACAUAAACCAAUGAGAAUUUAAAACUAAAGAAAGAUCGUAAUAAAAGUUAAUAAAUAAAUAGAAGGGUGCGCAAAAGAAUGACGAUAGCAGAAUAGAAUUUAAGGGGGGCGAGGGGGAGAUCAUCCAUAUCAAUACAUGCACAUAAAAAUGUAAAAUAGAAUAGUAUAUGCAAAUACAUAUUCAUAUUAAAUCCCAAAUUUAAAUGAGAUGAAAUUAAGUCCUUAAAACUAUGAUGCAACAAGGAGUUAAACCGUCACAUUCUACAAAUAUGUCAAAACUAAUAACCUGAAUAAGGCAAUAUUGUCUUUGAGGACAUGGCAUUGAAAAAAGCAUAAGAAACAAUAUUGAGUUCUUGUAGAUCUUCCUUGGAAUUGAGUUCUUGUUGAUAUUCCUUGAAUAAAAAAGACACCGCUGAUGGUGCAUAUUGCAUUUUGAAAUACAAGCUAAUGCCAUAGUUAAGGACGCUUCUGUACCAUAUCUUCUUUCUUUCUUAUUACUACCCGCAAGGCUUACGUUCAUAUCAGUUUCUUUCUCGAUUCAUUUACUUCUUCAACCGUGGUACCAUAAAUUCCAAAGGCCUAGUCAAGAAUUAUUUAUCAUAACCUCGAAACAGCCCUUAAAAAAGCAUUAUGCUUUUCCUUGAAUCAGUAAACGCAGUGAACACACUAACAGUAUGACAACAGUGACAUUAUGCUGAGACAAGCAUACAAUUAAUAAUAUUUAAUUUUAAGUAGUAAGAACAACAAUUAAAAGAGCAACAAAAACAUGAUAAAACAAUUUACAAGGAUGAAAGGAAUGGAGAUGGAAGAUUUUAGCAAAAAACCACAUAGCUACUUCUAUUUUAUCUGACAAACAAAUGAAGAAUGAAGCAUUAAGUAAAUUGAUAUUGUUGAUUUUGAAUUCAGUUCAGGUUGUGUAGUGACCAGACAAUCACGCCAACACUUAAAUUUGUAGUUGUUGGGGAGAAGUCCUGCUCUUCUUUUUUUCUUAUUGAACGGGCUCUAGUGACCUUGAGCUCUUCCUCCUAAGAUGCUUGCGUUUACAACAACUAGUCAAGGGACGAUGGAGGUUUUUCUGGCGUAAACCCUCCGACGUUUAAGUCAGUGAUUUGGGUCUACUUUGGAAAAACUUGUGCCACCAAUCAUGUGACCUAAUUACAAUUGUUUUAAAUAAAAAGAAUUGAUUUUCAAGAAGAAAGUAAGAUAACUGAGAGAAAUUGUAAAAUAAAAGGAGAGUAAGUUCUAGAGAAUCAAGUGUUAGAAUACCUCAAUCCUCUAUAGCUUUUAUACCUAACCAGAGUUAUCGACUUCCUUUUCCCCAUGAUCGUUGUUGGCACAGAAGCGCAAUCAUGGGUGAAUGGGAAGUGUAACUUCAGAUGAGUGGGCAGUGUAACUACUAGUAAAUGGGCUUCGUGCCUGGAUUCUUCGUGGGGACAUGCUGGUCGCCCCUUUAACUAGGUUUUUGAAUUGACCUGACUCGCCCUCCCCUCGAGAGUACCUUAGCUGAACACACAUACUUGACCAGCUAUUCAUCUUCUCGAGGAGUCGUUAUUGUGGAGAGCACAUUAUGCUCGAGUGAAUAUUCAGCAAUGGUAUCUUUAUCACCCAAACACCAGUCCCCUAGUUUCUACUACUGAGAGUAAAAUGAAUCAAAAUUAGAAAUUUAAUAAACUCCAUUUACUAGUCUGGCUGCUCGACUCGAGUGGUCACAUUGUUUUAAAUGCAUAUGAUGUGGCACACACUAGGCCAAGCAUUUAAAUUUCAAACAGGCGGUCACAACACCCUCGAGGCACGAGUUAUUAAAAGACGUCCCAGUUAAAACCUUCCAUUUCCUUAAAAUCCCUAAUUUUCCAAAUCACUUCAUCAUCCUAUUAAGAAUGAUUAAGUUUUUAAGAGCUCAAAUUAUUUUUCACAGAUUUUAAAUAAAUCAUUAUUUUCAUAAUAUAAAGAUUUUAUACUUAAUGGAAAAAUGAUUUUAUGAAAUUGGUUAUUUUCAAUUAAUGGUCUAAAUUGAAAAAAGUUUUUAAACUCUAGAAAUGGACUUAUUUGUAAAAUAUUUUGAAGAUUUAGGUCAUAGUAUAAUUAUAAAAAGUUUUGGUGCAAAAUUAUAAUUUUAAAAAAUAGUUUCACUGUACCAAUCACUGUAGCAAACGGUUAACUGAUAAUUUCCAGAAAGCAUGUUCUUCAAAGGAUUGUUAAAAUGAUGAUUCUGGAAAAUAACGGUAAACCAUUUACAGAAAAUGGUGAAUCGAUAAUUUUCAGAUUGCUAACCUUGAACCGUUUAGCAAGAAUGGUUAAGCCAAAUUUAUUUUGUAGGAUUCUGAAAAUUAACGACGAACCGAUAAUGCCAACCGGUUUAUCAAUUAUUUUAAUUUAAGCUCAACAGUCACUUGACCAGUCAAAAUGGUUAACCAAUAACAGUUAACAGUUCUGGCAGAAAGUAUCUAACGACUAGUUUUCAGCUCAAACUAUAAAACGACUCAUUUAAACACAAACAAUAACGAUUCCAACUAUUAUCAUUGACCAAACUAUUGAGCAUACAACUUUCAUUGAGCUUUAAAUUCUUGUAUCCAUCUCACUCAUUCACAUGUUGAGCUUUCAUUUGUAAUUAAACACAUUGUGUGAGGAAAACUUAUUUGUAAUCAUUUUUGUCAAAUCAAGUUGAGACGUUGUAAGUGUUGGGAUACACUUGAGUUAAGAGAUUGGGGAUAAUCUCUUGUUGAAAAGGUCUAUUGACACCUUGGAAGUCAAUUGUAAAAGAACUUGAAGCCUUGGGAGGUUUGGAUAGUGAAAUCCUCAAGCCCGGUGAGCUUGGAGGUAUGGACGUAGGCGGGGAUUGCCGAACCAUGUAAAAUUCAUUGUGGUUGCUCUCUCUUACCCUAUCUAUUUAUUUUUUAUUGCACAUUAAUUUUUUUAUUUGGAAUUUGAUUGCUUUGUUUAAAUUGUAUUAAGUUUCUUAGUUGCUUAAACUUUUAAAAUCCCAAUUCACCCCCCUCUUGGGUUGGCUAUUUAUUAUUUCAGAUUCUGGUAAGGUCUCUAAUAUAGAGUAGACUUUAAGUGAGAGUCAGGAGGGAAAUUCUUAUAAGGAUGGAGAUGAAAAGUCUUCACCAGAAGAGGUUCGACUAGAAGAAGAAAAAAAGGAAAUUGGGUAGUAGAUCUUUGGCUAAUAACUACCCCAUCGACUAUAUAAUGUGCAUCACAACUGAAGAUGAUUUAGAUAGGCUUAGGAAAGUUUAGAGUAUUCUUGAUUAUGUAGACUUAAGGUUCUUGGUAAAAAAGACACCCCUAGUCACCCUCUAGAAGGAUAUGUUACCCUGUUCAUAGAAUGUUUUAGACUAGGAGUGAGACUCCCUCUACAACCCUAUUUUCUUCGAGUGCUUGGAAGAACACAUUUAGCCCCUAGCCAACUAAACCUGGACGGGUGGAGAAUAUUGUCUGGUCUGAUCGUUUUAUGAAAUAGAUCUAGUCCUUUACAUCAACGAGAUUACCAGGCUGGUAAAAAAGAAAGAUCUCGAGGAUUUUGAGGGCCGCACACAUGAGGAUCUGGUAGGUGCUCUUCAUUUUGGCGAGUUCCAGUUGGGCACCUUCACCACCUGCUAAAAAGCAAAAGUAAGUUGCUAUGAUAGGAAAAUGAAAGACAAUAUUCAAGCUACUAAGAAGAGAGCCGAUGUUACUGAAGAGAGUUAGGAUAGCUUAAUCUCGAGAACUUAAAGCUCAUGGAGCAAAUGUCUCUCUCCAAAGCCAAGGCGGUCAAACUCGAGAAAGAGAUGGCCAAUGUUAAUCAAGAGCUUGAAACCUAGAAGGCCACUUACAAAUCUUAGUUGGAGUUUUUUCGAGCAGCUCAUCAGGACCAUAUCACCACUCUGGAAAAAGAGGUCGAUGACAACUACAAUGAGGGGCUUAGACACUCUUAUCGGUGUAUUAUGCUAGUCCUCAAGAGGCAAUAUCCUGACCUAAAGAUGGAUGAGCUAGCUGCUGGUGUUACUAAAUAUAUGAACGAGUAGGCAACUGUUGUGAGUGUAGUGUCAAUGUGCAAGUGUACACAAUAAAAAAUAUAAUGAUAAGUAUCAAGAUCGUCUCCGCAGGAAGUGAUUUUAUAGGAAUUGGUACAACAAUCUUAAUAGUGCAAUUUUAGUAAACUAAAUAAAACAAAAUAAAUGAUGAAAUUAAUGAUCCAAUGAAAUUAAAAAUGCAAUAAAGAGAAUCUAUAAGUCAAACACAAAGAUAUACUUAAUGGUAAAUAGGUAGUUGAGUUCUAAACUCACUGGUUAUUGACUUUCUUUUAAUUGAGGCACAGUUGUGAUAACAUCUUCUAUAACACUAGACAAAAUAUCUAUUAUAUCCUUAGCUGCCACAUUUUGGAUAUCUUAUAUUAAUAGGGAUUUGCAUCAAACAAAAGUAAAACAAAAUGCUACAGUAGGUUCUAAGCAACUUACACAUGUAAGUCAAAUGACCAUUGCGCUUAUUUAAAACCCAACUAAAUUAAAGUUUAGCUCAUGAUGAGCUUUAAAACAAUAACAAAACAAGUAUUUGCCACUAAAUACAUUUCAAAGAGAGAACAAAACAAGCAAAUACAAAAAAAUGUUAAGAUACAAAAGAACCGAAACGUCACACUUUUUUCUUCAGUAAUCUCUCAUUCUUCUCCACGAAAAACACCUCUUGUUACAACUCUGAAAUUUCUCUUUUUCUUUUAUUGUGUAUGUCAGCUACUAUCUAUUUUCUUAAAAUGUGCUCUUUUGUAUCUUAGAAUUAGGGCAACAAAAAAGCAUGAGGACACUUGUCUUUUCUUACAAUCGUAGGACCACAUUCUUUUUUAUACUGCUUGCCACUGUUUUGUCUGCACAUGACAGUGGCAGCGUACUAAUGGAUGUAGCAAAUUUUUCUGUUAGCACGUGAUAGUCUGGAAUUUUUUUUGUUUGUUUGUAUUUGAUCUUGGAUUGCUACAACAAUUGCUAUAGCAUUCUUUCUGGUUCAGACUUGUUUUUGUUUAUAUACAGAUUAGUCUUUUGAUAUUUUUUGCAGACCUUUUACCACAGUAAUGCAGUCCUUAUUCUACAACAUCCAUCAACAAGGCAUGAGCUUUUGAGUCACCUAUAAUAGUGCACUUAAUCAGAGCACAAAAUGGUCUAAAACAUAUCAAACUGUUAUAAUUAAGCUUAAAUAUAUACUUAUGCAAAAUGUAACUAGAAAUGUAACUUGAGCUAUUCUUAACUUUAGAUUCUUGAAAGUUUUCUAAACUGCCCAACUUAAUUUGUUACAGCAUGCACAUGAAACUUAACUAAAGUUUAAGUGUUAACAGAGAAUUUUAACCCUUAUCCACAAACUGUCUCUACUUGAGGGUAACUUUUCUUAUAGUUCAUCAUCUAAAUCAUUCUCAAUGGGUUUUCUAAAUAAAAAACAACUACUAAAUAAACAGAGCUAUACAGUCAAUCCAACACAUUCAAAUAAACAUUCAUAAAACCGGAAAACUUCAUUCACAUUCAUAUUCAUUCAUCAACUGAAAUUAAAUUCUACAAAACAAAACACAUUCAUAAACAUAUUUCAAAAUAACACUAUGGCCUAAAUUAGAGAGAUGUUAUGUCCUCACAUGCACACAACACAAAAACAAAUAAAAGACAUUCAUGCAUAUAUUUUAUAAACUUAAAAACAUACAAACACAAAUAACAAAGAAGAAUAAAAAGAACAGUUUCAGAAAUUGCAAAAUAAACUUGUGCAGGCAGGGGAGACUCUCCCCUAUUAUCGAAGACUUUGUUGCAGCAUUAGUUCUAUAAGUUCACUUUUUAGUUCCACUUCUUAGGCUUUUUUUCAAUGAACUUGAUUGAACAUCUUUUGUCUUUUUCUUUGGUCCUUUGCCUGGACUAAGUGAUGGAGUUCUAGCAACUUCAUUAGAUUUGGGCAGAUUUGGCUCUGUUCUUUUUGGCGUUGGCUCUUCUAGCACCACAAGCGAUGCUGCAACACCUCUAGAUGUCUAUACUCCUUUUCUUUUGCUCAAUGAGAUGUUUUGGAAGAUGUCUUUGUUCUAAAUGUUGGAGGAGGUGUUGUUGCAAAUUCUUCUGCAGUUAUACGAGUAAUGAGCUCCUUCAAGUUUUUUUUCUCUUUUUUUGUCCUUGUAAUCUUGUUGAUGAUCUCUUCAAUGGUUGUAUCAUAUUCAUCUUGGUCCUUUUUAUCAGAAUCCUCUUCAAGCAGGAUCUUUUGUUUGCCUUUUGCUUUUAGGAGUUAUUAUUGGUGGUUCCUCUUCUUUCUCCUCAUCAAUCUCUUCUUCACUUUCUUCUUUUUCUUAUCUUUCCUCAUCAUCAUCUUUAUAUUCUUUAUAAUCAUCUUCUUAACUUUCUGAUAGAAUAGUCUCUGUUACUUUCUGGAAAUUGUAUUGUUGCAGUAGAGACUCAGGGAAGUCUACAUUCUUGAUGCACCAAGUAGGCCCAAAGUUUCCUAUUUUUUUUUCUUUUUGUUCUACUCUCCACUUAUCCAAGCUGUCACUCAGAUAUUGCCGAGUUUUCUUAAAUUUAAUGGCUUUCACUGAUUUUGUUGCGGCUGGGUGUUCUAGGGUUAUUGUAGCAGCUGACUCUCCAGUAAUCCUCUCUAUUGUUUCUGCUGUGAGUGCCCUUUCAUUUUUAACCCUCUCAUCACUCGAACAAAUUUGACACGUGAUGCUUUAUAAAUCCCAGUAAUGAGUGAGAGGAACAACAAGACAACUGAUUUCUAUUUCUUUGUAGCUCAUUCUCUAAUUUCUUACUCAAUCACUUUCCCAAUAUUAAUUGUCAAUGCUUUCACUAUAGCAAACAAAAGUAGGAGUCUAUCUUGUGACCCUGUUGUGGUGUGUGUAGUGGGCAUAAGCCUGGACUUUAAAAAUUUCACAAUCAAUUUAAGGUCUAUCAUGUUAACAAUCCUAGCUUCUUUAUUAACCCAUUCACUUCCCUCCACAUUUAAUAUUUUAAACACCUUCCUCUAUUUCUUAACAGUUAUGCUUUCAACAAAUAUAUUAUAUUCACAAUCAAUAAGAGGGGGCAAAUCAUAAAAGACAUAUAUCGCCCUUGAGUCUAAAGGAACUUGGAUCUUACUGUGAUAUUGCGCUGGUCUUGCUUUAGUAAGUUAGAGGAGAGUUCCUUUACAAUUAGGAUCACUGGGUCUUGAGGGUGUGCACAGAAUUUGAUCCAACUCCUCUUCGUAGCAGCUGUAAGAAUAAAGUUGAUUGUUCCAGUGGGAUGUUUAGGGAUUUCAAAACCCUUCUCUUCUAAAAUUUUGCGAGGCUCAAUGAACUUCUUGUACUUCUCUGCAGCUUCGUAACUGUGGAAUCUUUUUGGGUUCUUCAACAUUCUAACACGAACCUUAAGUCUCAACAUUGCUGCAGUACUCUUAACAAGUUUUGUGAGAUAUGGAGAGAGCGUGAUUUUGGAAACUAAAGUAAAAGAAAAGAGAUUAGUAGUGAAAGCUGAGACAAUAGAAAGUUUAAAUUUAUAGAGGAAGGGAAACAGAAAGAGACAAAAUUAAUUUAUAUAUUUCCAAAAUUUUUGGAUUUUUUAAAACAUAUGGAGAAUGAGAGAAGAUUUGGUUCACGAAAACUAGAGAUUUCACUCCUUUUUAAUUUAGAAAGACUCUUUAGCUGAUGUGAGAGUGAACCAACAGUAAAAAGAUCAACAAUAAAAAACCUUGUCAUUAGAUGUUAAGUCAGCAAUCUAAUAUAAUUGUUGUAGCAUUGAAUGAAGUGUUGCAGCAUGAACGUUAAAUGCAUAUUUCAAUUAAGAACCAGCUUUCUUCUAUAAUGCUGUGAGUGCUACUACAACAUUUUCUCCCAAUUGACAUUGUCUAUUUUUUUUUUCAUUCAAGUCUUGCAUUUGAAUUUUCUUACUUCAAUUUCUGGUUAAUUGCAAUUUAAAUGACAAAAGAACAAUAUAGAAGUUAGUUGUAUAAAUUAGAACAAAAUAGAAAAACAAACUGGCCAUUGACAAAAAUUGAAUUAAAGUACUACAAAAAUUCAAAAUAAACUUCCCUCAUUGGGUUACCUCAUAAUCAGCAUUUGGUUUAGAUCCUUCAGCCCGACCUUCCUUAUUUGCUCAAACUAGAUUUUUUUAAGAACAUAUCCUCCUUCAGGCUGUUCACUUCAGUUUAUAUAUAUUGCUACUCUCUCUGGCUAUUAACUUUGAAUUCUUGGCCAUUUCUUUCAUCUUUAAGAUCCACAACUCCAUAAGGGUAAACGUUAAUGAGUUUGAAAGUCCUAACCAUCUUGAUUUUAACUUUCUAGGGUAGAGCUUCAGUUUAGAGUUGUAAAGUAAUACUUGUUGGCUUGAAAUGAGUUCUUUUUUUAAAGGAUUUUCUUGUCAUGCCAUUGCUUGGUUCUCUCCUAAUAUAUCCUUGCAUUUUCAUAGGAGAAUAACCUCCACUCAUCUAGUUCACAAAGCUGUAGCUUCCUCUGUUCUGCUGCAGCAUUCAUAUUCUUGUUCAGUUGUUUAACUGCCCAAUAUAUUUUAUGCUUUAGUUCUAAUGGCAUAUGGUAAGUUUUGCUAUAAACAAGUUUGUAUGUAAACAUGCCAAGUGGUGUUUUAUAAGUAGUUAUGUAAGCUCAUAAGGAAUCAUUUAGUCUAGUAGGUUAGUCCUUUCUAUUAGGGUUCACCACUUUUUUCGAAAUACCUUUGAUCUCCUUGUUGGACAAUUCUGCCUGACUAUUUGUUUGUGGAUGAUAUGCUAUAGUAACUUUAUACUUAAUCUCAUACUUAGUCAAUGCUACAACAAAUAUCCUAUUAUAAAAGAGGGUUCCUUCGUCACUGAUAAUGGCUCUAGGAGUGCCAAAUCUUAUAAAAAUAUUCUUCUAUAGGAACUUCAACACUGAUUUGGCACCAUUCAUUGGCAAUACUGCAGCUUUGAUCCAUCUGGAUAGAUAUUCCAUAGCAACUAAGAUAUAUAUAUUUCCAAAAGAUUGUGGGAAUUGUCCCGUAAAGUCUAUAAAGUUCAAUUUUCAAAAUAUUGGUCAAUAGCAUUUCAUGCUUUUGAAAACGUUUUCUGUUCUUUGACACAUGUCACGGCGUUUAACAAACUUAUAAGCAUUUCUAAAGAUAGAAGGCCAGUAAUAACUUGAUUGAACAACUUUUGCUUCUGUUCUGUGUGUCCACUAUAUACUGCAGCAUGACAAGAAUGCAGAAUGCUUGAAAUCUCUUCAUCAGGAACACAUCUUCUAAUUAUAUGGUCUAAACACAUCUUGUACAACUAAAGCUCGUUCCACUGAUAGUUUUUAACAUCAUAGAGAAAUUUCUUCUUCUGCUGGUUACUCAAGUUAGGUGAUAACAAUCCACUCACCAGAUAAGUAGUAAAGUCUACAUACCAUAGAAAUCCAGAUUGUCGCAGCAUCUGUCUAUGAUGCAACAUUAACAACUGUUCAUCAGAAAAUGUUUAUGUGAUAUCCUACUUGGUUAGAGUGCUUGCAUCUACUUCAAGCCUUAAUAGAUGAUCUGCUACUUAAUUCUCAAUUCAUUUUCUACCAUUGAUUUCUAAGUCAAAUGCUUGUAACAAGAGAAUCCACUUGAUCAAUGUUGGUUUGAAGUUCUUCUUUGAAAUCAAAUAUUUUAUAGUUGAGUUAUUUGUGUCAACAGUCACUUUAGUGCAACCAAAUAGGCUCCAUAUUUAUCAAAUACAAAGACAACUACCAACAACUUCUUUUCCGUAGUGGUACAAUUGAGUUGUGCAUCAACUAGGAUCUUAUCGGCAUAAUUGGUGGAAUGAAAAAUCUUGCCCUUCUUCUUUCCUAGCACUACUCCAAUAGAAUGAUCACUAGCACUACACAUAAACUCAAUAGGCUUACUCUAAUCAGGUGUUAUAGCAACUAGUGCUGUAACAAGAGCUCUCUUCAACUCAACAAAUGCCUUAAAGCUAUCCUCAUCAAAGUUUGUCCAAUAUCUAAUCAAUGAAAGGCAAGAGAAAAUGAUCCUUCCUUCUGGCCUUAUUUAGUUUUCUCUAGUCCAUGCAGACUCUCCAUCAAUUUAUAGUUCUUGUAAAAAUGAGCUUGUUCUUUUCUUUUGCUACAACUGUCGCUCCACCUUUCUUUAGAACACAUUGUACUGGACUUAUACAUGAGCUGUCUAAUAUUGGGUAAAUAAUUCCAGCAUCAAGCCAUUUGAUGAACAUUUGCUUUACAACUUCUUUCAUAAUGGGAUUGUUGUAGCAAUCCUCCAACAGAAUCUUAUGCACGCAUAUGAAGGGGUUGAUUCAUUCGAUAUCUACUAUGGUCCAUCUAAUGACCUUCUUGUAUCUCCCUAUUACAGCAACUAAGCUCUUUUCUUAUUAUGUAUUAAAAGAUAAUGCAAUGACUAUAGAAAAUGUGUCAUGGUCACUAAAAUAUACAUAUUUCAAGUGUGAAGGUAAAAGUUUUAACUCUAAAACAUGAGGUGACUUAAUAGAAGGAAUAAAAGGUUUUACUUCUCUAUUUCAAAGGUCAAAAGAUUCAAUGCUUGUUAGUUCUGUAGGGUUAUUUUUUUCCUAGCAUGUUAUGUUAACUGUUUUAAGGCCUUGUUGUUCAUCUUCAGGUUCUUCAAAUAUUUCAGCCUUGAUUUCUUCAUUUCUGCAGCAACUAUUUAAUUUCUCUGCUACAGUAAAAUCCACAAUACUGACAAAAUUGCAAUAUUCAAUAUCAUCAGGACUCUUCAUGGAUUUUACCACAUUGAAUGUAACUUAGUGAUCAUAAACUCUCAUGGUCAGUUCUCCUUUUUGCACAUCAAUUAGAGUUUUGCCAAUGGCUAAGAAAGUUCUGCCUAAAGUGAUAAACACUUCUUUUUCUUUAUCUGUUUCAAAAUCCAAUACUAUGAAGUCAAUUGGAAAAAUAAACUAGGUCAACUUUCACCAACACAUCUCCAAUCUUGCCUUCUGAGUAGCAUAAGAUCUGUCAGCAAGUUGUAAGGUAACUAUUGUUGGUUUAACUUCUUUAACCUCUAGUUGCUUAAACAUUGAUAAGGGCAUGAGAUUGAUGCAGGUUCCUAAAUCACAAAGUGUUUUCCCAUUGUAUUGUUUACCUAUGGAGUAUGGAAUUAUAAAGCUUAAAGGAUCAAUCAACUUUUGAGGUAUCUUGUUCUUAAGCAUGUGAUUGCACUUUUGUGUUAGAGCAACUGUUUUAAGUUCUCCCAACCUUCAUUUUUUUGUUAAAAUAUCCUUAAAAAAUUACAAAUAAUUUGGCAUUUGUUAUAGAGCUUCCACUAAAAAGAUAUUGAUAUACAAUUGCUUCAGUACUUCCAAGAAUUUAUUGAACUAACUUGUCUUUUUUCUGUUUCUAGAACCUUUGAGGAAAGGGUGGGGGGUGCCUAAACUGCUGAGUUGCUACAAGUUGCGUAGACUACUUCUCUUUUGUCACAUCACUUGGAUUAUCGUUUUCUGUGGAAAUUAUAGUUUUGUUAUUCUCACCCGUGUGUUGUGAAGUGGAGGGUUGUGGCUAUUCUUUAACUUGAGUUUCUUCUUGGAUUGAAGUGGGAUCAACUCUUAUUUUUAGUACACUAAUUAAGACGUAAACAUCCUUUCCAGAUCUUAAAUUAAUAAUUUUGCAUUAUUCUUUCCCUUUUUUUUCUUGGGUCCUCUGUGUUGCUUGGUUAACCGCCUUGAGGUCUAUUGCUUAAUGCUGUAACAAGUUGUCUUAUCUGAUUUUCCAGGUUUCUCAAAUAUACAACUUAGCUUUGGACAACUGCUUCAUUCUUAGCAAGAGAAAUUAUCAAUCGUAUACCCUUUAUUUACUUCAUUAUCAAAUUUACUAUAACACUUUCAGGGUAUAUCAGUCGUCCAUCCUAAAUUGACAAAAUUUAUCUACCGUCCACCAAACCGUUAGUUGCUGUUUAAAUAUGAUGAUGUUAGAGGGAUAAUUUGGUAUUUUCAUAUGAUACAAGUGAUAAUUUAAGGGUAUAUAAGUGAUAAUAAGAGAUUUUAAGGGUAUACAGUCAUAAUUUUUAAGGGUAAGAUCAUCAAUUCGCUACAGUUCCGUUAACUUUCAAACGUCAGCUAACAGUUUAGUGGUCAGCAGAUAAUGUUUGUCAAUUUAGGGUGGACGAUUGAUACACUCUUAAAGUGUUGUAGUAUUUUUUUAUAAAAGCGUAAAUUUAGGGUAUACAAUUGAUAAUUUCUCUUUUUAGCAAUGUACUCCGUAAUCAAAACUCAAGGGAGCUAAGUUGAUCAUUAUUGGUGCUUCUUUUCUCUAGAUUUUAUUGACGAAAUCUAGGUGGUAGUGCAGGUCUGUUCUGUCCAUUAGAUGUUGCAGCAUAUUGCCUAUGAUUGCUCCAUGAGAAGUUUAUAUACUACCUCCAUCCAGGGUUAUAAGUGUUUGAAUAAGGGUUGUGCUGAUCCUGCCUGUUGUAGUACCUAUAUAAUUGAUUGAAGUAAGAUUUCUAAGACAAUUAUGAAACAAAUGUCUUUAUUAAUAAUAAACACAGGAUAACUCAACAACUCUGUUGAUAGUUGCUGGAGCAGUGGACAUAGCCUUCACCAUACUUGUUAAUGAGGUUACUUGGGCUAAAAAUACUAUCAAGGUAUUUGCAUUGUGAACUCCUAUUGUUCCUCUUGAUGUAGCUUGUAUAAUAGAUGGCCACUGAUAGUUGUUGUUGGUUAUCCUUUCCAAAAUGUCAUAAGCCUCAUUGUAAGACUUAAAUAACAAUGCCUUAUUACUGAAGCAUCUACCAUCAAUUUAGUGCUUGAGUUCAAGCCAUUGUAGAAAGUUUCCAUCUAUAUACAACAAGGGAUACUAUGAUUGGGACAUUUCCUAAAUCUUUCCCAAGAAUCAUACAAGUUUUCAUCUUUAAGUUGAUGGAAAGAUGUGAUCUCAUUCCUCAACUUUACAUUCUUGGUAGGUGGGAAGUACUUCAUCAGAAAAUUGUUAGCCAAGUCAUUUUAUGUAAAGAUAAAAUCAGGUGGUAAAGAGUUCAACCAAGCUCGUGCUCAAUCCCUCAAAGAAAAUGGGGAAAGUCUUAACAUCAAUGCUUCCUGUGAUGCUCUAGCAAUAUCUAAUUUUAAGGUGAAGAUUAAGAUCUUCUGAUGGUAGUCCAUUGAACUAUCCUACUAUCUGCAACAUCUGAAACAUUACUGGUUUGAGCUCAAAAUGGUUAGCCUGACCUUUAGGUCUAACUAUUCCAAGAUUUAUGGCUUGACGGGCUAACACUGUAGAUAAAAUUGUUAUUUUCUGGUUGCCCUUGGCGAUUCUGCCCAUUAUGACCUUCUUGAACCCCUUGUGCACUCACUCUUCCGUGAGGAUUUAAAUCUCCCAUAUUUUGCAUUUCUAUAAUAGAUCUUAAACCUCUAUGUUCUUUUCUUAGCCUCUUUGCAAUUCUGUCACUUUCUAGAUCAAAUUGGAAUUCAAAAGGUUUAUACUUGCACAUGCAAGGGUUGUUAAGACAAUUCUGUCAACACAACAAAUGAAUUAAAAGAAAACUAAAAUUGGCUCAAAAUAAAAUUGACUUAGCAACUCAAGAUAUGCAUUCAAUCCCCAGCAUCGGCGCCAAAAGCUUAUUGUGAGUGUAGUUUCAAUGUGCAAAUAUACACAACAAGUAAUAUAAUGAUAAAUAUCAAGAUCGUCUCCACAAUGAUUGAUGUUAUAGGAAUUGCUACGACAAUCAUAACAGUACAAUUUUAGAAAACUAAAUAAAACAAAAUAAAUGAUUAAAUUAAUGAUCUAAUGAAAUUAACAAUGCAAUAAAAAGAAUGCAAUAAAGAGAAUCUGAAAGUCAAAUACAACUCAAUGGCAAAAAGGUAGUUGGGUUUUAAACUCACUUACUGGUUAUUGACUUUCUUCUAAUUGAGGCACAAUUACUACAACAUCUAUUACAACACUUGACAGAAUCUCUAAUGUAUCAUUAGCUAUCGCAUUUUGGAUAUCUUAUAUCUAUAUGUAAUUUAACCGUGACUAGUAGUUAAACUAAUAUCAGAUAUAACAUUAUACGUUUUAGACUCUAUUUGCCCUACAAGGUGAAUCUCUAUAUCUAGUUCUUCACUAAUUUUAGAUUUAGUAAGGCCCCAUCCAAAUUGAGAUUAACUCCACUUGGAAAACUUAAUUUAAAACCAUGUAUUUCUUUAACUUGUUCCACUAAUUCACACAUUUUUUAGGCUCCUUCUUAACUAUUUUCUACUAAAUGGUUAGUCAUCUAAAAUAAGAAUUUACAAAAAAUAAAAUUAAAAUAAAAUGCUACAGCAAGUUCUGAGCAACAUACACAUGUAAGUCAAAUAACCAUUAAACUUAUUUAAAACUGAACUAAAUCAAAGUUUAGCUCAUGAUAACCUUUAAAAUAGUAACAACACAAGUGUUUGCCAUUAAACACAUUUCAAAGAGAGAACAAACCAAGCAAAUGCAAGAAAAAGUUGACAUACAAAAGAACCAAUACGUCACUUUUUUUUUCUUCAGUUAUCUCUCCUUUUUCUCUACAAAAAACACCUCUGUUGCAGGUCUAAAAUUUCUCUUUCUCUUUUUUGUGUCUGUCAGUUACCGUUUAUUUCCCUAAAAUGGACUCUUUUAUAUCUUGAAAUUAGGGCAAACAAAAAGCAUGAGGACACUUAUUAUUUCUUAGCAUCCUAGGACCACAUUUCUUUUUGUGCUGCUUGGCACUAUUUUGUUUGCACAUGACAGUGGCAGCGCAGUAACGGAUGAAACAUAAUUUGUCUAUUAGCAAGUGACAGUUUGGAUAUAUAUAUAUUUUUUGGUAUUUGAUCCUUGAUUAUUAUAGCAAUCGCUAUAGCAUUCUCUCUGGUUCAAACUUGUUUUUGUUCAUAUGCAAAUUAGUCUUUUGCCGUUUUCUGCAAGCUUAUUAUUGCAAUAAUACAAUCAUUUUUCUACAGUAUCCAUCAGCAAGGCAUACACUUUUAAGCCACCUACAAUAGUGUAGUUAAUAAGAGCAUAAGAUGAUCUAAACCAUAUCAAAUUGUUAUAAUUAAGUUUAAAUAGAUACUUAUGCAAAAUGUAACAAAAAAUAUGAUAAAAUUCAUUAUUUACUCUCUAAGUUAAUGCUAGUUUAACCUUAAAAAUGCUAUUAUAACUAUCAUUUCAUAAAGGACGCAGAAGAAGGAGGCCUAGAUGUAACUAGCGAGGCCAUUACUCCUCUGAUCGCGAGUGCUGAGGCCACCACUCCUACUCGUGCAACUAGCAAGACUCCCUUUGCUCCUCCAACAGGUGACAACUCAUAGAGAUAAGAUCCUCCCUUAGACCCUCAUCUUGUUGAAUGUAAUAAGAUGUUUUUCUUUUUAUCAAUAGGAUUUUUGUAAACAUUGUCCUUCUUUUUAUUCAAUAUUAUAAAUAUUUCUUUGUCUUUUUAUAUAUCCAUAAAUAAUUAUCUGCUCGAAUUACCACUAACAGAUGUUGGCCAACAUUGGCUUUCGCCUCAAGGAGGCUUUGAGCCUUACACAUCUUACACUUGCCUUACAAUGUUUUCAUUAACAUUUAUCUCCUCGUCUUAUUGUUAACGAACAGGCCCUAGAAAAUUUAACUCACUUCAGGGAGGUUUGUGAUUUAAAAAACUUUUUCUUGCCUUAAAAUAUAUUAACGCAUGAUGCUAUACUUGCCUUCGCUUGAUUAAGCAAGUUUUGAUCAAUUUGACUUUUUGUCUCACCUUGAAGAGGCUUUGAGACUUAGAAUUCGUACACUUCCCUUAGAGAAUAUUUUCUUAAGUUGUUGCAUGUUAGCCAUCGCUUGGUCGAGCAGGUUCUGGUAAAUUGACUUUUGCCUCGCCUCAAAGGGGUUUUAAGACUUUCAAGCCAUUACUUGCUGUAGAAAAUAUUCGCGUAUGAUUUCCUACUCGUUUUAGCUUGAUCGAAUAGGUUUCGACAAAUUGAACUUUCAUCUCGCCUCGAGGAGGCUUUGAGACUUCAAGCCUUAUUUACCUUAGAAAAUUCUUCGGUAACAUUUCUUGUUCAUCUUAGCAUAACCGAGCAAAUAUUUGCGUAUGAUCUCGCCUUGAGAAGGCUUUGAGACUUUAAGCCUUAAUUGCUUUAGAAAAUAUUUCCGUAUGAUUUCUUGCUUGUCUUAGCUUGACCGAAUAGGUUUUGGCAAAUUUAUUUUUCAUCUUGCCUCGAGAAGGCUUUUAGACUUCAAGCCUUAUUUACCUUAGAAAAUAUUCGCAUAUAUUUCUUCCUCGUCUUAGCUUGAUCAAGUAAGUUCUGGCAAAUUUAACUUUUGUAUUGCCUUGAGUAAGCUUUGAGUCUUCAAGCCUUAUUUGUCUUAGAAAAAAUUGAUGUAUAAUUUCUUGCUUGCCUUAGCUUGACCGAGUAGGUUCUGGCAAAUUUAACUUUCGUCUCGCUUCAAGGAGCCUUUAAGACUUCAAGCCUUAUUUGCUCAUAAUUCAUGAAUUACAAAUGAUAAAUAAAUGGUAUUGCACUUUGAAUACAACUGAUCAGUUCAUUACAAUGAGGAUGCUUACUUAAAAUACUUCUUCAAAUGCUUCGUGUUCUACAAUCAUUUGACCUCGCGACCAUUUGCAUAAGCAAACUUGUAGGCUUUUGGCCCUGCUUUUUGUAAAACUCUAUAUGGACCCUUCUAGUUGAGGCUAAAUACUCCCAUGCUCUGGUCUCUGGUAAUCUGAUUCAUCCUUCUGAGCACUUAAUCACCACUUCCAAACUGCUGCACCCACACGUUCUAGUUGUAAUAGUGAGCUACCCUCUGCUGAUUUUUGGCUGCUCUCCAAGAGGCUAUCUCUCUCUUUUCAGCUAGCAGAUCUAAGUUUAGAUACAUCUACUUGUUACUCUACUCUUCCUCGAAGUAUUCCAUCCGAUGAGUGCUCAUCCAAAUUUCUAUAGAGACCACCAACUUAUGACUAAAGGCUAAGGCAAACUAGGUUUCUCUAGUGGCAGUCUUGUAAGCAGUGGUAACUUAUCGACCUAGACCCCUUUCUUUUCUCCCAACUAGGUUUUUACGAGCUUUUUUAUGGUUUUGCUCGCAAUGUGUACCUGCUCGUUUGCUUGUGGAUGAGCUAGUGAAUAGAGAUUCAACUUUAUGUUGAUGGCUAAAAACUCUCUUAUUUAUUUUUCUUUUGCAAAUCAUGAAAUGAAUUUGAUUGUGGUUGAGUGAUAAACAAUCUUAAUGGAUGUUUGACUGACAUACACGUGUUGCUCUGUGUUUGCUGCAAUAGUUUGUCUUAAUUGUAUUUAUUUUAAUUCCCUAUUUUGGCUUAUCACCCAUUUAGUGGAUACUAGUUAAGAAAGAGUCACAAAAGGCCUGACUUAGUGGAACAAAUUAAGACAAUACUUGGCUUUAGAUUGAGUUUCUUGGGUCGAGUUUAACUUGAGUCCAAAAGGGCCACGCUUAAUAAAAAUUAGUGAUGAACUAAACAUAGGGAUUCACAAUGUAUGGCAAAUAGAACUUAAACGUGAAAUGCUAUAUCUUAUGUUGGCAUAACAACUGAUCACUGUUAGGUUGCAUAUAGAUAUAAGAUAUCAAAUAGGCAACAGCUGAGGAUAAAUAAGGAUUCUGCCCAAUGUUGUAGUAAUAGAUUCUUAAUUAGAAAAAUAGUCAAAAUCAUUAAGUGAGUUUAAUUACUCAACUACUCAUAUCUUAUUGAUUGCGUCCACAUGUUUGAUUUAAGAUUUUCUUUAUUGCAUUUUUAAUCUAGUUAGUUUAUUAGUUUAUUUAAUUAUUUUAUUUUAAUCUAAAUUGCACUGUCAGAAUUGAUGUAACAAACCCGAUAACAUCAAUCCCUGUGGAGACGAUCUUGAAUACUUAUUAUUAUAUUACUUGUUGUGUACAUUCGCACAUUGACACCAAUAGCGUAAGAAAUCGCGCAACACCAGCCUAUGGCAUGCAAUAUCGGAAUCAAUCCACAACUGUCCUCGUGCAACCAAGCAAAUACAUCGGUGUGUGCUUGUAAGUAAUCUAUGAAAUCUUUCAUCAACUCUUGCCUCAUGCUCAAGUUGAUCUUCCAACUUUACCAAGAUCAUACUGCUUCAUCCUCACUUUUUCCAAAUCCUCAACUGAUUCCUACCUAACAUCCCAGAGUUAUUUUCUGGUUGCCUUUCACAACACCUACCACUCCAUUCACCUGAUAUUUGAGUGCCAUAUAUUAUGUAGACAUGAUGGACUGGCUGAUUCUCAUAAAUGAUCUCUAAAAAAUCAUCUAGUAAGGAUUGCACUUUUUAAUAAUCUCUACUGAGAGCAGGAACUCAUUAUCCAACAUAAUUCUCUAACUCAGAGCUAUUUCUUGGCCUUGCAUCUCAUUAAUAAUCUGGGCCAAUCUUCAAACUUCCUCUUCCAAUUUCACAGUGCGACUAGUAUUUUGAGCCGCAACCCGUUUAUCUAAACCCUCGGUAGCUUUUAUACCCAACUAGAUCUAUCAACUUCCAUCUAUUAUUGUUGUUGGUUCGAAAGUGCAAUCAUGGGUGAAUGAGAAGUGUAACUACUGAUGAAUUGGUAGUGUAACUGAUAGUAAAUGGCUUUGGGCCUAGAUUCUUCACGGGGACACAUUAGUCGCCCCUUCGAGUAGGUCUUUGAAUUGACAUGAAUCGUCUUUUCCUCAAGAGUACCUUAGCUGACCAUAUAUACUCGGCCAACUACUCACCUUCUCGAGGAGUUGUUAUCAUAGAGAGCACAUUAUGCUCGAGCAAAUAUUCAGCAAUGGCCUCUCUAUCACCCAAAAAGAUAUUGUUAAUUCUACUUAAGCAAAACUUAUCUCCAAGAGCCCCACAAUCUAAUCAUGCUCCUUGUAUUCAGUAUUAUUAGAAUGCUUACCUUAUCUUCAAUCUUGAAAUUCUCAUUCUCAUCAUUUUUAAAAGAAGAGCUAGAUAAAAUUUCAAAGCAUUUCUACUAGAAGUGACCUCAUCUAUAUAUCCUAAACCUUGACCUAAUUUUGCACUGAACCUAACGUAGAUAUUGAACAUAAUUGGGGCAUCGGAUUGUUAGAAAUUGUUAUAGUAGCUUUGUUAUCAACAAAGAUUUUAAUUACAUCAUUCUAGACCGUUUUCAAAUCUGUCAUGAGCUCCUUUAGCCAUAAGCUUGAUUGAUUGCAGGAGCAGCUGCAACAUACUCAGCCUUGGCAGUAGACUAAGCUACUAUUUCCCGCUUCUUUGAACUCCAACAAGCACAACUUGAACCAAGAUUUAACAAAUAGACUAAUGUGCUUCUCAUAUCAUUAUAUGAUCUUACCCAAUCACUGUCAGCAAAACCAUGUCAGACCAGCUUGUCUGCCUUCUAAAAUUUGAUUCCAUGAUCCAUAGUUCCCUUGAUAUACCUGAGAACCCUCUUAGCACCAUUGUAGUGCAAUUCAGUUGCACAAUAUAUAUAUGAUAACUCUAUAAAAUGAGAGUUAUCAUGACACUUUUAGACUUAAAUCAAGAUUAUUUAGAGAGUAAAUGACAUGUUUUUAUUGCAUUUUAGUUAUAUUUUGCUUGAGUAUCUAUUUUAGUUUAUUUUUAAUAAAUUGUGUUGUUUUAGAAUAAUUUAUGUGCUUAGAUUAUAUGCAUAAUUAUAGGUAACUGAAAGCUUAAAUUUCAAAGAAGGAAUGAUGUUGCAAUAGGCUUGCAAAAAUAAGGAAAGAACAUGGCUCUAGAAGAAUUGAAACAAGUCUACAACAGUGCAGAUGUUAUAGCCUUUGUUGGAGCAACUGUUGUUGUAGCAAUCUUAGAGCAUUGGCAGAGAAGAUUUCGCGCGAGAUUCUUAGAAGAUUAACUUGAUUCCAAAAGCGCCAUGCUUAGUCUAAAUUUAAUGAUGAACUAGACAUAGAGAUUUACCUUGUAGGGUCAAUAGAACCUAGGUGUGUAAUGCUAUAUCUAAUGUUGGCAUAACAAUUGGUCACUGUUAAAUUGCAUUAAGAUAUAAGAUAUCCAAUAAACGACAGCUGAGGAUAUAUAAAGAUUCUGCCCAGUGCUGUAUCAGACGUUGUAGCAACUAAACCUAAAAUUAGAAAAAGCAGUCAAAACCAUUAAGAGAGUUUAAUUACUCAACUACGCCAUUCCAUUGAUUUUAUCCUUGUGUGUGACGUGAGAAUUUCCUUUACUGUAUUUUUAUCUAUUGCCUUUUUAUUUUAAUUAGAUUAAUAGUUUUAUUGUUUGUUUUAUUUUUGAAUUAAACCAAAACUGCACUGUUAAGAUUGCUGUAGCAAUUCAUAUACCAUCAAUCCCUGUAGAGAUGAUCUUGAAUACUUAUCAUUAUAUUACUUGUUGUGUACACAUACACAUUGACACCAAUAGCAUAAGAAAGUGUAAAACAAUAGACCUGGACAACAAACUUACAACAAACAUUAUAUUAGGUCUUGUCGGAUCAUAUAUAUCAAGCAACCUACAAUACUGUCGUAUAAUGCCUCAUCAAUCUUUUCAGCACUAUCAUCUUUACUAAAUUUCUCGUUUUGAGCCAAAUGAGUACAUAAUGACUUACAAUCCUUCAUGUUGAAUUUUCUUAGCACUUCGUUGGUAUAUUUUUGCUGUCCAGUAAAGAUCAUUUGCUGUGACUUUUGGAUCUCCAAUCCUAGAAAGGAAGCCAUCUAUUUCAGAUCAGUCAUUUCAAAUGCCAUCCCGUGACAAGAAAAUCAUCAACAUAAAGUGAAAUGACUAUCAGUUCAUGAUUAAUAACUUUAACAUAAAAUGUUGAUUCACUCAUGCUCUUAUUGAAGGCUAUCUUUUGCAAAUAAUCAUCAAUGCUAUUGUACCAGGCACUUAGGGCCUGCAUCAAACUAUAUAAUGCCUUUUUAACCAAGUAUACUUUCUUUAGAUUUGCAGCAAAACCCUUAAGCUGGUUAACAAAUAUUUCUUCCUCUAAAUAGCCAUUUAGAUAGGCUGACUUUACAUCAAGUUAGUAGAUUUUCCAUUGCUUUUGUACUGCAAGUGCUAAAAGCAAUCUAAUGGUGUCCAGCCAUGCUACAAGUGGAAAAAUUUCAGAAAAGUCAACACCAAAUAGUUGAGCAUACCCUUUUACAAUCAAACUUGUUUUAUAUUUGUUUACAGAACCAUCAACAUUUAGGUUGGUUCUAUAAAGCCAUUUUACACCAGUAGUCUUCUUAUGUAGUUGUUUGUCCACCAGCUCCCAAGUUUGAUUCUUGUGAAUCAUCUUGAUCUCAUCUUUCAUUACCACAAGUCACCUUGGAUCCUUAGAGCUUCAUCAUGCCCUAUAAGUUCAAGAACAACCAUACUGCACUCUUGAUAAAUUUUUGUAAAUGGUCUGGUACUUUUUAUUGACUCAUCAUCAAUCAUAUCGUCAUCUAGCAAUUCUAGUUCUUUUCAUUCUACAUAAUCUUCUUCAGAUUCAGCUAUAACCCAUUUCCAUUUUGUGGCUUCAUCAAAUUUGGCAUUACUGUUUACUAUGAUUCUUCAUAUUAAAUGUUGAUAAACUCUAUAACAUUUGGUGAGUGAUACCGGCAGAAUUUUAAAAUAAACUUUUUAUUAUUAUCUAACAAAGCUCACCACUCAAGAGGGUUACAAAGGGAUACGGAGAUUCACCACCCAAUGAUAUCCUACAAGAGAUACAGGGUUUCUCAACUCACCACUCGAAGAAAUCCACCCAAGAGAUACAAAGUUUAAAGAAGGAACUCAAAAAAGAGAACUCUUCUAGGCUAUAUUCUCAAACAUUCACUCGCCUCUAAAAGUUACACCCUAAUACAUUUAUAUAGGUAACUUGGAACAUCCCUCCAAGCUUAGGAUAAGAUUUCUAUUAUUUAGAAUUCAAAUCAAACCUGAAUUAAAAGUCUUAGUUUUCAUGAGGUGUAAGAUAAUAAAGCAAAUCUCAAUUUGACUACUAGGUCGGUUUGAUUAGCAAAUGUGAGUAGUCAACACUCAUUUAAUCAUAUCUUGAUGUAGAAAACUCCAAAUCAAAUACCGUAAAAUUUAUUAAACUUCUGACUCAAAGAGCUUUCCUCUCGGAUAGAACAAGAUUCAUUGUUGCCAGUAAAUUCAGAACUUACGGCCUUGUUCAAAAUUCUAAUAGUUGUGACCUUUGCUGACUAAAUCUUGAAUUUCUUUAAGAAGAGAAAUCCAAAUUUGAUUCCGUAAUAUUCCUUAAAAACUAAACAAAAUUAUCUUUUCAACCAUAUAUUGUACAUAAUUUAUCUAUUUCUAGAAUGGUACAGUUAAUUCUAACAAAUGGGCUAUUAAUUUUGACCUUUGCUUCCCACUUUGACUAUCAUUUCCAAAUGUCCACAUUCAUCUUCAUUGUUAACCUCCAAACAAGAUAGGUCCAUAAAAACUCUUGUGUCAGUGAGACUUCUAUAUCCUAUAAAGACUUAAUAUUCUACCUUUUGAUCUAAUUUCUCCCUUUUGCAUCUAGAACAUGAGUAAACCACAAACAACCAAAAAUUCUCAAGUUGUGAAUAGAGGGUUUAAAACCAAACCAAGCUUCGAAAAGUGUUUUCCCCUUUAAAGCCUUUGUUGGUAAUCUGUUUUGCAUAAAUACAGUUGUAUUGACAGACUUAACCCAAAAUAUCUUUGGUAUUUCCUUCUCAAAUAAUAGGCACCUAGCCAUCUCUAUAAUUGUCCUUUUUUUUCUCUCACUGACUCCAUUUUAUUGAGGUGUAUAGGUGGCUGUAAACUGAUGUUCAAUCCCUGCAGCUUCGUAAAACUUAGCAACUUUAUUAGUUGUAUAUUCAGUCCUAUUAUCAGGCCUAAUCACCUUAAUUUUACAACCACUUUGAUUUUCAAUCCAUGUUUUAAACUUUCAAAACGCACUAGCAACUUCAAACUUUUGUUUGGGAAAGUAAACCCAACAUAUAGGGGUUUUCAGAAGUCAAUUUAAUUCGCUCAAUUCGUUCAAUCCAUAGAAAUCUGAUAUGUGGAUUGGUGGAUGAUUGAAUUGGAUUGAAGAUUUGAAAAUCCUCAAUCGGUGGAUUGAAUGUGGAUUUACUUUUGUAAAAAAAUUAUCUAAUAAAAAUUAAACUUGUAAAUAUGACAUUAUAAUUACUAAUAAAUAAAUAAGUUAAAAUAUAGUUGCAUUAAUAGAAUAUUAUAUCUUAUGCUAAUAAUAUAAAAUAACAAUAAUUGAAUAAAAAAUAGCUUCAUAUGCAGUUAAUUUUCAUUACUGAUCUAAACAAAUCAGAUUUUUUUUUUCUUUUGGUGUUUCAUAUUUUGAAACUUUGAAUGUAUUUUCUAUCUUUAUUCACAAAAUUAAUUUAUUUAAAUCUUAUUUAAUUUUGAAUUUGAUUGGUAGUAAAAUUAUUUUUAUAUUAAUUGUUUUUAGUUAGUUUGUGAAUAGGACAUGAUUAAAACUUUUUAGCCUGCAAAAUUAUGGAUUGGAUACGCAUUGGGUCAAAUCCGCAUCCGAUCUGUAGACGUAUAAAUUGGAUUUGGAUUGAAUUUCACCAAUCCGUGGAUUGGAUUGGAUUAAAAAUUUAUAAUCCGCAAAAUCGUGGAUAAGAUAUGGAUUAAUGUCCAAUCUGCAAAAUCAGAUCCGCAAACACCCCUACCAAUAUAUUUUGCUAAAAUCAUUAAUAAGAACCAUAAAAUGCUUGUUACCUCAUAAAGAUGCAAACUGCAUAGGUCCGCAAACAUCAGUGUAGAUCAACUGAAGCUUCUCAACUGCUCUCCAUCCCUUAUUAGGAGGAAAUGGCAAUCUAUCUUGCUUUCCUAGCUGACAAACUCCGCACACAACUGUUUCUCCUCUAUUGAAAUUCAUUCCUUGCACAAGAUCAUUUUGGUGCAUGUAUUCUAAUACAGAAUAAUAAAAAUGCCCUAUUUGCUUGUGCCAUAACUCAGCCUGGCUCAAAGUACAAGAAAAUACCCCAUGUAGAAUAAUGAUAUGCAUUAGAUUCAUUCUUGUUCCAAUUUAGGCUGAAACUUUUGUCAUUCAUUUUCACAGAGAACAACACUACACCAUUUAGGUCAGUAAUGAAACACAUGUUAUUCUUAAAUACAACAGAAUAACCUUUCUUAAGCAAUUGUCCCACACUUAACAGAUUUCAAUUAAUUUUAAGAACAAAUGAUACAUUAGAAAUUAACUUCAUACCUAUUGAGCCUUUUAUUGCAAGGGUCCCUUUACCUUUCACUUCAAUAUACUACCCAUUGCAAACUUUGACCCUUGACACUUCUAUAAGCCAGUCAUCACUUGAACUGUUACUUAAGAAACAAGAUACAAUAAAAAUUUGCUCAUCUUAUUGUUGUUUUUUUACUACUUGAGCUUGGUGUUCUUCUUGAUGUUUGUUUUUACACACCCUCUCCAUAUGCCCCAUUUGCUUGCAUGACCGACAUUGAAUGUUAGGCCUAAACCAAUAUUUCUUUUACGGAUGAGAGGUUCUUUUACAAUGAGGACAUGGGGAGUGCUUGCCGUUGCUGCCUGCCUUCAUCCUGCUUUCCCCUUUCUUGUAAUUCUCCUUACUCUAUUGUUUCAUUUCUUUGUUGCCUCUUUGAGCUUGAUCAACUUCAUUAAUUUGAAAUGCUCUUUCAAUUGUCUCCUCCUUUUUAUAAGCUCUCCAUUAUUCUUGAGCUUGCAAUGCAUUGACGAGGUCUGCUAAUGUUAUUAUUGACAUAUCUUUAGACUCUUCAAGUGAAGCUAUUUAAGAUUCAAAUCUCUCAGGCAAGGUCACCAAAAUCUUCUCUACAACCCUUCUAAGCUCUUUCCCUAGUAUUCUAAUUUUAUUGGCAAUCAUCAAAAACUUAUCUGUAUAGUCCUUAAUUGCUUCAAUCUCCUUUAUUUUCUAUAUUUUAAAUUCCUUUCUCAGGUUCAGAACCGUAAUUUGUUUUUUUGAUGAUGUUCCCCUAAUAUUCUUCCUUCAAAAGAUCCCAUGCUUGUUUUGCUAUUUCACAAGUCAUGAUCUUCAUAAAAAUUGUCUCUGAAACUACAUAGUGGAUGCAUGUCUUGGCUUUAUAUCUCCUUUUUCUUUCAUCUCUCUUAUUCCUGAUAUAAGCUAUUGGUGGAUCCUCGGGAUAUGCUUACACCAAGUCCCGUAGGUCACAUUGUAACACCCGUUAUUUUUAUUUUAUUAUCAUAUAUCUAUUUUAUAGAAUAUAAUAUUUUGGGUUAAUGUUUUCAAGGGUAUUUUAUUGUAUUUCUUUUAAAUCUCAAAUCACUUAAUUUAUUUAUUCAUUUAUUAAAUACCUUAUUUAAAAAGGAAAUAAAUUACUUAAUGGGUAAUUUUAAAAAGGCUUGGCCUAUAAAAAUUUCCUCUACGUUAUUUUAUUUUUCGAAACCUUAGAGCCUAAAAAAAAAAAAAAUAGAAUACAGCAGCCAACAUAAGAAGAAAUUCAUGUUUUUGAAAAGAAGAGGGGAAGAUUUUAAUUGUGGUCUUUUUUUCCAUUAAAGGAGUUCUUGAGCUUGGAUUUUGUCUUGAAGGUAGGAAAUAAUUUAUAAGCCUUUGAACUGCUGAUUUUGAUUUUGAUUUUACGUGAUUGAUUGAAUGAUUUUACAUGUGUUGUAUUAAUAAAACUAUGAAAAGUAUGAUGAUGUACUAAUUUAUGUGUUAUUGAGUAGUAGUGCUAUUAUGUUAUCUUGGAAACUGUGCACAAUAUAGAUUGAACAUUAUAUGAGGGCUGUUUUCAUUGAGUCUUAUACAUAAAACUUUAUUGAUUAUUAAACUCGACAUUGUUAUCUUUCUAUUCAUAUGUUUAUUGUUCAAAAACUCAUUGUAUAUUAAUUGUUUUGAUUUUUCGAAAUUGGAACACUGGUGCUAGAAAAUUCUUAUAUUAAACAGUAAUUCUCAUUUUUAUAAUUUAUUUCAUAACACAAACGACUUUAGAAAAUUAUGGGAAUUUUUAUUAUUGUACAUGUAUGUCUAGUUUUUGUGUUUCUAAUUUCGUAAGUUUUGGUUUUAUAUAAAAGUCAUUAAAAAUCAUAGAGUUGGACUGCCACAAUCGUAGAAACUAUUUUCCAGAAUUGCAAGGGCUGAUAUUUAGGUCAGUUUGGGCUAGUUUUUUUUUAUCAAUAAAUGUCUUGUAAAUUUUAAAUCAGAUUCCUUUUUUUUCCUCUAAUUACCAAAACUGGAAUUGUCCUUUUUGGACAUGUGUAGCUAAAGUUAUGAAUUUUUGAAACAACAUUCCUCUAUUUAAAUCAUUACUGGAUAGUCUUGAUGUUUUUGUGGGAAAUCAAUUUUCGGAGAUGAUUAUCAACUCUAACUAAUCUUGUUAAUUUUGUAUUGAAUGUCAACAUGUUCACAGUGGUGUUUGUGAUAUUUAUGAUUUUCCGACAUAUUUAUAGCUUGAUAGAAAUUAGCUCCUGUAUGAUGGUCUAGUAAAGUUAGUGAAUUGAUGUGCUUAAGUAAGAGUACAUGGUUUAAGGAUUUUUAGGUUUUCCUAUCUAGGUCAGAAUUGAAUAAGAUAUUGAUAAAAAUCUUGUCUUGAUAAUUAUAGGCUAAGAGUGAGCUCGCAUGAUUGGGGUUAUUGUUGAUUGCUUUGGAUCGAGGUAAGUGAAUUCAUGCAUAAUGUUUAUUAUAAGUAUAUAUGUAAAUAUUUAUGAAUGGAAUACUGUUGUUCAAAUGGAUUAGCACUUUAUGGUUUUGAAGUUAUUUAAUUUUUUUUUAAGCUUUGUUUUAAACAAGAUCAUAAAAAAUAAUUAGAUGAAGAUAUUACCUAUUUUGUGCAAACAUUUCGGCAAAAUCUCCCCUUAAAAAUGAGCACAUCCUUAAAAACAAAAAUGGUUAAAACACUCCUAUAUAAAUUUAACUUAUCAAGCAAACUCCAUAUUCACCAAUUGUUCAACCAGAUAAGCAAUAUACCAUUAAAAUCAUCACAAUCAUAAUCAAAGCUCUAACAUAUCAUCAAAAUCAUCACAAUCAUAAAAAAAGUUCAAAUAACUGACAUAUCAUCACAAAAGCUACAUGAUAUCAUUAGAACAUUAAACAAAUGAGAUGAGUAAUGUAUGUGCGAAAAAAAAUAAAAGCCGAAACUAAGAAGGAGGCUACGAAGAGGGACUGCUAGGAUCAUAUCCAAAAUAUGCAAGGAGGCGUCGCUCACCAGCAAUGAGUUCAAGCUGCUAGUCUAGACUCUGUUACUAAAAGGUCUGAAAAUGGGAUUGGAGCUGCUGCUGUUGCAGGGAGAGGGUAUCCAUUUUGUCAAGGAUCUGCUUCUGCUGCUCGGAAAGUCUGCGAACAUCAUCAACCAACUUCUGCAGGGUAUCGGUUGCUCUAUAGCUGGAGGCUGCUCUGGAGCUAGAGGAUGAUCAGUCCAUCUCACGCUCCUCAGAAACAAAAUCGGCUGGAGGCUGGGGUAUAGAACAAUGAGGAGGAGGUGGAAGGUGAGCUCCUAAGCUAAAAUCAGGAAGCUAAUCGGGAGGAUAAACACCAUUAAGCAUGGGAUCAUCUUCUUGAGCAACAAGGGUGUCUCGGUUCUUAGAAUUGGGGGUCUUGAUCUAUUCCCCGUUCUUCUGAGAAAAACCAAUGCUCGUCAUAGCUUCCGGACUAUUCUGUUUAGUCUCCAUAUAGACUGCAUCCCGAAGAGGCACUUGGAAGUGCUGCAGUAUCUUAGAAAUAAUACUACCAUAUGGGAGCAAGCGGUGGUUAACCACAUGAGUACUCAAUAUGUGUCUCAAAAUAAUGUAUCCAAGGUUAAUAGAUCGUCCCUCAAUGAGACUAUCGAAUAACCUGACAUCCAACCUCGUUACCUCAACCGAAUGACCAUUCCUAGGAUUAAUAAUGUGCUAUAAAAUAUUGUAGAGGAUUCGAACUUGUAGAGGCAACAAUUGUGAUCGAAAGGGAAAAGUACAAAUAUCACUAGUGAGAUUCCUACGCCGACAAAUGUUUCGAACACCAACAUUAUAAGAAAAAUCGACAAACGAGAGGGCUUUCAUAGAUGUAUAAAUAUUGUGACCAACAUUCGGGAUUCCUAGAUUAUUGUUUAAGUCCACAACAUCAAAUUCUAUGAAAACAUCCUCGACAUGAGUGACUAUCCUAUCUAAUCUAGUUGCGGAAAUUUCCAUAUUCGAGUAAAAAACACCGACUAAAUUAGGAUAUAUCAUUCAUCAAGAUCUAAAGCCGGUUCCUAAGGUAAUAGCAUGUUUCUAACACUUCUACCACAAAGCGGUCUUCGAAACGUUUAGCCAUUGGAGCAGUGGGGAAAUCGAUUCUUUUGAAUUUAGAGAUUUCUCGUGGUGGUAUGAGAUUCCUACCAAGAAUACCUUUUAUCUUCCGAGCAGGCCUUGAUGGUACAGCCAUGAACGCACGGGGAAAUUUGGAAUUUUUGAAAAAUUUGAAAAUAAAGGAAAUGGAACUGAUUAAAAAGAUAAUGGAGAGUAUAGGAUGUGAUUAGGAGGCUCAAUUUCGCCAAAAGAGGACAAAAAUCUAGCCAAAAUUGAAAAAAACCCUUCGGCUGCUCUUAGGGUUUUGAUUUAGGAAUUUUUUAUUUGGGGCUUGAUUUGUUAUUUUGAAUCGGUAAAAGAAGUCUAAUGAUGCUUGGAAAGAUUUCUAUCAGAUUAAUUUACCAAGAAGUUGCAAGAAAAUGAAGAAUCUUAGAGAGAGAGAGAGCUUAAGUAUCGCGGUUAUGGAGAAAACGGUGAGAGUGUAAAUGAAGCUAAAGAAGAAAACCUAGAAACAAUUUAUAUCACACAAAAACAGCGAGCUGUUCGACACAAUCGUUGCGUUGAUAAUUUCUAGAUAGCUCCCGUUUGAAAACGGUCAACAGGUUGACACUAACGGUGAAGUAGUAAAUUUGCAGACAUUAUAUCCUAGUUUCUGGAUUUAAACAGUACACCGUUUAUUUUAACUAUGAUUUCGCACAUUUGUUUUCAUUUUUUGCCAACAAAUAAUACAUUCCAAGAUCAUUUUAUUGAUAUAAAAUAUUUAAGGACCCGUUUAAUGCAUGAUUCAUGAACUCACAUGUUUUCAAACAAUCAAUUCAUAUAGGCAUUCAAAAAUAAAUAAUUUAAACACAUCACUUAUAUAUCAUGCUCAAACACUUCAUGAACAUAAAAAAAUCAUCAAUCAAUCAAUUUUAAUAGUCUCAAUAACAUGAUUAGAGAUGUUAAUGCAAAAAUUUCAUCAUCCCAAGUUCAUGUCGAAUUUUUGAAAAUUGUUCUUUGCAAAGAGGUUUGUAAAAAUAUUGGAAAGUUGUUUUUUCGUAACGAUAAACUCUAAUGCAAUAUCUCCUUCUUGAACAUGAUCUCUCAAGAAAUAAUGUCUAAUUUCUAUAUGCUUGGUUCUAGAGUGUUGAAUGAGAUUCUUUGAUAGAUUUAUAGCACUAGUGUUAUCACACUUGAUAGGAAUUUGUUGAAGAUUAAUGCCAUAGUCUCUGAGUGUUUGUUUCAUCCAAAGGGCUUGUGUACAACAACUACCUACAACAAUAUAUUCAGCCUCGAUGGUUGAGAGUGCAACUAAAUUUUGUUUCUUACUAAACCAUGAAACAAGUGAAUGACCUAGUAAAUAGCAAGUUCCACUAGUACUUUUCCUAUCAACUUUAUAACUAGCAAAAUCCUCAUCUGAAUAACAAGUUAAAUCUAUACGAGUUCCUCUAGGAUACCGAAGGCCAAGAUCUAUGGUUCCACUCAAAUAACAAAAAAUUAUUUUCACAGCAAGCAAAUGAGAUUCCUUGGGACAUGAUUGAAAUCUUGCACACAAACAUACACUAAACAUGAUAUCGGGUUUACUUGCAGUUAAAUAAAGUAAAGAGCCGAUCAUUUUGAUAUCAAGUUCUUUGCCUUUUUCAUCUUUGUCAGGCUUGGUUAUUGUUCUCAUUGGAGUGCUCUUGGUCUUUGAGUCAUUAAUGCCAAAUCUCUUGAGUACGUCUUUCACAUACUUGGCUUGAUUUAUGAAACUUCUUUCCUCAUUUUGUUUUAUUUGCAGCCCAAGAAAGUACUUCAACUCUCCUGACAUACCCAUAUCAAAUUCUUUACUCAUACAAGAUGAAAACUCCUUGCACAAAGACUCAUUAGUAGAACCAAAGAUAGUAUCGUCAACAUAAAUUUAAACAACAAGUAUAUCUUGGUUUUUAUUCUUAACAAAGAGAGUAGUAUCCGCUUUUCUCAUUGAAAAACCGUUAUCCAAUAGAAAAUUCUUAAGUCUAUCAUAUCAUGCUCUAAGUGCUUGCUUUAAUCCAUACAAUACUUUUGACAACUUAUAAACAUGAUUUGGAAACUUUUCAUUUUCAAAACUAGGGGAUGGUUUCACAAAAACUUCCCCUAUAAUAUAACUAUUUAAGAAAGCACUCUUGACAUCCAUUUGAAAUAAAAUGAAAUCUUUAUGACAUGCAAAUGCUAAGAGCAUCCUAAUGGAUUCUAAUCUAGCUACCGGUGAAAAAGUUUCAUCAAAAUCAAUUCUCUCUUCUUGGUUGUAACUUUGAGCCACUAAUCUAUCUUUAUUUCUUACAACCACACAUGAUUCAUCCAUUUUGUUUCUAAAUACUCAUUUAGUGCCUAUAAUGGAAUGCUGUUCCGGUGAGGAACUAAUUCCCGCACAUUGUUUCUCUCAAAUUGAUUUAACUCCUCUUGCAUUGUCAUAAUCCAAGAUUCAUCAUUUUCUACAUCCGCAAAUGAUUUUAGUUCAAUUUGAGAUAUGAAUGCAGCAUGCUCACAAGUAUUUCUAAAUGAUAAUCUAGUAGGUAUGCCUUGUGAUGGAUUUCCUAAAAUUAAGUCUUUAGGGUGAGAUGAACCAUACCUCCACUUUUUGGCGAGUGAUUGAGAAGUACCUUCAUUUUGCUUUCCAUUUGUUUCUUCAUGUUGCUCCUCUUGAUUUCCAUGUGGUGCAUCAUUUUGGUUAUCAUUUAAUGACUCUUCUUGUAGUUCUCUCCGCAGAGGAAGCGUUAGAUUCAUCAAACGUAACAUGCAUAGAUUCUUCCACAACUAGAGUCCUUUUGUUAUAAACUCUAUAAGCUUUGCUUGAGUUUGAAUACCCAAGAAAGAUGCCAACAUCGGAUUUUGGAUUAAAUUUACCAAGAUUAUCUUUUGUGUUCGAAAUAAAAUAUUUGCAUCUAAAACUUUGAAAUAACCAAUGUUGGGUUUUCUAUCUUUCCAAAGCUCAUAUGGAAUUUUAUUGAGAUGAGGUAUAAUCAAUACAUGAUUUAGAACAUAACAAGCAGUGUUGAUGGCCUCGGCCCAAAAAUACUUAGGCAAAUAAUUUCUUGAAAAUUGAUGCACAAUGCCUAAAUUGCUGCAAAACGUUUCAAAUGGAUGAUUUUCAAACUCUCCUCCAUGAUCACUCCUAAUGCAUACAAUACCAUACCCUUUUUCAUUUUGAACUUUCUUACAAAACACUUUAAAAACAUCAAAAGCAUCAUUCUUAUUAGCUAAGAAUAAUACCCAUGUGUAUCUUGAAAGAUCAUCAACAAUUACAAAAGCAUAAUACUUGCCACUAAAACUAGCAUAUCUUGAAGGCCCAAAUAAAUCUAUAUGAAGUAAUUAAAGAGGUUUUGAAAUAGAGAUAUGAUUUUUAUUUUUAAAAGAGGUUUUGAUUUGUUUACCAAAUUGGCAUGCUUCACAUAUUCUAUCUUUUUGAAAUCCGAGUUUUGGAAGACCUUUAACUAAAUCGUUUUUGGAAAUCUUUGAAAUUAAAUCCAUGCUUGCAUGUCCUAGUCUUCUAUGCCAUAACCAACCAUCAUCAUGCAAUGCGGAAAAACAUUUAUCAUGGGUAGAUGCACAAUCUAUAUCAAUAUUAUAAACAUUAGCACAUCUAUUUUCUACAAACAAAAUCUUACCAUUACAUGCAUUUUCAAUAACACAUUUUGAUUUAACAAAGAUAACUCUAUAUCCUUUAUCACAUAAUUGACUAAUGCUAAGCAAGUUGUGUUUUAAGUUUUCAAUAAAAAACACAUUUUCAAUAAGAGUAGAGGAUACAUUACCGACAUUGCCAAUACCAAUGAUAUUUCCUUUUGAAUUAUCUCCAAAGGAUACAUUUCCACCAUUUUCGAUCUUCGUAAAACUUAAAAAUCAAGAAUAAUUUCCUAUCAUGUGUCUUGAACAUCCACUGUCCAAGUACCACUUAUUUUUCUUUUUCUUUGAUACUUGUAGAAAAAAUUUCUAAGUUUUAGGUACCCAAAACUUCUUGGGUCCUUGAGUGUUAAGAAUGGUUCCUUUUGGAACCCAAACCCAUUUCACACCAUAAUAUGUAUUUCUUUUCACUAGACAUAUAUUUUUUAUGUGACCAUCUUAAUUACAAUAAUGACAUACAACUUGAUUGUUAAUGGAGAUGUUCUUCGCAAAGUAAUUUUUAGGGAAAUUAUCAUUCAUAUACCCUAUAUUUGCUCUGUUAUAAAAAAUACUACAACACUUUGAGGGUGUAUCAAUCGUCCACCCUUAGUUGACAAAAUGUAUCAGCCGACCACCAAACCGUUAGUUGCUGUUUGAAAGUUAACGGAGUUACAGUGAAUUGACGAUUUUACCCUUGAAAAUUAUCACUUAUAUACCCUUAAAUUCUCUUUUUAUCACUUGUAUACCCUUAAAUUAUCACUUGUAUCAUAUGAAAAAGACCAAAUUAUCCUUCUGACGUCAUUAUACUUAAACGGCAACUAACGGUUUGGUGGUCAGCUGAUACAUUUUGUCAACUUAGGGUGGACGAUUGAUACACCCUCAAAGUGUUGUAGUAUUUUUGAUAAUAGAGUAAACUAAGGGUAUACAAAUGAUAAUUUCCCUAAUUUUUAUAAUACUUUUGUUUCAAAUUUGGCUUAUAGCCAACCAAUACCUCCUUUGUCAAACACACAUUUUGUGAAUUAAGCAAGUUAUCCAACAUCUUUUGCCCAUUUGUGAAUUUCAACAUAAUUUUAUUUAGCUCAUUACUCUUUUUCUUAAGCACUUCAUUUUCUUUUAUCAAUUCAUCAACAUGUGAUUUUUUAUGCUCAUAUGAAGUGCUAGAUUUCUCAUUUGAUAAUCCAACUCUAUCAUGCAAUGUUUUAUUUUAAAAUUCUAAGUAUGUAAUCUUUGCACUUAGAGAUUCAUUUUCAUUUGUGAGCUCUACCAUUUUCUUUUUAAGACAUGCAUUCUUUUUACCAAUUAUCAUCCACUCAUCAUGAAAUUCUUUAAAAGCAUCAUGUAAUUCAUCAUAUGUAGAAAGCUCACUUACCUCAUAAAGUUUAUCAAAUGAUUCUUCCCCAAAGGCCAUGAGAGCUAAAUUUGUCAUCUCUUGGUGCACUUCAACAUCACUCGAUUCCUCAUCACUAUCAUCCCAUGUGGCUACCAUUGCUUUCUUCUUGGGCUUGUUGAGAAGAGGACAUUCUGACCGUAUGUGUCCAGGCUUCUUGCAUUCAUAAUAAGUAAUUUGCUCAUUCUUCUCCUUUUGAUUCUUGAAGUUUCUAAACUUUCUCCACUCACUAGUUUUCUUGUAGAACUUUUGAAUCUUCUAGUCAGCAUAGCCAUCUCCUCAUUAUCCAACUCACUUUCCUCAUCGCUCUAAUAUUUUGAAGCUUUGAGAUCAAUGCUUUUCUUCUUCUCUUUAUGCCCUUUUUCUGCUGCUAAGUCUUCUUCAUAUGAAAUGAUAGAGCCAAUUAAAUCAUCAAUAGGUAAAGUAUUUAAAUUUUUUCCUUCUUCAAUGGCAUUUCUCUUAGGUCUCCAUUCUUUUGGAAGUGACUUAAUGAUUCUUUUGACUUUCUCGCUUUUCGAAAAAGUUUUUUCUAGGGCUCCUAGGGUGUUCACAAUGUCUGUAAAUCUUGUUUACAUAGAAUACACACUUUCAUUUUGUUCCAUUUGGAACAAUUAGUAUUGACGAGUGUAUUUACUCAUUUUAGACUCUUUAACUUGAUUUGUCCCUUGAUAGAUAACCUCAAGUUUAUUUCAUAUUUCUUGUGCACUCUCACAACUAGAUACUUUAUGAAAUUCUUUUUUAUCAAGAGCACAAAACAAAGCAUUCAUUACCUUGGAGUUUAAAGACAUCUUUUUCUUUUCUAACUCACUCCAUUGACUUGAAGGUUUUGGAAUAUCAUCUCCUACUUCAUUUUUAGUCAUAGGCAUGAAUGGACCAUCACAAAGAACUUCUUAAAUUUCGUAAUCUAAGGCUUGUAAAUAAAUUCUCAUCCUAGUUUUCCAAUAUAGGUAGUCAUUACCAUAAAAAAAUGGUGGCCUAGUUGUGGAUUGUCAUUCCCUAAAGGUAGAGUCAUUUGGGGUUACCAUGAAUCUUUUACUCUAGACGGUUAAUUCCCAAUAAGAGAACCUCGCUCUGAUACCAAAUGAAAUGCAAGUUAUGCAACCCAAAAGGGAAGUGAAUUGGGAUUUUAAAACUUAAGCAAAGCAAACCACACAACAAUUUAAUCUAAUGCCUUAAUGGAAUAAAAAAAUAAUAAAUUCAAUAAAGCACAAUAAUAAAAUAGUAAGGGAAGAGAAAACAAAGACAAUGACUUUUACAUGGUUCGGCAAUCCCCGCCUAUAUCCACGCCUUCAAGCUCACCGUGCUUGAGGAUUUUGUUAACAUGUAUAUGUUCAUAAUAUUGAUUUUGAUAAUAAAAAAAUUUAAAUGUUUUUUAUUAAAUGUUGGAGCUAUUACAUUAAUAAAAGAAAGUCGUAUAAUCUUUCUUAUUUUGUUCAUAAAAGAUGGAUAUCUGUCAAACUUCAAUUGGAAAAUGACUUCCUGCAAUUUUUGGCUAAACUGUGAUUCUAGAAGUAAACGAUUCACUGUUUACUUUAAAACGGUUAACCGAUUAAAUCCAAAGAGUAACAAAUUGCUUAAGCUCUAACCGGUUAAGAAAAACGGAUAAGGCUAAUGUGUUUUGCAGGUUACUGGAAAUAAACGGUGAACCGUUAAUUACAAACAGAUAACCGAUAAUUUCUAAAAUUUCAUUUCGUGCUAAUCUUUAACCGUUUAGUGAAAACGGAUAGCUGACAUUUAUCUUGGAAGUCUCUGGAAUUUAACGGCCAAAAGGUAAGCAUAAACAGCAAACCGUUUAUUUGAAUUUUGGCCUAAUGGUAACUUUGACCAAUUCAAACGGUUAACCGUUACAAUAAUGCUACACAUCCUAAAUAUUAAUCCCAAAAACUCAUCCCAAGUGAUGUGGUAGCUGAUAUGGCAUCCCACUUAUAAGUUUAUUUUAAAUUAAAAUAGGCCCUUAUAAAAUAAUUUAUUUUAAAGCACAUCCCUGGUUUCCUUUUACAGUUGAAGGUCUUUUGCCCUACCGUUCUUGACUUGGUUGCAAAUUGAACAGGUUUGUCCUAUCGCUUUUUUGCUUGGUUGCAAAUUUGAGAGAAAGUUCAAAGAGAGCAAAGCUUUCGAUUUCUUCUCACCCAUGACAGGUUUGUAAUUCCCACCAAACUAUUUUACUAACACUCAACAAUCUGCACUUCUUGAAAAAAAAAAUUAAAUUGAUGGAAUUUGAAUUGCUUGACUGCAAACUAAAUGAAUAGAGAGAGGAACUUUAGGAAGAACAAAACUUUCAGCUGAGAUGACGGAUUUGCAGUCAAAAGAAAUAGAAAACUCCCCAAAAAUCAUUACUACUGAGGUGAAUUUUUUAUUUUUACCUUAUUGUUUUUAUACCUUAUAUUAAUAUGUUUCGAAUUUGUAUUAAUUGAUGAUGAUUUUAAUUAGUUGGAUAUUUUUGUUUUAUUUGAAUCAGGUUGAUGACGAGAACAAUAUAAGUAACGAACCAAAUGCAGAAGAAAUUAUUGAGCAAAAAAUUGGCAUGAUUUUUUAUACAGCUCAGGAUUUGUUUGAGUUCUACAAGAUAUAUGGGAAGAUAAUGGGAUUCGAAAUUAUUAAAAGAACCUCUAGCAAAGGAGACGAUGGAGAGUUGAAAUAUGUGACAUUUUCAUGUUCACGCAGCGGUAAGGCAAAAUCUUUAUCGAACCAUCCUUUUAGAUUACAGCCAACAUCGAAAACAAAUUGUAAGUCUAAAGUAAGGGCAGCAACAUGCUUGGAUAGAAAAUGGGAAAUUAGAUCCAUUACAUAUGAGCAUAAUCAUGAGUUAAACACACCAAGUAAGGCUCGUUUUCUAAAAACCAACAGGGUAAUGAAGUUGUUUGUUCAAAGAAAGUUGGAAUUGAAUGAUCAAGCUAGAAUAAGACCAAAUAAAAGCUUUAAUUCUUUGGUGGUUGAAGCAGGAGGGCAUGAGAAUUUAAGUUUCCUAGAAAAAGAUUGUAGGAAUCAUUUAGACAAAGUAAGGCGGUUAUGGCUUGGGGAUAAUGAUGCUUCUGCAGUUCUAGAUUAUUUCUUAAAAAUGCAAGAUGGCAACUCCAAUUUUUUUUAUAUGGUGGAUUUAGAUGAAGAUGCUCGAUUGAAAUUUUUUUUUAUAUGUUAUUACAUUUUAUUCAACAUAUCUAACAAAUAAAUAUGAUAUGCCAUUCGCUGCUUUUGUUGGGGUCAAUUAUCAUGGACAAUCAACAUUAUUAGGAUGUGGUUUGAUUUCUAACGAGGACACUGACACAUAUGUAUGACUUUUUCAAUCUUGGCUUACAUGCAUGUCUGGUUGUGCUCCAAAUGCCAUAAUCACUGAUCAGGAUAAGGCCAUGGAAAAGGCAAUUGAAGUUGUCUUUCCGCAUGUGCGACAUAGGUGGUGUUUGUGGCAUAUAAUGAAAAAGCUUCCAGGAAAAUUGAAAGGCUACAAGAAAUAUGAAGUGAUCAAGUUGACUAUGCAGAAUAUUGUUUAUGAUUCUUUAAUACCUUCUGAUUUUGAUGAACGUUGGAUGGUGUUCAUUGAAAAAUAUAAUCUUCAUAACAAUGAAUGGUUGCAAGACUUGUAUAAUGAGAGGCGACGUUGGGUGCCAGCAUAUGUGAAGGAUAUAUUUUGGGCAGGAAUGUCUACAACACAACGCAGUGAGAGUAUGCAUGCAUUCUUUGAUGGGUAUGUAAAUUCAAAAACUACUCUAAAACAAUUUGUUGAACAAUAUGGAAAUGCACUACGAGACAAGGUGGAAAAAGAAAAUCAUGCUGAUUUUAAUGAUUUGAAUUCUAAUAUCCCUUGUGUUACUCAUUAUGCCAUGGAGCAGCAAUUUCGAGAUGCUUAUACAAUGGAAAAAUUUAGAGAAUUUCAGCAAGAGCUAAAAGGAAAAAUCUUUUGUGAGAUAUUUUCAUGCCAAACAAAUAUUUUAACUUCAAAGUUUAUAGUAGUUGAAGAUGUUAAAUUUGGAGAAAUCAUCGUCGUGACCCUUUUGAAGUUUCUUUUAAUGAGGUUAAUUGUGAGAUAAAUUGCAAAUGUCGUCUAUUUGAGUUUAAGGGAAUAUUAUGUCGACACAUCAUUGUAGUGCUUAUUCAUAAAGAAAUAUUUUCUGUACCGGAACAAUAUAUUUUGAGGCGAUGGAGAAAGGAUAUAAAAAGAUGUCACACCAAGGUGAAAGUAAGUAAUGACAAUUGGAGCAUAAAACCUGAAGGACUUAGAUUUGAUAAGAUGUGCAACUUUUUUUAUGAAGUAGCUGAACUAGCAACUAAUAAUGAGAAUAAUUGCAAUAUGGUGUUGGAGGUAUUAGAUGAUUUGAAAGCAAAACUAAUGUUAAAUGGAGGUGGUGGUGAAAUUAGUCAAUGUGGAAGUAAUAUAGCUCAUGGCACAACAAAAUAUGGGGAGCUUCGUGGCAAUCAUAGUGGUAAAAUUCUUUCUCCACUAACAGUUAGAAGUAAAAGUCGUCCGCCUUACAAACGAAGGCAGUCUAAGAUUGAGCAAAUUAUUCAGAGAAAAAAGCAAAAAAAAAAAAAAAAACCAAGGUAUGAAAUUAAUAAACUUUAUGUAAAAUGCUUAUCAAAUAUUUUAUUAUACAAUACUUGUAAUUCAUGCAUAUUAUUUUAUUUAAGGGAUCUCAAACGAUAAGUAGUGAAACACAAAGAUAUGGAUUGGAGAACAACGCCACUUAUGCAACGGUUACUUCUAAUAAUCCAAUGCAGGUAAUGUGUUUUUAUUCUUUGUGCUUGGUAUAUAAUUAUGAGGAGUAUAUUAUUCUUAUUGUCAUUAGGUUGAUGUCAUUUUCUUUUAUAUUUAGGGUAAUAUAUAGAUAAAUAAAUAAUAUCUUUUCUCAUAGUUACAAAUCUUUGACAAAUCUUUAGCCUUUUUUUUAACAAAUUAUUUUUUAUAUUUAUAGGUCACACGAUAGUUGUAAGGAGAUUGAACUAUCUAGCAAGAAGCCAAACAUAAAAAGAUGGAGUAUAAGAAUUAUUUGAAAAUAUUAUGUUAUCAAAUGAUAAUGUUAGAUUAUUGUUAAAUUACUUUCAAAUUUUAGUUUUUGCUUUGAAAUUUAUGAUGAAUUAUGGAUUUUUAAUUGCAUCAAUGAUUAUAGGUUGAGCUAUUGCAAUUUUAUUGUAACAAUACAAUCCGGAUGUUAUGUUUUUGCGAUUUUAUGUUCUUAUAGUUAAUGAAUUUUCCUUUAAAAGAAAAAAAAGAGUGAACAUUUUAGUUAGGACUGCAGCAUAUCUUCAGUCUUUUAUAAUAAUGCAAAUGAAUAUUGCUGAAAAUUUUCUCUUUGAAUGACAAAGCUAAUUAAGUGUAGAUUGAUUUUCAGUACAUAUUGAGUUUAUAGAAGAAGCAAUUCUCUUGGGUUUCAUUGAAAUAAAUUACAAUGUUUAUUUAUUCUUUUCCCUAUGCUAACUGCUACUAACUAUUGAAUACGAAUAAUCACUAGACGGAAUCUAUUAAAUUUCUGUCAUAUAACUCUGCUUUCGUGCCCAUUCUAGCACAGAGAGCACUUCAGCUUGUGCAACCUCCUCAUUGUCUGCUCUAUGCACUGCAAUUUGGCAUAAAAAACUAAUGCUGAUAACUGAACAAUUUCUUCUUCAAAACACACAAGCUGAACCAAUGGAGCAAUCAUUCUUAUUUCAGUUGCUUUGGAAGUCAUGGCCAAAUUUAACUAAUGUCACAAAAUCUUUUGCAGUGCUUCAUAUGCAACCUGGGAACUAAAACAAACAAAACCAUAUUAAAUUAUUGCUUUUAAGAUUAAAGUAAAAAAGGGAAAACUUUGAAAAUAAAUUAUUUUGGUUAAAUGCAAGGUUUCCAAGCUCCAGAAAAUGUAUGUUUUAGGCAAAAUCAGGGUGAAACAAAAUUAAAAAAGUGAUCUUCAACAUGACCCACAUAAUGCAAAAAAAGUAAAGAUGUUUUAAGUGUAAUCUGUGUAAAACACAAAAAUUAAAAAGUUUUUAGUAACCUGAUAAAGAGUAAGAAAAAUUAUUCAAUACAAAAUCUAGCAACCUAAUUUGAAAAAUGAAAUCUUUAUUCUUAUUAUUUUUAUUUGGGAAGAAAAAUCAAAAUCAUUUAGAAAACAAAAGCAAUAAUACAAGAGGCAACAAACUAACCAAGCGGAUUGGUAAGCGAUAAGAUGAUACCACUGAAUACAAACCACUUUUACCAGAUUUAUACACCACUAUCAAUCCUCUUAUUCUUUUGACCCAAAUCCGCUAUCUCAAUCACAAAAAAUAAACAAAAAGGAAUCAAUAAAUACAUGCAGAUUGUUGAGUGCUAGAAAAAUAGUUUGGUAGGAAUUACGAACCUAUCAUGAGUGAGAAGAAACCGAAAACUUUGCUCUCCCUGAACUUUCUCUCUCUAUUCGUCUCUGUUUGUUCAAUUUGCAGCCAAGACCAAAACAAUAGAGCAAAAGACCUUCAAAUGUAAAAGGAAACCAUGGAUUUGCUUUAAAAUAAAUUAUUUUAUAGGGGCCUAUUUUAAUUUAAAAUAAACUUAUAAGUGGGAUUCCAUAUCAGCUGCCACAUCACUUGGGAUGAGUUUUUGGGAUUAAUAUUUGAGAUGUGUAGCAUUAUUGUAACCGUUAAUAGUUAACGGAGAACCAUUUUCGGGCAGACAGUCUGUAACGGCUAUUUUUCAGCUCCAACUAUAAAUAAACUCAUUCCAAUUCAAACAAGGGUUGAUCACAACAUUAUGAUUAAACUUAUAUUUGUGAAUACAAUCUUCAAAGAGCUUUAAACACAUUCAUUCUUCAUCUAUUCACACAUUGGGCAUUGAUUUGUAAUCUUAAAUAUUGUGUGAGAGAAAAAUAAUUUGUAAUCUUUUGUUUUAAGUGAUUGUAAGUGUUGGGAUACACUUGGGUUAAAAGAUUGGAGAUAAUCUCUUGUUGUAAAGGUUUAUUGACACCUUGGAAGUCAAUUGUAAGCAUUUGAAGCCUUGGAAGCUUGUUUAGUGGAAUCCUCAAGCCCAGAAAGCUUGGAGGUGUGGACGUAGGCGAGGUUGGCCGAACCACGUAAAAAUCAUUGUGUUUGAAUCUCUCUUCCCUUAUCUUUUUAUGUUGUGAUUGAUUUAUUAGUCAUUUCUUUAAAUUCGUUUUAAGAUUUAUAUUAAGGUUUGCAUUAGAAUUGAAGAUUUUUUAGAAAUCCAAUUCACCCCCCUCUUGGGUUGCAUAACUAGAAUUUCAUUUGGUAUUAGAGCUUGGUUCUCUUGUUAGGACUUAAUCGUCUAGAGUAAAAGAUCUAUGGCAACCCAAAUAACUCAACUUUUAGGGAAAGACAAUCCACAACUAGACCACCGUUCUUUGACAGAAAUGACUACCCGUAUUGAAAAAUUAUAAUGAGAAUUUAUUUACAAGCACUAGAUUAUGAAAUUUGGAAAGUUGUAUAUGAUGGUCCAUUCAUGCCGUUGACUAAAAAUGAAGUCGGGGAAAAUAUUCCAAAACCUUCAUAGGAAUGGAAUGAAUUGGAAAAGAGAAAAGUAUCUCUAAAUUCCAAAGUUAUGAAUGCCUUGUUUUGUGUACUAGAUAAGAAAGAGUUUGAUAUAGUGUCUAGUUGUGAAAGUACAAAUGAAAUUUGGCACAAACUUGAAGUUGUUUAUGAAGGGACUAAUCAAGUGAAAGAGUCUAAAAUUAGUAGGUACACUCGACAAUAUGAAUUGUUCCAAAUGGAACAAAAUGAGAGUGUGUACUCUAUGUAUACUAGAUUUACGGACAUAAUGAGCACUCUAGGAGCCCUAGGGAAAACUUUCUCAAAUAGUGAGAAAGUAAAGAAAAUCAUUAGGUCACUUCCAAAAGAAUGGAGACCUAAAAGAACUGCUAUUAAAGAGGCCAAAAAUUUAAAUACUUUAUCUCUUGAUGAUUUAAUUGGCUCUCUCAUUUCAUAUGAAUUUGGAAGCAGAGACAGGGCAUGAGGAGAUUAAGAAAAGCAUUACUCUCAAAGCUUCAAAAUAUAAGAGUGAUGGGGAGAGUGAACCGGAUGAUGAAGAGUUGGCCAUGCUAGCAAGGAGGUUCAGAAAAUUUUUCAAGAAAACUAGUGAGCGAAGAAAAUUCAUAAACUUAAAAAACCAAAGGGAGAAGAAAGAGGUAAUCACAUGCUAUGAAUGCAAAAAGUCUGGCCAUAUAAGAUCGGAGUGCCCAUUUAUCAACAAACUCAAGAAGAAAGCCAUGGUUGCAACUUGGGAUGAUAGUGAUGAAGAAGAGUCGCAAGAAGUAUCAAACCUAGCGUUUAUGGCAAUAGGAGAUGAUGAUAAUCUCAAUGAGUUAAGUGAUCCUUCAUAUGAUGAAUUAUAUGAUGCUUUUAAAUAAUUACAUGAUGAGUUGAUGAAAAUUGGUAAAAAGAAUGCAUUUCUUAAAAAGAAAAUGCUACAACUUACAAAUAAUGAGAAGAUAAAAGAAUUAGAAUCAAAGAAUAAAAUGUUGCAUGAUAAGAUUAUAUCUUUUAAAGAUAAACAAAGCACUUAUGAGGAUGAGAAGUCAUAUGUAGAUGAGUUGAUGAAGAAAAUGUCAUAUGGAGAUGAGUUGAUGAAGAAAAUGAAGUGCUUAAGAAGAAAAAUAAUGAACUAAAUGAAAUUGUGCUAAAAUUUACAAAUGGACAAAAGAUGUUGGAUAAUAUGCUCAAUUCUAAAAAAUAUGUGUUUGACAAAGGAGAUAUUGGAUAUAAGCCAAAUUUGAAAUAAAAAUAUUAUAAGAACUACUUUGUGAAGAGUACCUCUAUUAAUAAUCAAGUUGUAUGUCAUUAUUGUAAUCAAGACGGACACAUGAAAAAUAAAUGUCCAGUAAAAAGAAAUGCAUAUUAUGGUGUGAAAUGUAUUUGGGUUCCAAAAGGAACCAUUGCUAACAUACAAGGACCCAAGAAGUUUUGGGUACCUAAAACCUAGAAACUUUCUCUGCAAGGCUUGAAGAAAAAGAAAAAUAAAUAGUACUUGGACAGUGACUAUUCAAGGCACAUGACCGGAAACUAUGCAUGGUUCUCAAGCUUCACCAAAAUUGAAAAUGGUGGAGAUGUAUCUUUUGGAGACAACUCAAAAGGAAAAAUUCUCAGAAUUGGAAAUGUUGGUAAAGUUUCCUCGACUCUAAUUGAGAAUGUAUGUUUGGUUAAGAACUUAAAACACAACUUGAUUAGUAUUAGUCAAUUAUGUGACAAAGGUUAUAAAGUUGUUUUUGAUAAAUUUAGUUGUCAUUGAGAAUUCAUGUGAUGGCAAGAUCUUAUUUAUUGGAAAUAGAUGUGGUAAUGUUUAUAUCAUUGACAUAGAAUGUACAUCUACUCUUGAUAAAUAUUUUUCGGUAUUGCAUGAUGAUAGUUGGUUAUGACAUAGAAGACUAGAACAUGCAAGUAUGGAUUUGAUUUCAAAAAUUUCAAAAAAAGAUUUAGUCAAAGGUCUUCCAAGAAUCGGUUUUCAAAAGGAUAGAAUUUGUGAAGCUUGUCAAUUUGGAAAACAAAUAAAAACGUCUUUUAAAAACAAAAAUCAUAUUUCCACUUCAAAACAUCUUCAACUUCUUCACAUGGAUUUAUUUGGACCUUCUAGGUAUGCUAGUUUAAAUGAUAAAUAUUAUGCAUUUGUGAUUGUGGAUGAUUAUUCUAGAUACAUAUGGGUCUUAUUCCUACUUAAUAAAGAUGAUGCCUUUAAUGCAUUUAGAAUUUUCUAGAAAAAGGUUCAAAAUGAAAAAGGUUAUUCUAUUACUUGUAUUAGAAGUGAUCAUGGUGGAGAAUUUGAAAAUCAUGCAUUUGAAAAUUUUUGUAAUGAUUUUGGCAUUGAGCAUCAAUUUUCAUCACCUAGGACUCCAUAAAAAAUGAAGUUGUUGAGAGAAAGAAUAAGUCUAUUCAAGAAAUGUUUAGAACUAUGUUGAAUGAAAAUAAUUUACCAAAAUACUUUUGGGCCAAAGCAAUUAACAUCGCAUGUUACGUUUUAAAUAGGGUGUUAAUUAGAUCUCAAUUUAAUAAAACUCCCUAUGAGCUUUGGAAAGAUAGAAAACCCAACAUUGACUAUUUCAAAGUUUUUGGAUGCAAAUGUUUUAUUUUGAAUACAAAAGAUAAUGUUAGUAAAUUUGAUUUAAAAUAAGAUGUUGGUAUUUUUCUUGGAUAUUCAAGCACAAGCAAAGCUUAUAGAGUGUAUAAUAAAAGAACUUUAGUUGUGGAAGAGUCUAUGCAUGUUACAUUUGAUUAGUCUAACCCCUCCUCUGCGGAGAAAGGAAUUGUUUAUGAUGAUGCAAAUGGAGAGUUACAAGAAGAAUCAUCAAAUGAUAAACAAAAGAAUGCACCAUAAAGAAAUCAAGAGAAUGGACAAGAAGAAUAAACAAAUAUGGAGCAAUAUGAAGGUACUUCUCAAACACUCCCCAAGGAGUGGAGGUAUGUUUCUUCUCACCCUAGGGAUGCAAUUUCGGGAGAUCUCUCACGUGGCAUAACUACUAGAUCAUCAUUUAGAAAUACUUGUGAGCAUGCUGCAUUUAUUUCUCAAAUUGAACCAAAAUCUUUUGUGGAUGCUGAAAAUAAUGAAUCUUGGGUUAUGACAAUGUAAGAGGAGUUAAAUCAAUUUGAGAGAAACAAUGUAUGGGAAUUAGUUCUUAAACUAGAACAUCAAUCCGUCAUAGGUACUAAAUGGGUAUUUAGAAAUAAGAUAGAUGAAUCCAGUGUGGUUGUAAGGAAUAAAACUAGAUUAAUGGCUCAAGGUUACAACCAAGAAGAAGGAAUUGAUUUUGAUGAAACAUUUGCACCCGUAGCUAGACUAUAAUCAAUUAGGAUGUUGUUGGCAUUUGCAUGUCAUAAAGAUUUCAUCUUAUUUCAAAUGGAUGUGAAAAGUUCUUUCUUAAAUGGUUAUAUUAUGGAAGAAGUAUAUGUAAAACAACCCCCUGGUUUUGAAAAUUAAAAAUUUCCAAAUCAUGUUUAUAAGUUGUUUAAAGCUUUGUAUGGAUUAAAACAAGCACCUAGAGCAUGGUAUGAUAGGCUUAAGAAUUUCUUGUUAGAUAAUGAUUUUUCAAUGGGUAAAGCGGAUACUACUCUCUUUGUUAAGCAUAAGAACAAAGAUAUACUUGUUGGUCAAAUUUAUGUUGAUGAUAUUAUUUUUGGUUCUACUAAUGAAUUGUUGUGUAAAGAAUUUUCAUCUUGUAUGAGUAAUGAAUUUGAAAUGAGUAUGAUAGGAGAGUUGAAGUACUUCCUUAGGCUGCAAAUAAAACAAAAUAAGGAAUGAAUUUUCAUAAAUCAAGCCAAGUAUGUGAAAGAUCUACUCAAGAGAUUCGGCAUUCAUCACUCAAAGACCAAAAAUACUCCGAUGAGUACGACAACCAAGCUUGACAAAGAUGAAAAAGGCAAAGAAGUAGACAUCAAAAUGUAUCGAGGUACGAUUGGAUCUUUACUUUAUUUAACUGCAAGUAGACCGGAUAUCAUGUUUAGUGUAUGUUUGUGUGCAAGAUUUCAAUCAUGUCCCAAGGAAUCCCAUUUACUUGUUGUAAAAUGAAUUUUUCGCUAUUUAAGUGGAACUAUAGAUCUCGGCCUUUGGUAGGAACUCGUAUAGAUUUAACAUGCUAUUCGGAUGCGGAUUUUUCCGGUUAUAAAGUUCAUAGGAAAAGCACUAGUGGAACUUGCCAUAUUCUAGGUCACUCACUUGAUUUAUGGUUUAGCAAGAAACAAAAUUCUGUUGCACUUUCAACUACCGAGGCUGAAUAUAUACCUGUAGGAAGUUGUUGUGCACAAGCUCUUUGGAUGAAACAAACAGUUAGAGACUAUGGCAUUAACCUUGAACAUAUUCCUAUUAAGUGUGAUAAUACUAGUGCUAUAAAUCUUUCAAAGAAUCUCAUUCAACACUCUAGAACCAAGCAUAUAGAAAUGAGACAUCAUUUCUUGAGAGAUCAUGUUCAAAAGGGAGAUAUUGCACUAGAGUUUAUUUCUACGGAAAAACAACUUGCCGAAAUUUUUACCAAACCUCUUGGUGAAGAACAAUUUUUGAAAAUUCGGCAUGAACUUGGGAUAAUGAAAUUUUUGCAUUAACAUUUCUAUUCAUAAUAUUAAAUCUAUUGAAUUAAUUGAAUGAUUGAUGAUUUGAUUAUUUAAUAGUUAUGAAAUGCUUAAGCAUGAUAAAAAAGUGAUGUGUUUGCUUUAUUAAUUCUUAAAUGUUUAUUUGAAUUGAUUGUUUGAAUAAAUGUUAGUUCAUGAAUCAUGCAUUAAAAUGACUUAUAAAACAUUUUUAGAUUAAUUAAAUGAUCUUGGAAUGUAUUAUUUGCUAGCCAAAAAUUAAAUCAAAUGUGCGAAAUUGUAGAUAAAAUAAACGGAUAAUCGUUUCUCAAUAAACGGUGUACCGUUUAAUUCCAGAAACCAGAAUAUGAUGUUUGCCAUUUACCCUUUUACCGUUUGACGCAAUCGGUAAACUGUUUAAAGACAGAGAGCUCACUGGAAGUUACCCCUUAACCAUUAAUAGAAUAACCUUUCAGCGUUUUUCUAUUAAUUACCCUCUGGAAGUUACUCCCUCACCGUUUAAAUAAACGGUUCGCCGUUUUCGUGAAAUAUAAAAUUGUUCCAAGGGUUUCUUCUCCUUCUUUAUCUGCCCUUUUACUGUUUCAGCCAUUGUUGCGCAAUCAAAGCUUUCUCCUUCUUCAAUCCUUCAUUUUUCUUCAUUUUCUUGCCAAAUCACACCGCUAAAAUCAUUCUACUUCAUCUUUAGAACACUUUCACCGAUUAAAAUCUUCAAAUCAAGCCCAAAAUCCAAAAAUCCCAAAUCCAAACCCUAAGGGCAGCCGAACGGAUUUCCUUUAUUUUGACCGAAAUUUUGCCCUGCCUCAACCAAAUUGAGCCGUAAUUUCACAUCCUCUACUCACUCUUGACUCAAUAAUCGAUUCCUUUUCUUCGAAAUAUACUUUCCUCAAAAUUCAUUAUUGUCACUGGUCAUCACCAUGUCUACCUCCACUCAUUCCACUCGAAGGAGGAAAGCUAUGCAUCAAAGAAUUCUCAUUCCACCACGGGAGACAUCUGAAUUCAAAAGACUUCAUCUUCCCACAGCACGAUUGCGCAAGCUCUUCGAGGAUCGCUUUAUGGGCCGAAAGGUAUUAGAUUCUUACUAUGUUGACAUAGAAGAUUUUAAGGAUUUAAUCGUGUGCGAUAGAAGUGUUAGAAAUAUGCUUCGAUCAUCAAAAUAUACUUGAUUUUGAUGAUCGAGUAUUUCUAAAUUUAGUCCGUGUUUUCUAUUCAAGCAUGGAAAUUUCUAAAACUUGAUUAGACGGAAUAAUUACUCAAGUUGGGUGUGUUCUCAUUGAGUUUGAUGUUGAGUUUUUAAACAACCUUUUAAGAAUUUCGGAUGAUGGGCAUAGGAUUUAUACAUCCCGGAAAGCCUUGUCUUUUGAUAGCUUUGCACAUUGUGAGGGUGUCCAAAAUAUUUGUGGCCGUCGGGACUUGUCUUAAGACAUUUGUACUUUACCUUUUCGAUCUCAAUUGUUAUCUCUCCAAGUUCGUAUCCUUCAUACUAUUCUACAGCAUAUCAUUACACCUAGGAAGGGUCAUUCAGAUGAGGUUACAUAGUUGGAUGUUGGGUUAUUAGAUAGUCUCAUUACCAGGAGACCUAUUAACCUUGGUUACAUUAUUGUGCGGCACAUAUUAAGUACUCCCGCAGUUAAUCACCGCUUGCUUCCUUAUGGCAAUAUCAUCUUUAAGAUACUGCGGCACUUUGAGGUGCCUCUCCGGGAUGCAUGUGUUGGUUAUAAAUACUAAUGCUAUUAAUGCCAAUGUGCAAGUGUACACAACAAGUAAUCAAAUGAUGAAUAUUCAAGAUCGACUCCAUAAGGAUUGAUGUUACUAGAAAUGCUACAGCAAUCACAAUAGUGCAAUCUAACUUAAUUUCGAAAUUAACAAAUGUUAAAGUUAGUUCUAUUGAAAGUGAUAAUUGUAAAAGAAUAAAAUAAAACAUUGCAGUAAUGAAACAAAUUAAAUAAAAUGCGUCGAAGAAUCAAGUGAGAAUAAGGUAGUUGAAUGAUCAAACUCUCUUUAUGGGCUGACUGUUUUUCAUCAAGUUAAGACCAGUUGUUACAGCAAUUGCUACAGCACUGGGUAGAAUUAUUUUGCAUCCUCAGCUGUCGCGUGUUGGAACUCUCAUACCCUUAAGUAUAUUAGCAAUGACCAGUUGCUAUUCUACCUAUGGCAUGGCAUUAUGAACCUUUAUUCUCUUCACCCUACAAGGUGAGUACCUAUGUCUAAUUUGUCACAAAUCUUAACUUCAAGUAUAGCCCUUAUGGGAUUCAAGAUAAAUUUAAUCCAGGAAACUUAAAUUAAGAUCAAGUAUUACUUUAAUAAUAUCCACUAAGGCAUGCCCUUUUGUGGCUCUAUCUUAAGUUGAACCAUUAAAUGGGUGGUCAACCGAAAUAACAGUUAUAACAAUAGCUACUAAAGUAAAAUGCUACAGCAUGACAUAACAGCUCAUAAGAAUAGUCAAGAACCCAUUAGAUUGUUUGUCACUCAACUAUAAGCAAAUUUAGUUCAUAUUCUGAAAGAGAAAAACAAACAUCAACAAAUUGUUCACGAGAUAUAUUAUAUCAGUCAAAGAAUGAAGAAAGGUAUAAGUAAAAAAUGGCAAAAAGUAAAACAAAUAACUCUGCUGGAUUUCUCAAUGCUGCUGUAGCCGUUCCCUUGAAUUUUGGUCUUCUUCUUAUUUUUCUCUCUAAUUUCUCGAAUGAUAAUUCCUUGCCGUCGUUUUAUAUGGUGCACGCCUCUUUUUAUAACUAAAAACUAGGGUAAACAAAAGCCUCGGGUGUGCAUGAGUUAAAUUAGAAAACUACAUAUCGCAAUUCUGCAGCUGACCUGCGCUAAGUUUUCUCCCUCGGUGUUCCAAAAUUACUAUAGUAAUUGUUGCUUCAGCAACGGUUAUAACAUUGAAUUGUUCCCGAUUGUGCUUCACUUCUUUUAUGGCCAUAUUCUUUCUUCCUCUUGCUAGUCUAAUAUCUCAACAUCCCUUCAUGAAUUAUAAACUUCUAAAAACCUACAAUUAUGCACAUGUUUUGAGCAUAAAUUACUUUAAUUCAAGCAAAACUUAUUAAGACUCAACUAAAAUGGAUGUUUAUUCAAAAUAUAAUAAAAACACCACAUUUACUCUCUAAGUGGUCUUGAUUUAAGUCUAGAAUUGUCGUAAUAACUUUCAUUUAAUAGAGUUAUCAGUAGGUUAUAUGGAGACCAAAAAGAUUGGUCCGGAGUCCAUGACCAGUAUCAGAUUCUUUAGAAGAAAUGGCAAGUGGAUAAAGACUUCCACCUCAAUAAACCGGGAUACUUUGAUUGCUCCAGAGGAUGAUCGGAUGCUCAACGAUGUUUAUCCUCCCGAUUAGCUUCUAGAUUUUAGACUAGGAGCUCGACCCCCACCUUCCUGUCGCCGCUCUGCUCCCCAGCCUCCAACUGAUUCCGAUACAGAGGAGCGUGAGAUGGAUGCUGAUAUUCCAUCCACUUCGAUGCCACCUCCAGCUCCCGCACAGCCUUCCGCUCCUAAGCCAUCUUAUGUUCCUGAGCCGUCUUUAACUUCUAUUCAGCCCCCUGCUUCGGACGCUUUACAGCAGUUGGCAGAUGAUGUUCGCAGGAUUUUUGAGAGGUAGCAGCUGAUUUUAGACUGAUUGGACACUCUCUCUCACGACCAGCAGCAGCUACGCUCUCAAUUUCAGACCUUCCAACAGCAGAGCAUUGAUUAGCAACUUGAGCUCAUAGCUAGACAGCGCACUCUUCUUUGUUAUUUUGGUUAUGAUCCAGGGAGCACAUCUUCACCACCUUUUUAGUUUCUGACUCUCAUAUUCGCACAUACAUUUCAUAUUAUGUUUCUUUGUAUGUUGCGAUUUAUAUUUUGUUUGGUAUACAUUGCUACUUCUCUAUGAUUUUGAUGAUUGGUUGAUUAUAUGUUGGAUGAUGGAGUUGUUGGUAUAUGGAAACUUGUUUUCUUAUCUUUGGAAGUGCUUUAAUCUCAUUUUGUAUUUGAGGAUUUGUUCUAUUUUAAGGGGAAACUCUGGCAAAAUUUUUGCUUGCCUAAUCUAGGUAAUUUCUUUUUCAACUCUAUGCUUUACAUUUUUUCUUUUCUCUCUUUUCUUUUUGAUGAUGAAGAGGGAGAGAUUAUGUUAUGUUAAUGCUCCUGUAUAAUUUGUUGAUAAAAGGGGGAGAUAGGAGAUAGCGAAUAAGAAUAAAAUUUACUUUUGAAAUGAAUUUUUAUUUUUAAAUGCUUCUUUGAGCAAAAAUCUGUUUAUUGGACAUAUUUUUAAAUUGGCCAUACAUUUAGGGGGAGCACAUAUUAAGGGAGAGCAAAAUAUUGAAUGAAGUUUGUCAUCAUAAAAAAAAAGAGAAUGUUAACAUGUAUAUGUUCAUAAUAUUGAUUUUCAUGUAACAAACUUUAAAUGUUUUUGAUUAAAUGUUGGAGCUAUUACAUUAAUAAAAGAAAGCCGUACAAUCUUUCUUAUUUUGUUCAUAAAAGAUGGAUAUUUGUCAAACUUCAAUUGGAAAAUGACUUCUUGCAAUUUUUGGCUAAAACUGUGAUUCUGGAAGUAAACGGUUCACCGUUUACUUUGAAACAGUUAACCGAUUAAAUCCAAAGAGUAACAAAUUGCUUAAGCUCUAACCGGUUAAGAAAAAUGGAUAAGGCUAACGUGUUUUGCAGGUUACUGGAAAUAAACAGCGAACCGUUAAUUACAAACGGCUAACCGAUAAAUUUCAGAAUGUCAUUUCAUGCUAAUCUUUAACUGUUUAGUGAAAACGGAUAGCUAACGUUUAUCUUGGAAGUCUCUGGAAUUUAAUGGCGAAAGGGUAAGCCUAAACGGCAAACCAUUUAUUUGAAUUUUGGCCCAACGGUAACUUUGAUAAAUUCAAACGGUUAACCGUUAAUAGUUAACGAUGAACCGUUUUCGGGCAGACAGUCUGUAAUGCCUAUUUUUCAGCUCCAUCUAUAAAUAAGCUCAUUCAAAUUCAAACAAGGGUUGAUCACAACAUUAUGAUUGAGCUUAUAUUCCUGAAUACAAUCUUCAAAGAGCUUUAAACAGAUUCAUUCUUCAUCUAUUCACACAUUGGGCAUUGAUUUGUAAUCUUAAAUAUUGUGUGAGAGAAAAACAAUUUGUGAUCUUUUGUUUUGAGUGAUUGUAAGUGUUGGGAUACACUUGAGUUAAGAGAUUGAGGAUAAUCUCUUGUUGUAAAGGUUUAUUGAUACCUUGGAAGUCAAUUGUAAGAAUUUGAAGCCUUGGAGGCUUGUUUAAUGGAAUCCUCAAGCCCGGAAAGCUUAGAGGCGUAGACGUAGGGGAGGCUGGCCGAACCACGGAAAAAUCGUCGUGUUUGAAUCUCUCUUCUCUUAUCUUUUUAUAUUGUGAUUGAUUUAUUAGUCAUUGCUUUAAAUUUGUUUUAAGAUUUAUAUUAAGGUUUGCAUUAGAAUUGAAUAAUUUUUAGAAAUCCAAUUCACCCCCCUCUUGGGUUGCAUAACUAGAAUUUUAAAUUUCACUAAGCAAGCCUUUAAGGCUUCAAAUGCUUACAAUCGACUUCCAAAGUGUCAAUGGACCUUUACGACAAGAGAUUAUCCCCGAUCACUUAACCCAAGUGUAUCCUAACACUUUCAAUCACUUAAAGCAAAGAUUACAAAAGUGUUUUUCUCUCACACAAUAUAUAUGAUUACAAAUGAAUGCUCAAUGUGUGAAUAAAUAAAAUAAGAACGAAUUUCAAGCUCAAUGAAUGUUGUACUCUCGAUUAUAAGCUCAGUGAUAAUGUUGUGAUCAACCCUCGUUUGAAUUUGAUUGAGCUAAUUUAUAGUUGGAGCUGAAAAAUAGCCAUUAUUGACUUUCUGCCUAAAAUCGAAUUGCCAUUAACAGUUAUCGGUUAACCGUUUUCACUGGUCAAUAUGACCGUUGGGCUGAAAUUCAGAUAAUCAGUUAACCAUUUGGACUUAUUGGUUAAUCCGUUAAUUUCCAGAGACCUGCAAAAUAAAUUUUGACUAUCCGUUUAUGCUAAACGGUUCAAGAUUAGCAUGUAAUUCAAUUAUGGAAAUUAUCGGUUAGCCAUUCAUAGUUUAUUUCCAGAAACUUGGAAAGCGAAAUAUACUUAUUCAUUCUUGCUAAACGGUUCAAGGUUAGCAUAGAAUACUAUUCUAGAAAUUAUCGGUUAGCCGUUUAAUUCUAGUAACCUUCACAACACACUAGCCUUAUCCUUUUUGCUAACCGGUUCAAGUUUAAGGAUUUAUCCCUCUCUGGAAUUUAUCGGUUAACCGUUUCCAAUAAAUGGUUCACUGUUAAUUGCCAGAAUCAUAAUUUUAGUAUAAUUUCGCAGGGAAUAAUUUUUUCUGAUUAAAUUUAACGAUUAUCCAUAUUUAAUGAACUCAUUUAGAAAUAUUAUACGGCUUUUAAGAAAUUGUUUAUUGAUGAAAAACUCCAACAUUUUUAAUCAAAAACAUAUAAAGUUUGUUAUCAUAAAAAUAAAUACUAUAGACAUAUACAUGUUAACAUGGGUUGGGUUGAAUAGGGUUUCUGGAAACCCAACUCAACCCAUUAUUGAAUGGAUUGAGAUAAUAUCAACUCAACCCAAUUAAAUAAACAUGUUCAACCCAAUCCAACUUAACCCUUAAAUCAUCAGGUUUAGUUGGGUUGGGUUAAAAAUUAAAUAAAGAAAAAGAUAUGAAACUUAAAAUGAAUCUUAUUAAAAUUAAAUAUAAAUAAAUUAUAACAUAAAAAUUCUAUUCAUCGUCUAGUAUUUGAUACAGAAAACUAAAAGAAUAUUGGAUGAAUAAAUUAGAGAAUUGAGAUUUGAGAGAGUAAUUUUAGUUUUGGAAUUAAAGUCUAGAGUAGUAGAUACAAGAAUGGAAUAGUCCUUUUUGCAAAAGACUAAAAGAAGAUAAAAAAUAAAUUAGCUGUUUAGAUUUUUAGGGGUUUGAAAUUAAGAAUUAUCGUAUUAUUAUUAUUUAUGUGUGUUAGGUUAGGUUAGAUGGUUCAUCAUAAUUAGAUGGGUUCAUUUAGGCAAAACCAAACAAGAAGUAAGUUGCUCCUUUCCAAUUUUGAAAAAAAGUAUAAAGAAAUAUAUUCUAUAUAUGACUUUUUUUUCCUUAAAAAAACACUAUAUGCAAACGUUUUAGACUAUAAGUGCCAUAAUGUAGUUUUUACUUGAUGCAAUCCUAGUUCCCAAAAGAGUUUAUUGUCUCCUAAGCUUACAUCUACAACUCUUGUAUUUGUAUCUAUCAUCUCUUCUACUAUUGCCAAAAAAUGUUCCUCUUUCUUGUCGAUAUAUUUUUUUCAAAGAAAUCUAGUAUAGAAAAGUGGAUCUUGAAGUCAAAUACAAGAAGAUAAAAUAAUAUUGGAACGGAGCUUAAUAAAAAAGCUUAUAAGAUGAAAGUUAACAUUUAAAUCUCAUUUUUUAUGAUACCGUGUCUCUUUUUGUCUAUGUAUGAAUUUUUAGUGGUUUUGUUUGCCGCACCAGAUAUACAACUUGUUCGCCAUCUACAAUUUUGAGAUAAUGAUGAUGUGUAUGUUUCAUCUUUCCUCAAUUACCAAGAGAGAAAAAUAUUGUGUUUUCUUUUGUAAGAUGUAGUGAUUGUCAGCUGAUAACUCUAUGAAAUGAGAGUUAUUACGACAAUUCUAGACUUAAAUCAAGACCACGUAGAGAGUAAAUGAUGUGUUUUUAUUAUAUUUUGGUUAUAUUUUGUAUAAACAUCCAUUUUAGUUGUCUUAAUAAGUUUUGCUUGAAUUAAAGUAAUUUGUGCUCAAAACAUGUGCAUAAUUGUAGGUUUUCAGAAGUUUAUAAUUCAUGAAGGGAUGCUGAGAAAUUAGACUAGUAAGAGGAGGAAAGAAUAUGGCCACAAAAGAAGUGAAGCACAACCGGGAACAAUGCAGUGUUAUAGUCGUUACUGAAGCAACCAUUGCUGUAGCAAUCCUAGAGCACCGAGGGAGAAAACUUAGCGCGGGUCAGCUGCAGAAUUGCGAUCUACAAUUUCCUAAUUUAACUCAUGCACGCCCGAGGCUUUUGUUUACCCUAGUUUUUAGUUAUAAAACGGUGGCAAGGAAUUAUCGUUGGAGAAAUUAGAGAGAAAAAGAAGAAGAAUAUCAUAAUUCAAGGGAACGGCUAUAGCAGCAUUGAGAAAUCGAGCAGAGUUAUUUGGAUUCACUUUUUGCCGUUCUCAACUUAUACCUUUCUUCUUUCUUUGACUGAUCUAAUGUAUCUCGUGAACAAUAUGUUGAUGUUUGUUUUUCUCUUUCAGAAUAUGAACUAAAUUUUCUUGUAGUUGAGUGACAAAUAAUCUAAUGGGUUCUUGACUGUUCUUAUGAGUUGCUAUGUCAUUGAUGUAGCAUUUUACUCUAGUAACUAUUGUUAUAACUGUUAUUUCGGUUGACCACUCAUUUAAUGGUUCAAGUUAAGAUAGAGCCACAAAAGGGCAUGUUUUAAUGGAUAUUAUUAGAGUAAUACUUGAUCUUAAUUUAAGUUUCCUAAAUUAAGUUUAUCUUGAAUCCUACAAGGGCUAUACUUGAAGUUAAGAUUUGUGACAAACUAAAGAUAGGUACUCACCUUGUAGGGUGAAGAGAAUAGAAGUUCAUAAUGCCAUGCCGUAGGUAGAAUAGCAAUUGGUCAUUACUAAUAUACUUAAGAGUAUGAGAGUUCCAACACGCGACAGCUGAGGAUGCAAAAUAAUUUUGCCCAGUGAUGUAGCAAUUGCUGUAACAACUGGUGUUAACUUGAUAAAAAGCAAUCAACCCAUAAAGAGAGUUUGAUCAUUCAACUACCUUAUUCUCAUUUGAUUCUUCGACGCAUUUUAUUUAAUUUGUUUCAUUACUGCAUUGUUUCAUUUUAUUCUCUCACAAUUAUCAAUUUCAAUAGAACCAACUUUACAUUUGUUAAUUUCCGAAUUAAGGUAGAUUGCACUAUCGUGAUUGUUGUAGCAUUUCUAGUAACAUCAAUCCCUGUGGAGAUGAUCUUGAAUAUUCAUCACUUUAUUACUUGUUGUGUACACUUGCACAUUGGCAUAAAUAGUAUUAGUAUUUAUAACCAACAAGUUUUUGGCGCCGUUGCUGGGGAUUGAUUGUUUAUUUUUGAAGUGUGAAGUAAGUCUUGAUAGUGCCAAUUGGAUUUGAUUUAUUCUAUUUAUUGGCAGAUGAACACUUGCAUGCGCAAAGACAAAUAUGUUGUAUUCCAAUUUGAUCUUGAGAUUGAAAGGACUGUUAGGAGAAUGCGAAGAGAACAAUGGAAUUCAAAAACUAUUUCAAAUAUGGAUAAUUUGCGGGAUGUGGGAAAUUUGAACCCUCACGGGCCCUUACAACCAGUCAACAUUCAAGAAGAGCUGAAUGAGCAUGCUAACCAGAGACAGUCAGGCAACAACAAUAUUAUUUACAUGGCUAAUGACAGGGAUAGAGCUAUUAGAGAUUAUGUUAUGUUAACUCAUCAAGUUGUACGCCUUGGGAUAAUCAGACCUAAAGUGGAAGCUGCAAACUUUCAACUGAAGUCAGUAAUGUUUUAAAUGUUGUAAACAGUUGGUCAAUUCAAUAGAUUGCUAAAUGAAGAUCCUCACCUCCAUCUUAAGUUGUUCUUGGAAGUGAGUAAUGUUUUUAAAAUUGCUGGAGCAACACAAGAUGCUUUAAGGCUCAGGCUUUUUCCUUACUCAUUAAGAGAUCGAGCAAGAGCAUGAUUAAAUUCGUUACCAUCUGAUUCCAUCACUACAUGGAAUGAGUUGGCUGAUAAAUUUUUAAUAAAAUAUUUUCCACCGACAAAAAAUAAAAAAUUGUGGAAUGAGAUUACUUAUUUCCAUCAACUUAAAGAUGAGAGUUUGUAUGAGGCUUGGGAAAGAUUCAACGAACUGCUCAGAAGGUAUCCUCAUCAUGGCAUUCCUUGUUGCAUAUAAUUAGGAACUUUCUAUAAUAGGUUGAAUCCUAGUACAAGAUUGACGGUGGAUGCUUCAGCAAAUUGAGCUUUGUUAUCUAAAUCUUACAUUGAAGCUUAUGAAAUUUUGGAGAGAAUUGCCAACAAUAAUUAUCAGUAGCCAUCAACCAUGCAACCAGUAGCAAGAGGAGCAGCAGGGGUACAUAACAUAGAUGCAAUUACAGAUUUAUCAGCACAAGUAACCUCAUUGACUAACAUGGUAAAGGCCAUAACAUCUGCGACAGUAAAGCAAGUUGUUGAACUGUCUUGCAUAUACUGUGGUGAAGAACAUGACUUUGAUAACUGUCCUGGAAAUCCAACAUCAGUGAAUUAUGUGGGUAAUUUCAACCGACAGCUUCAAAACAACCUAUAUUCAAAUACUUACAACCUUGGAUUGAAGAAACACCCAAAUUUUUCAUAGAGCAGUUAAAAUCGAAAUACUCCAGCAUUGAAUGGAAAUAAUAGGAACACUCAACCACCUAGUUUUCAUAAGUAUAGUCAAGGGCAAAAACACACCAAUUAAGAUCCAAUAACUUCAUUGGAAGCACUGAUUAAUGAAUACAUUGCAAAGAAUGAAGCAAUUGUACAAAGUCAAGUUGAAUCCUUAAGAAACCUAGAGAACCAAAUGGGAUAACUUGCCACAGCAAUGAGUAGCAGAACUCAAGGAAGCUUACCUAGCAACACAGAAGAUCCAAGAAGAGAGGGAAAGGAACACUACAAAGUAAUCAACUUAAGAUUUGGAAAUAAUGUUGACAUCCCUGUUGAUGUGACUAAAAAGGGGCUGGAACUUAAUUUCUCACAAGAACCACCUCAAGAUGAGAGCAUGUUACAACAACCCAGCCAGCCAGACACUAAUGGUAGGGGACAAGCUGCAGCAAUUAUGGAAGGAGAUCAACUAAUACAUGCUGAGAAAGAAGUUACAAUACCAGUAGCCACAACCUACAACAAACUAAACAAACAGAGUUUGGUACCUCCUGAAGCUACCCAACAGUUUAAGCAUCCACCUCCUUUCCCACAGAGAUUUCAGAAGCAAAAAUAAGACAAGCAGUUCAGUAAAUUCAUGGAAGUGCUAAAGCAAUUACACAUCAACAUACUUUUUAUGGAAGCUCUGGAGCAAAUGCCUAAUUAUGUGAAAUUUUUAAAAGACAUCUUGGCAAGAAAGAGAAGGUUGGGAGAAUUUAAAAUUGUUGCUUUAACACAGGAAAGUAGUCAUAUGCUCCAAAAUAAGAUUCCUAAAAAAUUGAAGAAUCUAGGAAGCUUCACAAUACCAUAUUCCAUUGGAACUAGGUACAACGGCAGAGCACUCUGUGAUUUGGGAGCCAGUAUUAAUCUAAUGCCAUUAUCUGUAUUUAAGCAGUUGGGAGUAGGAGAAUGCAAGCCAACAAUAGUCACUCUUCAAUUAGCUGACAUAUCUCAUGCAUAUCCUAAAAGAAAAUUUGAGGAUGUACUUGUAAAGGUUGACAAAUUUAUAUUUCCAGUAGACUUCAUUGUACUAGACUUUGAGGCUGACAAAGAGAUAUCCAUUAUACUUGGAAGACCUUUCUUAGCAAUUGGGAAAACUCUUAUAGAUGUACAAAAAAGAGAGUUAACAAUGAGAGUGAAUGAUCAGCAAAUCACAUUUAAUGUCUUGGAAGCUAUGAGAACCUUGAUGAGGUAGAAGAUUGCAAUUUUCUGAGUGUUGUGGAUUUUGUUGUAGCAGACAGAAUCGACAGAUGCUGUAGUAAAGAAAUCAUCAAAGUCACCACCUUUGAAGGUUUUGAAGAAGAAGAUACUGCAGCAAACCAAAUAGAUUAGAUGGAAGGAAAUAAAUCAGAUAGAAAUAACAGAAUUAUUGAGCAUUUGAAUCUUUCAGACAGGGAAGUAAAAAUAACUUUACCAUCUAUUGAAUCACCUCCUAGUCUUGAAUUAAAAUUGUUACCCUCACAUUUGAAAUAUGCUUAUCUUGAUCAAAACAACACACUCCCCAUAAUCAUUUCCUCUACUUUGGAUGCAGGUCAAGAACAGAGUAUAAUAGAUAUGCUUGGGAAGCACAUAAGAGCAAUUGGAUAGACCAUGGCAGACAUCAAAAUGAUAAGCCCAUCCAUAUGCAUGCAUAAAAUUCUAUUAGAAGACUGUUACAACAAUUCAGUAUAGCAACAGAGAAGGUUAAACCAUAUUAUGAAAGAAGUAGUGAAGAAAGAAAUCAUCAAAUGGUUAGAUGCUGGAAUCAUAUACCCGAUAUCAGAUAAUUUGUGGGUUAGCCCAAUCCAAUAUAUUCCAAAGAAGGGAGGAAUAACAGUGAUAGCAAAUGAGAAUGAUGAACUUAUUCCUACAAAGACAGUGACUUGAUGGAGAGUAUGUAUGGAUUAUAGGAAGCUCAACAAAGCCACAAGGAAGGAUCACUUCACACUCCUAUUCAUAGAUCAGAUGUUGGACAGACUUGCUGGAAAACAAUAUUAUUGUUUCCUAGAUGGGUAUUCGAGCUACAACCAAAUUGCGAUAGCUCUAGAGGAUCAGAAAAAGAUUACAUUUAUCUAUCCUUAUGGAACCUUUGCCUUCAGCAGGAUGCCAUUUGGUCUGUACAAUGCUCCAACAACUUUUCAGAGAUGUAUAAUGUUUAUUUUUUCUGAUAUGGUAGAGCAAACUUUAGAAGUCUUCAUGAAUGACUUCCCAGUUUUUGGAGAGACAUAUAAUGAUUGCGUACACAACUUGGAAGAAGUUCUUAAAAGAUGUGAGAUGACUAACUUAGUACUCAAUUAGAAAAAAAUGCCAUUUCAUGAUGCAAGAAGGCAUAGUGUUGGGUCAUAAAGUGUCCAAGAAAGGCAUUGAGGUAGACAAAGUCAAGAUAGAAGUAAUAGAUAAACUGCCACCUUUUACUUCAAUUAAGGGUAUUGGGAGUUUUUUGGGUCAUGCUGGAUUUUACAGAAGAUUCAUUAAGGACUUUUCCAAGGUAGCUAAACCAUUAUGCUCAUUGUUGGAACAUGAUAAGCCUUUUCACUUUGAUAAAGAUUGUCUUAAAGCCUUUGGAGAAUUAAAGAAAGCUUUGAUCACUGCACCAAUGAUUAUAUCACCAGAUUGGACUCUACCAUUUGAACUGAUGUGUGAUGCUAGUGACCAUUCUGUUGGAGCAGUAUUAGGGCAGAGAAAGGAUAAGAUUUUUCACUGCAUAUACUAUGCAAGCAAAACUCUUACUCAAACUCAAAUUAAUAACAACACUACAGAGAAAGAGUUGCUAGCAGUAGUAUUUACUUUUGAUAAAUUCAGAGCUUACUUAGUGGGUACUAAAGUGAAUAUAUACACACCAUGCAGCCAUCAAGUACUUAAUCUCAAAGAAGGAUACUAAACCAAGAUUAAUAAGAUGGAUCUUAUUGCUUCAGGAGUUUGAUCUGGAAAUUAAAGAUAGAAAGAGGACUGAGAAUCAAGUAACAGACCACCUAUCGAGGCUGAAGCAGACACAAGUACAUUGACAAGAAAGGACAUCACUGAAACUUUUCCUAAACAAUUGUUAGCAGUACAGUAAGCACAGAUGCUGCAGCAAUCAAGAUCUCCAUGGUAUGCAGAUUUUGCUAACUACUUAGUAAGUGAGUUGCUAUUACCUGAGUUGAAGUUUCAGGAGAAAAAGAAAUUUCUUCAUAAUGUUAGAAGCUACCAGUGGGAUAAUCCAUAUUUAUAUAAGUUAUGCUCGGAUCAAGUAAUACGAAGAUGUGUUUCAGAGGGAGAGAUUCCCCAUAUACUGGAGGCAUGCCAUGCUGCAGCAUAUGGAGGACAUUUUGGUGGUCACAGAACAGCUGCUAAAGUUCUGCAAUCAGGUUAUUAAUGGCCUUCUAUUUUUAAAAAUGCUUAUGAAUUUGCUAAAUGUUGUGACAUGUGUCAAAGGACAGGGAACAUAACUCAAAGACAUGAAAUGCCAUUGACAAACAUUCUGGAAGUGGAAUUUUUUAUGUAUGGGUAAUAGAUUUUAUGGGACCUUUUCCACCAGCCUUUGGGAACUUAUAUAUCCUUGUUGCUGUGGAUUAUGUCUCCAAGUGGGUAGAAGCUGCAGCAUUACCUACCAACGAUGCUAAAACAGUGGUGGACUUUCUUCAAACAAAUAUUUUUUUUCAAGUUUGGCACUCCCAAAGCAAUUAUUAGUGAUAAGGGUACUCAUUUUUGCAACAAAGUAUUUGCUGCAACUAUGGUAAAAUAUGGAGUCAGGCAUAAAGUAGCAACAUCAUAUCACCCACAAUCUAAUGGCCAGGCAGAAGUGUCCAAUAGAGAAAUUAAGAAGAUCUUAGAAAAAGUGAUGAACCCAUCAAGGAAGGAUUGGUCCUUGCGUUUACAUGACUCCCUAUAGGCCUACAGAACAGCAUACAAAACACCACUUGGCAUGUCUCUUUACCGAAUUAUUAUAGGAAGGUUUGUCACUUGCCACUUGAGCUAGAGCAUAAAGCACACUGGGCACUGAAGCAAUUAAAUUGGGAUAUACAUGCUGCAGCAGAGCAAAUGAAGCUUUAACUAUCUGCGCUUGAUGAAUUACGGCUAUUCUCAUAUGAAAAUGCAAGAAUCUAUAAAGAGAUGACAAAACACUGGCACGACAAGCAUAUCUAACACAGGUAAUUCAGCCCUAGUCAACUAGUGCUGCUCUAUAAUACAAGACUAAGAUUAUUUCCAGGAAAACUAAAAUCUCGAUGGUCUGGACCUUUCAAGCUGCUUUGAAUUUAUCCUCAUGGGGCUGUUGAUCUUCUAGAUGAAAAGACAAGUCAAGAAUUUAAAGUCAAUGGGCACAAAGUUAAGCAUUACAUACACCCAGGGGCAGAUUGUUCAAAGGAGGUCUUACUCCUUAAAGAACCAGGCUAUUAAGCAGUCAAAGAAGGUCAGGCUGAAGGACCUUAAAUCAAGCGCUCAAUGAGAGGCAACCCAUUGUAGAGGCAGCCACUUCAAACCGAGUUUGAUCCUCUCUGGUUUUGUUAAAGGCUCUUCCUUUUAUUUCAUUUUAAUUUUGUUAUUCACGUUUUGCUAUUUAUUUUUAUCAUUUCGCAUUAUUGAACCUUUAUUUUUGUUAUCAUUCUAAAUCUUUACUUUAAAUUUCUUAGAAUUGGUUUUAGUUAUUUUUAAAUGUUUUUUAGGGAAAUAUGUGUGACAAAUGGAUUCUAUAUUGACAAUUGGGGUUGUCUUGUGACAGAGUGCAGAGGCAAGCCACGUGUCCGCAACUAUUAGAGAAGAGCAUAUUACCUUCGAAUUGUUACUGCUAUAGCAAUGCCAAGGUAUAAGAGAACAGCCAGCCGACUUAAAGAUCCUUCAUGCUUCCAAAGUUACCAUGCGGAAGAAAAAUAUGAAGAAUUCAUUGAACCGCGCAAAAUUCUGGAAGACAAAGGAUUUCAAUUUCCAUCGCAACCCACAGGAAUUGUGCAAACAGUACACAAUGCUGCAGCAAAGCGUGGGUGGCUAGAGUUUUGCAACCACCCUCGAGAUCUUGUGCUGCCAGUAGUCAAAGAAUUUUAUGCCAAUUUCGUAAGCCCUGGUCAGCACAACAUUUGGGUAAGAAACUCACUUGUUCCAUUAGACUCUCGGGUUAUAAAUGCUUUUUAUAAUUUACCUGCUGAAAUUAAUUGUGAGUAUGCCAAGUUGCUUGAAAAAUUGACCCCGCAAAGAUGGAACACCAUCUUCACAACUCUUACAGUAAAGGGGACAUCGUGGGCUAAUGAGGAAGGGCGUGUAGUUAAUAGGAUAGAUUUAAAACCCAUUGCUAAGGUGUGGGUGAAAUUUCUAAAAUUCAAGCUUAUGCCAACCACCCACACUACUGAUGUUUCACAAGAAAGUUUGGUUAUGUUAUAUGUUAUUGUUCGAGGGUUUUCCAUAGAUGUGGGAAGCAUUAUCAAAAAAGAAAUUUGAGAUUGUGCCAUUAAAAAUCACAAAGCUGCUGCCUUGCUAUUUCCUUCACUCAUCACCAGUAUCUGUGUAGUAUUAGGUGUUCAUCUUGAUGCAAAGGAUGAUAUGUCAAGAAAAAUGGUGCCCUUACUGUACGCACCAUUGAGAGAAUUACUGGUGAAAUUGUUGGAGCAACAAUUAAACCAAUUGUUGUAACAAGGGCGAGAUGAGCUAUUGGUUUAGAACAGACAAUACAGGCACUGAGCACCAACAUCACGCAAUGUGUUGAGGCUCAGCUGAGGGAAAACGAUCGGUUUUGGAGCUAUUUACAGCACCUAGACAGCCACCUACACCAAUUUACUCUUUACAUGAAAAGCACCAACCAAAAUUUCCAUGAUUCAUUGCUCCAGCAGUACAAUUUUGACACCAACACCACAGAUGUUCCAGCAGAGGCUAGUGAAGAAGCCACUAACACAGAUGAACCAGAAGAAGAAACUGCAGCAGACCCAGAAGCAGAGGCUAACUUAGAAGAUAUUAAACCAUCUUAUUAACCUGAGGAAGAAGGUGACAAGUCUGCGACUGACAGCUUACCUAUAAAGGCAGAGGAAGAUUCUGAGAAAGAAUGUGAAGAACCCCCAGUAAGGACCUCUUCCAAAACUAAGAAAAAGUACAUCAUCCAAGAAGAUGACGAGGAUGAACCUGAAGAGGAGCCCCUCAUUAUAGUCCUUUCAAGAAAGGGUAAGGAAAAAAUAGCAACCCCUCCUGCCUCUGAAAAUGAAGCCGAGCAAGUCGAUGCAGAGCUGGAAGUUGCAGUAACCAGAGUCACGUGUACACCCACAGAAGCCAAACAGCUACUUGACAUCAUUGCUGCCGUCAUAGCUGAGGGACAUGCAGCUGAUGCACCAACCCCAGCUCCUCCACAGCAAACUCCUAGCAAACCUAUUCGUGCUAGUCCUAGAGGAUCCAACAAAAGAAAGGUCAUCAUUUUUUGAGGCACUGCUACAAUAGCCUCGAUAGAACAAAAAAUGACCAGAUCGGUGUCAACCAAGCAAGGUGCCCCAGCCGCAACUCCUCCCACCAGCCCAUUGAAGAAAAAGAAAAAGACGUUGCCAGCCGCCUCCCCACAAGAUUCCCUAAAGGAUAAGCUGCGCAGUGCAUCCAAGAAGUGCUAAUGUCAUCCCACCAUGUUGCAGCAAUACCCAAACAACGGGGGAGUAUCCCAUUCUUUCUAGUCAAUUUAUUCAAUUCUGAAAAACUUUUCUUUCAUUAUGUUUUCCAUUUGUGUGGUUUAUUUUCUAACGUCCUCCUCCAUUUGUAUGGUUUAUUUGUGUGCUUGUGAGGAUACAACACUAUUUAAAGUUUGGGGGGGAUGUAUAUCUGGGUGUUCGGGAUAUGUGUUUAUGUAUGUGUUGUGUGAAGCUCUGUUAUCUAAUUUUUGUGUAUGGAUUUGAAAACCUAAUGAAGAUAAAUUGAGUGUUAAUUAGUGAUUAUAAGAAUGUCGAGUAGAGACAGUAAUAAAUGGAGAGUGAAAUUAUGUCAUGACACCUAAACUUUUGUGGAGUUUUAUGAAAAUGCUAUAGCAGAGCCAAAAGAGUAGAAAAGACCUUAAGUUUGGGGGAAACUUUCGCUGGACUAUGCUUGCUAUGAAAUAAAUUCUGCUCCAAUGACUCAAGUUGAUGAGUAACCAGAACUGAGUACGUACCUCAUAUGCAGAUUUGCAUCCAAAGGCAAUAAGAGUUAUGAGCAAUACUGUAGCAGCCACUCAUGUUAAAAAAAAAUGAAAUGAGGAAGUCCUCUGUCUAGGAUAUUAAAUAGCCAGGUCUGUUCAUGAGCCCCAUGUUCAGCCUUGAGUUAAAAGAUAUCUCUAGAUAAGAUUAUGUUAAAGAUAUUGCUACAACAACUUUGUUCUGUACAUGGAUUGAGUAAUUGGGUGUCAUCAUUACAAUUGAUUAGCAUUCACAUGAAAAAUAAAUGUUGCAGUGAGAAGGGUUGAAUAAUCUUAAGCUUUCAUUCUUAAAUAAAGCACGAUUUGAGUAUGUGAAGAGUUAUGCUGCCCCAUAUGAGAAUACAAUUGUGCUACCUCUGAAUUACAUGCAAUAUCUUGGUAAUGUUGUAGCAUUUCUAGAAUUCAAUCAAAGUAACACACACACACUUUGGACAGAAGGAAGCUUACGUCUAGAACUGAUUUACUAUGACCAUUUGGCAUGAUUGAGAUUGUGAUCCGAAAGUGGAAGAAUUCUUGCAAAUUUGAUAAAAGAGCUAAGUUGUGUGUUGCAUGAUUGUGUGUGUGAAGUGUUAGUAUGUUGUCAUUACUUGAGGACAAGUAAUAGUUUAUGUUUGGGAGUGUGAUAACUCUAUAAAAUGAGAGUUAUUACGGCAAUUCUAGACUUAAAUCAAGACCAUGUAGAGAGUAAAUGAGGUGUUUUUAUUAUAUUUUGGUUAUAUUUUGCAUAAACAUCCAUUUUAGUUUAGUCUUAAUAAGUUUUACUUGAAUUAAAGUAAUUUGUGCUCAAAACAUGUGCAAAAUUGUAGGCUUUCAGAAGUUUAUAAUUCAUGAAGGGAUGCUCAGAUAUUAGAAUAGCAAGAUGAGGAAAGAAUAUGGCCACAAAAGAAGUGUAGCACAACCGGGAACUGUGUAGUGUUAUAGCCGUUGCUAAAGCAACCAUUGCUGUAGCAAUCCUGGAGCAUCGAGGGAGAAAACUUAGCGCGAGUUAGCUGUAGAAUUGCGAUUUACAGUUUCCUAAUUGAACUCAUGCACACUCGAGGCUUUUGUUUACCCUAGUUUUUAUUUAUAAAAAUAGGCGCGCACUACGUAAAACGGCGGCAAGGAAUUAUCAUUGGAGAAAUUAGAGAGAAAAAGAAGAAGAAGAUCAGAAUUCAAGGGAACGGCUGUAGCAGCAUUGAAAAAUCCAACAGAGUUAUUUGGAUUCACUUUUUGCCGUUCUCAACUUAUACCUUUCUUCUUUCUUUGACUGAUCUAAUGUAUCUCAUGAACAAUAUGUUGAUGUUUGUUUUUCUCUUUCAGAAUAUGAACUAAAUUUGCUUGUAGUUGAGUGACAAACAAUCUAAUGGGUUCUUCACUGUUCUUAUGAGUUGCUAUGUCAUUGCUGUAGCAUUUUGCUCUAGUAGUUAUUGUUAUAACUGUUAUUUCGGUUGACUACCCAUUUAAUAGUUUAAGUUAAGAUAGAGCCGCAAAAAGACAUGUCUUAGUGGAUAUUAUUAGAGUAAUACUUGAUCUCAAUUUAAGUUUCCUGAAUUAAGUUUAUCUUGAAUCUCAUAAGGGCUAUACUUGAAGUUAAGAUUUGUGACAAACUAGACAUAGGUACUCACCUUGUAGGGUGAAGAGAAUAGAGGUUCAUAAUGCCAUGCCACAGGUAGAAUAGCAACUGGUCAUUGCUAAUAUACUUAAGAGUAUGAGAGUUUCAAUACACGACAAUUGAAGAUGCAAAAUAAUUAUGCCUAGUGCUGUAGCAAUUGCUGUAACAACUGGUGUUAACUUAAUGAAAAGUAGUCAGCCCAUAAAGAGAGUUUGAUCAUUCAACUACCUUAUUCUCAUUUGAUUCUUUGACGCAUUUUAUUUAAUUUGUUUCAUUACUGCAUUGUUUCAUUUUAUUCUCUCACAAUUAUCAAUUUCAAUAGAACCAACUUUACAUUUGUUAAUUGCGGAAUUAAGGUAGAUUGCACUAUUGUGAUUGCUGUAGCAUUUCUAGUAACAUCAAUCCCUGUAGAGACGAUCUUGAAUAUUCAUCACUUUAUUACUUGUUGUGUACACUUGCACAUUGGCAUCAAUAGCAUUAGUAUUUAUAACCAUCAUCAGUAAAUGAAAGUGCCCUCUCAUCUUCAAUUGAUUAAAGGCAUCAUUAUUGUACACUUUGCUAACAUGUAUUUAUGAUGCAGGACGUUGAAAUUAUCCAAUAUGUAUAUAGUUUUACAACUAUAUAGUGAAUAUAAAGUGUUAAGUAUAUUGGGCUAUAAUAAAAGGGUCAGUAUCCUUAUCAAUGGAUCUCUAGUUGUGAAACAACCCACCCCGAAUCUCUACGACGAGUCUAUCUAUUCUCGCCUAAACGAAUUAAUAAUAAUUCUAAUAUCUAAGAAUUCUACCAAAAAUUCGGCAGAGUCUCUUAUAUAAUUAUGACAUCCCCAAACCUGCAAUUUAUACAAUUAACACUCCCAAUAAUGAUACAAUAUUCAAUCAACGUCCACAACCAACUUCUUCAAUUAAAUACCAGUAUCCUUCAAACCUAUAAUGUCAAGAAUACAAUAAUUUAUCCUUAAUCACAAAUAAGUAAUAAAUUAUACAAUUUAAAAUGUCCCAACAAAACAUUUAUGAAUCCUAACACCAUCAUAUGGCCAUAAUUUCAAAUCUAACUAUCGUUGCUGGGUCGACUGAUGUACCUACAAAUCUCCUGUGGGGGGAAAUCGUAAAAUCAAAAUAUACUACGAAAAUAGGUUUUGUAUAUUCCACUCACAGUGACGAUGUCCAGAUUGGGUAUCAACAAUGUCCACGAGUUGAUUCUCGCUCACAGGUCCUCUUAAUCAAGGAAACAACAUAAUCAUUCUCCGUAAAUUUGAAGUACAACUACUUUAUCAUAAUAAUUCUCGAAAUGAAUAUCUAUCGACAAUAACUAUUCCCGCAUGCACAAAAUUACCAAAAUACCGCUACAUGCAAAAAUUACCAAAAUAACCCCAACAUCAUUAGUUUAUAAAAUUAUUUUCAGAAUCUUCAAUUACUAAACUGUCCUUAAUUUCUAUUGGAAAAAUAACCACAAUGCCAGAAAUUACGAAAUUACCCUCAGAGUGUGAAAUUACUAAAAUGCCCUUAACAACUUAAAUUACCCUCAGAGUGUGAAAUUACUAAAAUGCCCUUAACAACUUAAAUUACCAAAUUACCCCCAAAUCUCAAAUUACCUCAUUGCCCUAAUCUAAAAUUACCCAAUUAUCCACCAUUUUCAGAAAUUACAAAUUUACCCCAAAGUCUUGUGAAAUUACUGAAUUGCCCCCACCGAUCAACGGUGACCAGACUUAGUCAAUGGCGAUGGAAAGCUCAAAUCUGAUAAUUCUAACCUCGCUGAAUCCAAUGGUGCCGGCGGUGACCUCCACGCGCAGCGAUGGCGGAGGAUCGUACUCCCAAAGCCGUGAGCUUUCCGGCGGGCAUUCACAGCCAAAACGAAGGUUUCAGGUAGCGGGGUUGGUCGGAAAAUGAUGAGGGUGAGCCGAGGAACAAGAUCCGGGUAGUGGUGCGGCCCAACUCCGGUGGAAUCGACGGCGACAAAAAUGGGUGGUGCUGCAGUUCUUUCGAGCCAAAUCCCCGGCGUUCUAGCUAUUUCACGGCGACGAGAAAGGUAGGGGUAUGACCGGUGUCUCACGAGCUUUCUAUCAGUACCGUGCUCACCCGGUGAGGUGGCCGAAAAUGGAAGUUACGACUGGGUCAAUGUCGCGGGUUCCAGUUGGAUCUGGGUCAAAAGUGGGUCAACCCCCCCCCCUCUUUCUCGUGUGCCCCCUCUAUUUCAUUUUUUGGAAACCAUCUCCCCCUUUCCAUUUAUAGUAACUAGCUUCUUCUUUUUUUAAGCUUACUACCAAUUAAGCUAAUGCCGGACCCGUGUUAAAAUAAAAUCUGACUACACAGCCAUUGAAUCGUGUUCGAAUUGUCUCAAUUUUAUAUCGUGACAAAUUUAGAUUUAUUCAAAACACGAUCCAUUUAUUAACUCAACCCAAAUCCAUUAAGCGUCAAGUUUGCUCAUAAUAAUUUGUAACCAAUCUAACAACUUUAAAAGUAAUACUGAAAUGAAAAACACAUAAUACACUUAAUUAGGAAAAAUUAAGGUGUAUAUGUUACAAGUUGGUUGUUGGAAAACAGUUGUAAUCGUGAAUAAUGUGUAUAGGAAAGUAAAAGGAAAAUGAAAGGAAGAAAGUAGAUAAAUGUUCUUGAUGACAAUGCUAUAUUUGUUGUAGGAUUUGGGCAAAAAUAAUAUUAGCAAAGAUAUGAUUAUGUUGUUAAUAAUAUCCUGCAAGAUUGUCGGAACAAUUUGUUUUUUUAAUUUAUGAUGUCAAAUCUAUGUUAAAGAUAUAUAGGCAAAAUUUUUUGCAUUGUUUGUUUUUUUUUCUUUGUAUAAAAUUAGAUACUGCAACAAUGAAACAUAUACAAUUUCUUAGCCGCAAUUUCUAUGUGUUCUAUCCUCAUUGUUUAAAUUUAAAACCAAUAAAGUGGUAUCAGAGCCCUUGUUCUUAAGGGACUUGUAACGUGUGAGUGAAUUCAGAGAGCCUUCUUACACCAAAUCAAACACUUGGCCUUCAAUCUAAAAUUUAGUAUGACAAGAAAUAGUUUAUUAUCUGCACUUUAAUUUUCACAGGUGAAAAUUAUCAAAUAUGGGCUAUUAAAAUGAAAUCAUACCUACAAGCAUGUGUGUAACACCCCAAAUUCACCCAAAAGCUCAAGAGAAAUUUAGAAUAAAACCUUAUAACAUUAAUCUUAUAAGUAAUCCCAUAUAAAGUCAAUGUUGUCCAUAGACAUAGCAUAUUCUCUAAAAUAAUAAAUAAAAUAAUAAUCCUCCAAAAUAAAAAAAUAGCUCUAAGCAAAAAUCAAAGUAGCUACAAUUAAUUCAUUUAGAAAAUGCCAAAGUUUUUCAACUAACAAAUCUUCUCCACUAGACCAAAAGCCCACAUCUCUAAAAUCCAUCUGCAAAAUAUUAGAGAUGAGGGGUGAGCCAUCAACUCGGUAAGCAAACUCAUGCAUAAGGCUAUUAAUACGAAAAAGUAUAUAAUCAUUAUUAUGAGGUACCAUAAGUCACCAAACAGUAAUUAUUUUAUAGUCAUAUUUGCUCGGUACAAUUCGAAUCAGUUAAGUUAUAACGUGAUAAUAAUUUUCAAUAAAUAAUCGGGUAAAAAAUCUUUUAUCAAGAAAACCUUUCUUUCAUUCAAUUAGCUCAUGCCGUAUAGUGUCACUUAUACCACCAGUGACUUGGUCAAUAGUUUAAUAUGCAGUUGUACUCCCGAUGACCCGACCAAUAGUUCAAUCAGGGUAUUUUACCUCGUAAUAAUUGUCAAUAGGUGCGCACAAUACAGAUAGAUGUUCAAUAAUAUCAGUAAAAAUAACUACGGACAAUGAGUCAAAACCUUACAAAUAGUUUUCGGUCUUUCAAUAUCAGUCAUGAAGGGGGAGCUAAUAAACAUGUUUAUUAUAUGAAGAGGGAGAUAAUAAACAUGUCAACAUGUUUUGGAUGAAUUUAUUUUAGCUAAAUUUAUAUGAAGGGGGAGAUAAAUUUAUUUUUAUUUGAUUGGCCAUACAUUUAUAGGGAGCAUACAUUUAGGGGGAGUAAAAUGUUGGAAAGUUUGUCAUUAUAAAAAAGGGGGAGAAUGUUAACAUAUAUAUGUCUAUAGUAUUGAUUUUGAUGAUAACAAACUUUAUAUGCUUUUUAGAAAAAAAAUGUUAGAGUUUUUCAUUAAUAAACAAUUUCUUAAAAGUCGUAUAAUAUUUCUAAAUGAGUUCAUGAAAUAUGGACAAUCAUUAACUUUAAGCGGAAAAAAUCAUUCCCUACGAAAUUCUGCUAAAAUUGUGAUUCUGGUAAUUAACGGUGAACCAUUUACUGGAAACGGUUAACUAAUAAAUUCUAGAGAGGGAUAAAUCCUUAAACUUGAACCGCUUAGCAAAAACGGAUAAGGCUAGUGUGUGGUGAAGGUUACUGGAAUUAAAUAGCUAAUCGAUAAUUUCCAGAAUGGUAUUCUGUGCUAACACUGAACCGUUUAGCAAGAACGAAUAAGUAUAUUUUGAUUUGCAUGUUUAUGGAAAUAAAUGGCGAACCAUUUAUUUGAAACGGCUAACCGAUAAUUUUCAUAAUUGAAUUACAUGCUAAUCUUGAACCGUUUAGCACAAACGGGUAGCCAAAAUUUGUUUUACAGGUCUAUAAAAAUUAACAGAUUAAUCGAUAAGUCCAAACGGUUAACUAAUUAUUUGAAUUUCAGCCCAACGGUUAUAUUGACCAGUCAAAACGACUAACCGAUAACUAUUAACGGCAAUUCGAUUUCGGGCAGAAAGUUAAUAACGGCUAGUUUUCAUCUCCAACUAUAAAUAAGCUUAAUCAAAUUCAAACAAGGGUUGAUCACAACGUUAUCACCGAGCUUAUAAUAGAGAAUACAACAUUCAUUGAGCUUUAAAUUAAUUCUUACUUCAUGUAUUCACACAUUGAGCAUUCAUUUGUAAUCAUAUAUACUGUGACAGAGAAAAACAAUUUUGUAAUCUUUGCUUUGAGUGAUUGAAAGUGUUGGGAUAUUCUUGGGUUAAGAGAUUGGGGAUAAUCUCUUAUUGUAAAGGUUCAUUGACACCUUAGAAGUCAGUUGUAAGCAUUUGAAGCCUUAGAGGCUUCCUUAGUGAAAUACUCAAGCUCGGUGAACUUGAAGGCGUGGACGUAGGCGGAGAUUGUCGAACCAUGUAAAAAUCAUUGUGUUUGUUUUCUCUUCCCUUACUCUUUCAUUAUUGUGCUUUAUUGAAUUUAUUAUUUUUCGAUUCCAUUAAGGCAUUAGAUUGAAUUGUUGUGUGGUUUGCUUAGCUUAAAUUUUAAAAUCCCAAUUCACCCCCCCCCUUGGGUUGGAUAACUUGCAUUUAAACCCAUGCCCACCCCUAAUUUUAAGAAUAUAUUUUUUAUUAAAAUUUGAGUGUCUAGAAUAAUUUUUAGAAUACAGAUAGCCUCAACUAUAAAAUAAUUCAUGCAAUGGUCAAGUAUAGACAUAAUGUAAUUAGGUAGUAGCAUUAAAUUUUUAAAAUGGUAUUAUUAAAUUGAUAUCUUUAAAAAGAAAUAUUGAAAUGAUGGACCGUUCAUUAUCGGUUGUACAAUUAUCACUGAUCGAAGGGCAAUGCGCAAAGUAUGUAUUUUCAUUUUUCCCACACUUGCAGGGAAAACAUUAGUGUAGCAGAAAUUUUAGCUAAUUUCAAUAUUGGUUGUCAUCAUUUAGCUGGUGGAACUCGCCACGAAUAGAGAUUCGAAGCUUUAUUUCUAAAGACACUAAAUGUUUCCCUAAUUGUAGAUUUUACUGAUUUUGUUCAUUUUUGCUUUUGGCUUUCAUCUAUCUUUUUUCAUUGCGUCUUUUAUAGAGUUGAUAGGCAAGUAAUGAUCAUUAAUUCCCUCGACUUGUAGUCUUUUGUUCUUUUUAUGUAAAUACAAUUUUCCUUGGUUCACUAAGGUUAAUUUCUUUGAAUAAAAAAAAGGUUGUAAUCAUUAGGAAAUAUGUCUCCUUUUUUAAUGAGGAUUUGUAAAUCCUAAAUUAGGAUAUUUCAUAUACUUUUCUUAUAUAGUAUUUUUCUUAUUUAGGAGGAUUUCUAUUUGAAGAACAAGUAGUUUCCCAUUUGGACUUAACUUAUUCAAGGAGGAAUACUUGUCUUACGAGAAAUAAUCAUUAUAUAUAGGGAGAUUGGAUUCACUUACUUGUAUGACAUAACGAUCAGUUCUCUACAAGUAGAUAGUUUCUAGUAUGAGAGAAAUGGUAGGUCUACUGAGAUAUUGGAUGUUAUUGAGGCCUUGGGUGUGAGGAAAGUAUAAGAGUGGUUGUAAUAGUUUUUCAAAUAAUGGAUUUUUUUCCUCGUCAUCCUUGUCAAUUGUCGUUUUUCUUUAGUAUAGGAGUUUCCACGUAAAUUCAUUUUUCAUGUAAAUUCUUAUAUUGUAUGAUUGGUUAUAUACUCGAUUAUUUUCUAUUUAUUAUUUGUUUGAUAUUUUUGCUUGAAAGAUCUUAAAAUGGAUUAAAAAUUAACAAGUGGUAUCUGAGCUAAAGUUGUUCUACAAAUAAAUUUUUAAAUUUUGUGAGGAUUGAGGUUGAAAAGUUUGAUGAAAGAAUCAAUUUUGGCUUGUGAAAGGAUGUAUUGAUUCAAUCUAGUUACGCAAGAAAGGUAAAGGCAAUGAAAACCCUAUUCCCACUACUAGAAACACUAUGAGGUGUGUAGAAAAUCAAGGCCCCUUAAAAAAGAUUGUUGGAAUAGAUCAAGUUUGGCAAAUAGCUCUAAAUCAAUAGAUAGAAAUACUAGUAGUGUCAGCUACUGGUGUGAUUUAUCCUUUUUGGUGUACCGCAGAAAAGGAUGUGUUAUUGCUACUGAAUCUAUAAGAUUUUGACACAAGGAAAGGUUUGGCAUUUAUACAAGGUGUGUGGUGGAAUUUUUAUUUUGAUGGUUGAGAACUCACAAGGUAGCCAAACAUGAGAAUGGAUACUUUCAGCAAGGUGAUCGACAUGUGCUAAAUAUGUGUACUCUAAAUAAGGUAGAGUAUGAUAAUUCUUGGUGUAGAGAAUUGUAGCUGCUGGAUAUAGGAUAAGAUUUUACCCAUGGUGGAGUGAUUCUCAUAACCCCAAUGUGAAUGUGGUGUUGGUGGAGUAAAAAAGGUGGAGAUGACGUGAUAGUGUGGAUAAACUGUGAUGAACUAUAUUUUAUUGCCUAAUUGAAAAACUCGCCAAGGUGGAGAGUACUAGGAAAUAUGUUUUUCUUUUUUAAUGAAGAUUUGUAAGUCCUAAAUUAGGAUAUUUUCUUGGCUUUUCUUAUUUAGUAGUUUUCUUAUUGAGGAGGAUUCCUAUUUAAGGAAUAAGUAAUUUCUCAUUUGAGACUUAACUUAUUCAAGGAGGAAUAUAACUUAUAUAAGGAAAAAAAAUACUCUCCUACUAGAAAUAAUCACUCUAUAUAUAGGGAGAUUGGCUUUACUUGUUUGUAUAACAUGACAAUCAGUUCUCUAUAAGUAGAAAGUUUCUAGUUUGAGAAAACGGUAGGUAUAUUGUGAGAUUUGGGUUUUGGUGUGAGGAAAGUACUAGAGUUAUUGUAAUAAUUUUUCAGAUAGUGGAUUUUUCUUUCAUCAUUGUUAGCGGACGUCAUUUUUCUCCAGUAUAAGAGUUUUCUACAUAAAUACUUAUAUGGUGUGAUUGGUUUUAUUCUCCAUUUAUUUUCUAUUUAUUUGAUAUUUUUACCUGUAAAAUCUAGAGUAGGAUUAAAAUUCCCCAACAAUACUUAGGGACAGUUUGAGAUAUGCCAACUGAUGAAAAAAAUUGUUUCUAUUAUGUAGAUGAAGUAACCUACUGAUUAAAAAAGCAACUUGGCAAUUAGUAAAAUGUGUUGUUAUGGUUUCAAUUUGAGAGACAAAAUAACAAAAUAUAUGCAUUUCGUUAAUUUUAUUUUGAAAGUGUUAUUUUAUUAUAUAAUAAUCAUAAUAGACAAAGUCUAUAUUGUUUUUUAUUUAUAUAUUAAGGCUUAUGGGAAAGCUCACAUAAUUGCUUUUUGAAUUUUGAGUAUUACUAUAUUUACUCAGUUACUGGGAUAUUUAAUUUGUAUCUCAGCUAAUGUAUCGCCAAUAUAAUUUCACUGUUUGGAUGAGAAAAAAGGCUUUAUAACUAUCACUUAAGCCAAUUAAAUAAUACUAAUCAACUGGAAUUCAAACUAAGGUAGCACUUAUUUUUUUGUUUGAAAUCUGAACUCUGAAUGAAUUUGAACACAUAUAUAUGAUGAUAUGUUUUUUUUUUUUUUCAUUUUUUGAUGUCUGAAUGCCAGUGGUUAGCUAUUUGUUUUCAUUAAGUUAAAACAUCUUAAAUCUAGUAUUUUUCCUUUUAUGUUUUUGAAAGUGUUAUAUAUAUGGAAAUUUAAGUAGGUAUAUAUUUACGAUGUUACCUAGUUUAGUAGUAUUUAUAUGUUACAAAAAUUUGUAAAGAAAGCAUUUGAUAUAUAAUUUAUAAAAGAAUAAUUUGAUAACAUUAUUUUUUUACAUUUUAACAUGAUAUUUAUACAUAAAAAGGUUUUUAUACAAUAAUAAAAGAAUUUUCCUAAAAUUCAAAUUGAUGUAUGUUAGGUAUUUAAUAUCGAAUAAAAGUUGAGAUCAAGAGAAAUUCUAAUAUGACAUCUAAAUUAUGCUAUAGUUAAUUAAAACAAUCCUUCUAACUACAGGAAAAAAAAAAACCAAAAGGUUAUUUGAUUUUACAUAAUAGGUUAUAAACAAAUACAUUUAAUAAGGGUGUUUGUAAGAAAAAAAUUAAUUUUUCAUUCAAACAUUUUACCAUCCAAAUAAAAGUCAAUUUUUCCAUUCAAACAAAAAAGUCUUACAAUAAAUUUCAGAUAAAAAAACAAACAAGCAAAAAUACCAAAACAUCUUGACUUAAGCUAAAUUAAGACUUUAGACAUAUAGGCCCUAAGUAUCAAAGAUAAGUAAUCAUAGUAUUAUUGUUUCUUUUUAUUAAAUUAUUAAGGUUAUAAUAGAAAUUUUAAAAAUUUAUAAUGGCUUAUUUAAUAAGCUGUUUAUAAAAAAAAAAAAAAAAAACCUUUUACUUAUUUUUAAAAGUUUCUGUCAAAUUGCGGAAACUUAUGAAAUAAAUAAUUUUAAAAAAAUUUACCAAAUACUAUUUUUGUCAAAACUUAUUAAAUAAAUUGCUUAUAGCAUUUCAACAUUAAUCUCAAAUGGAGUCUUAAUCUCAUUUUUUUCUUAGAGAUUGAGUAUGAAAAAACCACAAAUAACUGAGGAGGAUUAACUAACACUAUUUAAUUAGCAAAUGAACAUGUGAGGUUUGUUUCAAAAAAGAAUUCAAGAAGAUUGAGCAUAAUCAUGAGUAACUUAAACAACAAACUGAUAUUUAUUGACUCACAAUAAUUUUAUUUAAUUAUUUAGUUUAAAGAAAAUAACAUACAUAGAUGUGAACAAGAAAAUCUCUUAUACAUAAUUGAAGUAAACCGACAUGCACUCACACAAUUGACAUGUAAUAGCGCUCAUUGCAUCCUUUUAUUUAAUAGAAUAUAAUACAAAAGAGUAGCACUGCACUUAAGCAGACUCUUCAUGAUUUCUCUCAAGAUUCUCAUUUGCCUUCCCGUCAUCAAUUAUACAACCACGAAAAGGAAUACUGCUAAUCUCCGGACAUUGAAAAUUUCAAAUCCUUAUUCAUAAAUGCAUGUAUUUGUAUAAGAAUUUUAAAAGGAAUUCGACUUAACUUGUCCUGAUGUAAUACCUGUGAUAUACAACACAAUAUAUAGACACUAGGAGCCGACAUGAAACACUUAACAUGUCACUGGCAAUAAUUUAUGAUAUAAAAAUACAUAUAAAUUCAACUAGCUCUGGGGGACAACAGCUUAAGCGGAUGAUCAGAGUCGGAACGAUGUACAAGUUGAUGGUUGUGAACUUUUUGAAAAUUUGUGAAAUAUAAGGUAAACAAAAAAAAAAAAAUUAAGGAAACUCGUCAUUUGUGAUAUGUUUCGGUGGCCUUAAAUUAAAAUUUCAAGAAAACUCGUAACUUGUAAUAUAUCUCGGCAAUUACAAACUAAAAUCCUGGUUCCGCCCACUGAUAUGUAAUUGUAGAUUGGUAAAAGAAGAAUUAACAGCUAUCGUUCAAUUACGCGGAGGUCCAAUGGAUCACUGAUUAACCAAUAAUGCAGUUAAGUUCCUAAUAAUAGUUGCGAAUGGGUGGCCACUGUUGCCAUGCAGAUGCUUCAGGUGCAUUAAUAAAAUAAGGAGGAUCACAUUAGGAUUCUUGAGAUAUGAUCUUAAAGCUUCUAAAUUAAAUCAAUUAUGAGCCAAGACCUUUGCCAUUAUUUCAUGUAAAUAUGGUAAAUAUCACGGCUAUUAACAUAAUAUUGCAAAUACAGAAAAAAACCUCAAAUCAUGGUGAUUGAUACGUUCCUUUUACGUUAUCAACUUUCUUGUAUUUUGAGCCUGCAACUUGAAUAAUAUGAGAGUGAAUUUACAUUUUCGACAUCGUUUGCCUAAAGUUUUCACACUUAGAAUACUGUUUCACUGGAGAGACCUAUUGGAAAUUCUAAAAAUAAAUUUUUACUCAACAGACUCUCUUAGAAAUAACAAAAUUAUCCUAAAUUAAAUCUCUUUUCACUUUACAUUUAUAUUCUCUCUCUAUAAACAACUAACAAUUGACCAAAAUAAAAAAACUUGAUCAAAUAAGAAUUAAAUUUAUUCGAUAAUAUACGAUAAGUAAUUUUUCCUGCAUCUUAAUUAAUCAGCGUGGCUAUUAGAGGAUACGCACUUCAACAAAUUUUUCAUCAAUACUCUAUUAUCAUGAACCAGACGCUAAUCAGACAAAUAUUUUUUGUUCUCAUAAAUAUCACGAAGUUGGGAAAGAAUUCCGAGAUUAAACAAAUAGUAUGUUUUUAAAUUGCCAGUAUAACACCUUAAGUAAGAGAAAAAUGAGUUAAUGCCUUUCUUGCUACAGAUAAAAGUGGUAGGAUUUCUUGGAAUCCAUUAAAUCUAACUUAAAUGAAAAAUAGAUGAAAACUCUUUUAUGUUACACAGAAUUGUCCUUUACAAUAAUUUAUAUAUUAGGUAUUCAAAGAACUUAAUUUUUUUUAAAAAAUGAAGUGUUCAGAAUAAUUUUUUAAAUACUAAUAGUCCCACUAAUAAAAUAAUUCAUAUACCAAUCGAGGAUAAACAUAAAUUAAUUUGGCUGUAGCAUUAAAUUAUUGAAAUGGCAUUAUUCAGAAAAAGAAAUUUUAUAUACAAUUGUCAUAAUUGUUUUGCACCAUUGUAGGGUAUGACUUUUUAAUGAGUUUUUAAUUUUUUUCCCUCAAAAUUUUUUUAGUGUCAAUUGUCACAAUUUAGCUGAUGGAGCUCACCGCCAGUCGAAACUGGAAGCCUUAUUUAAAAAGAUGCUAAUGCUUUCCCAACUAUAGAUUUCAUUGGCUUUCUUCUUUUUUUAUUUAUUUUGGCUCUCAUCUCUCUUUUUUGGUUGCUUCUUUUACAAAGCCUUGGUUCUUCAUUUAUUUCAGCACUAUGCAGCUUUUUAAGGGUCAGGCUUAUUUCGUCCGCCUGACUUGUAUUGGUUUCUUCUGCUUUUUUUUUUUUUAAAAAAAAAGUUUUGCUUGAUUUGCAAGGUUAAUUUUUUAAGAAAGAAAAAGGUUAGUACCAAUCUCAUAUUUUUUUUUUUUUAUUGAUUGAGAGUGAAGAAACCGUAUCAUUGGAGGAAUCACCAACACUAUUUAAAUUAGUAAAUGCAGUUUGUAGCAAAAGGUAUUUAAGAAGAGAGAGCAUAAUCAUGAUUAAUUUGAAUAACAAACUGACACACAGCAGUUUUAUUUAUUUAGUUCAAAGAAAACAAAGUUCAUAUAUGUGAACAAGAAAAUCUGUUGUAUCUAUAUCCCAAGAGAUCUUAUUAUUCGGAAUGAAGCAAACCGAAAUGCACUCACACAAUUUACUGGCUAUGGUGCCCAUGACAUCCUCUUACUUUAACACUGCCCUUAACCAGAUUCAUCAGGGUUUCUUCCAUAUUGAGGGGCUACAAGGAGAUCAAGAUUGUUAUUUCCAAUCCCAUCAUCAAUCAUACAGCCAUGAAAUGGAGCGAUGCUAGCCUCCAACCAUUCCUUAUUGCCUGAAAAUUUCAAAUCAGAAAACCUGUUCGUAAAGGCAUAUAUUAAUGUAGGAAUUAUAAAUGCAAUUCAACUUAAUAUGGCCUGAUGAAUUACUUGCAUAAACAGUCUCCAUGUUCUUCAAAUCAGAAAAUAUCUCUGCUAGCUUCUGCGCAAGUAAUUAAGGAGCUUUUGCUAGUCUUUUGAUUGUGGUUGCUUCCAGUGAGGUAUAACACAAUAUAUAGACGGGUAGCCGACAUGAAGCUAUAUGAUAUAUGAUUGGCAAUUGUUUAUAUUAUGAAAAUACAUAUAAAUUCAAGUAGCCAUCGGUGACAACGGGGUUAGUGGAUGAAGGAUCGACGGCUGAUGUUUAAUUGUUGAGUGGUAGAAGACGGAUUAAGGUCUAUAGUUCAAUUACGUGAAUAACGGGAGAGCUUGCAUGGGUCCGAUGGCUCACUGAUUAACCAAUAACUGUGGUUAUAUACAUAAUAAUAAUUGUGAAUGGGUGGCCACUACUGCCCUGUAGAUGCUUCAGGUGCAUUUUUAAAAAAAAAAGGAGGGUCACAUAAGGAUCCUUGAGAUAUGAUUUUGAAGCUUCUCAAUUAAGUCAAUUAUGAGCCAAGAGCUUUGCCAUUAUUUCAUGAAAAUUUGGUAAAUAUUUUGGCCAUCAUACUGCUGCAAAAUAUGGAGGAAAAAAAAUCCCCAAAGCCUUCUUGCAUAAAUUCUCUUUAAUUUGAGCAUUUACAUUUCCAUGUUGUCUAUGUAGCAGACGUUUUGGCUGAUUUCGGUGUUGGUUGUCAUGAUUUAGCUGGUAGAACUCACCACCGAUGGAGAUUUGAAACCUUAUUUCUAAAUAUUUCACUGAUUUUAUUCAUUUUUACUAUUGGCUUUCAUCUAUCUUUUUAUUGCUUCUUUUGGAAUGCAGAUGGGUAAGUGACCUUAUUACGUCCCCUUGUAUUGGCUUGUUUUUUUUAUGCAAAUAAGUUUCCCUUGCUUCUUGGGAUACUUAGUUUGUAUCUUUGCUGUCUGCUGGAUUUAAUGAUCGUUUUACACCACUGUUAGGCUGGUGGUUACGUGCAGAACUCCAAGAUCAUAAGAUAACAACUUUUAUGUAUGUCUUGGAAUGAAUUUACUUGUAAUGUGUUUAUGACUUUAUAUUGGCAAUAAUGUGGUAGUUACAUGUUUGAAAUUUGAACGAGCAACUUCCAUUAUCCAUCUGCAAGUUACAUGUUCAAAUUUAAACAUGUAGGUAUCUCAUGUGUAUCAGCUUUGUGAUACAUUAUGCAAGCUUAAUAUGUUCUAUAUGGGACCAUUUGAGGACAUGAAUAUUAGCAUCUCCCACUUGAUCAAAUGAUGUAGUUUUUAUUCUUAGAUGAUUAUAAUUUUAAUAUGCACAUUCUCGUUUAUUAUCAUACAUCAUAACACCAAGACCAAACUACAAAAGUAAAGGUAACUACAUUUUAUAAAAUAAAAUUGCACCAAUAUCUUAAACUAGGAGUGUUGUUCGUACCUAGUUUUAUUUGGUGACUUUACACUAAACGCCUAGUGUUACAUAGAUUCAUCAUUGAUGCCUUUAAACAAACUUUACAGAAAAAAUGAUCUAUUAUAACCCUUGUUUCCUCGCUUAGUGUUCUUUAUCUUUCAUCUGACCAAUUAAUGAAUCAAACAGAGUUGUAUCGAUUGUUUUUUCAAGCGUCCUUGAGAAUUUUCAAUGAUACCCUUAUACCGCAUGUUAUGAAUGCACAUUUAGAUGAUUCUUAAACCCGUAGUAGUCGCUCUCUGAACUUUUCCAAAGAUAAUCCCUUGGUCAUGGGAUUAGUUGCCAUCUUGUUAGAAGGGAAAUAGUCGACUUUUAUUUCUCUCUCUACUAUAUCAUGUACAUAGUGAUAAUUUAUAUUGAUAUGUUUUCCUUUUGAGCCAUUUACUCCACUUUUAACUAAAAAAAAUAGCAAACUUGCUAUUGCGGAACAAAUUAAUAAGUUCUUUAGAUAAAUUUAGUUGUAGAUUAUUAAUAAACCUUUUAGCGUAUACGGCAGUGCUUACUAUUGUGCUACAAGAUAUGUAUUUUGCUUCCAUUGUUGACUUUGCAAUACAAGCUUGUUUCUUACUUAGCCAAGAAACAGUUGUUCCACCAAAUAAGAAUACAUUACCACAUGUUGACUUUUUAUCAUCUAUAUUACCUGCAAAGUCUGCAUCACAAUAUCCAACAAGCUCUAGACCGUUUAAUCCAAAACAUAAUUUCAUAUCUUUUGUUCCUUUUAAGUACCUCAUAAUUCUUUUAACUGCUUGUCAAUGUGCUUUUCUUGGAUUUGAUAUAUAUACCUACGAACAACUCCCACUACAUGUGAUAUAUGUGGUCUAAUACUCAUCAUUGUGUACAUAAGACUUCCAACAGCCUGUGCUUAAAGUACAUUUUCCAUUUCUUUUAUUUCAGUUUUAUUUGUUGGCCACCAUUUCUUAUGGAGAAUUGUGGCUUUACACACAAGUGUGCUAACUGGUUUACAGUUUGUCAUAUUGAAUCGCUUAAGUAUUUCAUCUAAAUAAUUUUCUUGAUCUACAUAUGGCAUCCUAGAACCUCUAUCUCUAGAAAUUCUAAUUCCCAUAACAUAAGAUACUGAUUACAACAGUAGUUUAGUGUUUAGUAAACUGUGCUACUUGAUUACUAUGAGCUUGAAAAGUAGAAUUUGUGUAUUUAGUAAAUUUUGUUACAAAAGUGUUAUUUUAUUAUAUAAUGACCAAUACAGACAAAGUUUAAUAUUUGAUUUUGGAUUUUAAAGUGUAGGAAAAUCCAAGAAAUGUUUAAAACUAGGGGGUUUAAUAUCAUUAUAAAAUUAAGCUUUAAAAAAAGAUAUAAUUUCUUUUUAAAUUUUGAGUAAUGCUAUACUUAGGCUCAUUUUGGAUUUGCUUUCAGAAAGCUUAAAAGUCAUUUUGAAAAGGUAGAAGCUAACUUUGGUGCUUGGUAAUUUAUUUUAGAAAUCGCUUCCAACAAAAUCACUCCAUCCUAUAGUAGAUUUUCAAAUGCAGAAAAGGAGUAACUUUUCAAUAUCUAAUUUUAAAAAUCAAUUCUAUACAUAAUACAAUUCCAUAUAUAUCUUCAUGUAGUGUAAAAGUCUAAAUUUUUCAUAUUAAUUAGGAAAUAAAAUCAUUAACUUUAAAUGUAUUAUUAUUAUUAUUAUCACCAAUUAUAUUGAGAUAGCAAAAAAAAAAAAAAAUAAAACUAGUAACAUAAAUAAUAUUUAUUUUAAUUAUCAAUUAUUAUAUAUCCACCACAAAAAUUAUUUUAUGUACAUUUCACCACAAAAAUUAUUUUAUGUACAUUUUUAUAAAUUUUAUUAACAUUAUGUUCCAUUCAGUCAUUUACAUUCUUACAACAGUUUAACCGUAUGAUUUACCAAAUACAUAGAACUGCUUUUAAAACUCACAACACUUUUAAAAAUAAAUUUUGCUAAAUGCUCAACUGAUUUUCUUUACAACUAAUGUUUUUAAAAGCUACAACAUUACUAACCUUGCCCUUACUCAGUUACUGGGAAACUUAGUUUGUAUCUUAGCUGAUUUGUCACUAAUCGAACUUAAUCAUUUGGAUGAGAAAUGAAAAGGCUUUAUAACUAUCACCACCUACUAGCUAGAGCCAAUUAAAUAAUAUCACAACAAUCGGUAUCUAAACUAUGUAUCAAAAUUAUGUAAGCAUAGUAUUAUUGUAUUUUUUUUAUUUUUUGAUACAAAGGAGCUCUAAAAAGAGCUAAGGAAAAACAAAACAUGGGUAACCUCCCCAUACAUGUCAUGUUGAAGAUAAUCAAUGAUGCUAGGAGGGUUUGGGAACAAAUGAAGACCCAAAGGAGUUGAUAGUUCAUGGUUUGCCAAGAAGUCUGCUGCAAAAUUAGCCUCCUUAUAAACAUGAUUAAUGGUAAUGCGCCAGUCGUGACUAAUAAGAUCUUUAAUGGACUUAAUCAAAGGAGAAAACUCAUUAGCUGUAAUCAUAUGAGUGGUGAUUAGUUGAAAAAUACAGAGGUUGUCAACUUUAACUUGUAACCAUCGAAUCCCAUUUUGCCAAGCAACAUUUAAACCUUGAUCCCAAAGCUCAGCUACUGUAAUCGAGCACGAUCCAAUAUUCAUUCCAAAGCUAGCCACCCAAGCUCCAUUAUGAUCUCUAAUAAGACCGCCUGCACUUGUUUCCCCUGUCUUUUUUAUAGCACCAUCAGUAUUUGACUUGCACCAAGGCCAGAUUGGAGGAGACCAACAUAUCCACUUCUCAACCUGUCGAUUAUUCAUACCCAUUGGCAUGGUACUAAUACGUUGAAUUUUUGUAGCUUUUAUCUUGACAUCAAAUAUAAUGCUAGUGUUGGGAAAAUAUGCUCUUUAAAAGCAUAUGUGUUUAUUUAAUUGUAAUAAAUAAUUUUUCUGAUUAAUAAAAUAAAUGAGGUAUUUUAUUCAAAUAUCUUAAUUGCAUUAAUAUUUGUAUUAAAGUCCAUUUAAUCAUAUUAUAUGUAUUUAUGUGAUCACCAUGUGGAUUCACAGAAGACAUAAAUACAAGUUAUCUUAUGAUUAAAUAAAUUUAGUUCGCAGUUGAUAAAUAAAGUUUGGCACUUUAUUUAGGUAUAGACUGUAAUAAAUUCAUUGAAUGAUUUAUCUUAAUCAUGUAUGAAUUUAUUGAUGUAGUACGACUACAUUGAACAGGAUCACAUAUGAGAUUUAAUUAACUUUGUAAUAACUGUCAGACUUAUUAAAUCUCAUAGGCAUUGAUUUUACUGUAAUCUUAAUCUUGAGUUAAUUAUGAUUUCAUGAUUGUAAUUGUUAUUCCAUUUGAGUUACCAAUAGGCACGACAUAUCCUUGUGGUCAAGAUUACCCGGUAUCUUGGUGGGAGCAAUUAUGAGUAUUGGAGUUAUGGAUUAACAAUAUAGAAUUUGUAUAACACAUCUCUUGAUGGGUUUUCGGCACUUGAUCACAGAAUUCUCUGGCCAGAGUGUGUCAACAUAUUUAGUAUGUUGAAAAUGAUCAUUAGAGAAAACCAGUAAGGAUCAAGGAAUAAGAUGUUAUUAAAUUGAUUGGACAGUUGAGAUAUCAAUUUAAUUAACGAUGUGGUACAAAGGAUUGUGCAGUAAAGAAAUCAAUGUGGCUUGGGACGAAUUAUUAUUCGAGCAUACAAUUAUAGAAGUCAGUUCCAAUCUUUUAGUGGAGUAGAUUUGGAAUUAAAUAAUUGGGCUAGUUUAAUUACAGGCCUAAUUAUUGUAGCCACUAUUGUAUGUUCCCAAAUGAUUCCCGGGUUAGCUCAUUUAAUUGACUGCACCACUACUGGACUAAUAAGUAAGAUAACUAGCUAUUUGGGUCAAAAGCCUAAAUAUAUCAUUUAUUGGGAGGCUCCAUUUAAUUAGCUUUUGUGUAAGGGGCCUUAUGUUAUUUUACAAGGUGGGUCCCCUAUAGAAAAAGCAAAUAACGUGAGUUUUGUUUUUUGAUUAUUUGGAGCCUAGGGUUUUCACUAAAGGGUGAUAUAAAAUGCUUAUUUUCUAAAAAGAAAAAGAUAGCAGCCACUUUAUACAGAUCAGAAAAAAAUAUUUUUCUCUCUAUUGUUGAGAGAAAAAUUUUCUCUUGCUAGUUGCUUUGGUAGUGAUAAAGGCACCCACACGUCAAGUGCAGAUCGAACCUGAGUCAUAACAUGGAAGAUCAUUGGUGACAGUUCGUGAUCUAACAAGCGUGGUGGUGAUGGAUCGUGAUCUAAGAGGAGUGGUGGUGGAGGAUCGUGAUCAAGGAGCCUAAAUCACUUCAACGGAAAAAGCCAAAUCGGAUUUUCAAGGUACGAUUUCUCGAUUACGUAUUCUUAUAUAUUAUAUGAGAGCGAUCUUCAAAAGGUUUUAUAAAAAAUUAAAAAACAUGUAUUUUUUCCCUACAGCUAGCACAAUCCCAAGUCACACCAUGAAAUAAAAACUAAUUACCCCAAAAUCAAAGAUGCCAUAUAGCUACCCCAAAGAAAAUAUUCCAACUAAAAUUUGAUCCAACCUGGUCCGUGUUCGUCAAAUUAUAGCUCUUCCAAUCUCUCAAGUUCAGAGAGAAAAAAUAUUGACAUUGAUGUACCAGGAGGAUGGCAUUCCAAAAUCUUCUAGCUAUCAAGCAGUCCCGUAACACAUGCAAAGUAUUCUCAGCACCACCACCGCAACGAUCACAAUUGCAAUCUAAUUGAACAUGUCUCCUUGAAAUUUUAGCUUUUGUUUUCAAUCUGUUAUGGAAAACCAGCCAAAGGAAAACACGAGUGUUAUGCAAAUUUUAAUGUACUCGCAAGCACACGAAUCUAUUGUAGUAUAGACUAAUGGUGACGAGUGUCGAUCCCACGAGGAGGUGGAUUUUAAUUGUGUAUAGAAUUAAUUUUGUAAAUCGGGGAUUGGAUUUGUGGUGGAAAUGAUUUGGAAUAUGCUAAAACUUAAAUUAAAAUGGCGAGAAUAAAUUCUAAAAUUGGAAUUGAAAUAACGAGAAUAAAUUGAAGAGAAUUCUAUUGAAAUGAACUACUUGGGUAUCUGGAUCCGUAUCAACAUGCAUCAUGGGCUAAAUAAUCCUUAUUAAUGCCAAUUAAAUCAUGAGGGGGGAAUCCACACCUCAUGAACCACGCUCUAAUCAAUAUGGUGCUAAAGGCUUAUCGUGCCAAAUAAUAAUAACCUUGUACUAGAGAGCCGGUGUAACCAAGACGGUAUCUAGACAAGAUCAGUAUUAUUUGUCGACGAAAAGUCAAAUCAUCCACAAAAACUAGAGGGGAAAAGAAAAUAAAUUUACCAAAUAAAGCCCAUGACACAUGUUGAGACUUCACCUUCAACCCAAGCUUGAAAGAAAAUUAGCCACUCAUAAUUGAACUAAGGGCAAAAUGAGAAUUUAUUAAAAUACGUAGAAAAUACAAGAUGGAGAGGGAAUUACAGAAAAUGGAUCCCAAAAAUGGAUUCAGAGAUAUCAAAUUAGGGGGGAGAGGCCCCCUUGUUAUAGAUACAUGGAGUAAAUCAUGGCCAUCAGAUUAAAAACAGUUUGGACGCUCAGGAUUGCGCCACGUCAUCAGUCAACAGUACGCGGUUUGAUCACGUGGAUGAACAGUAAUACGGUUUGACCUGGAUGAACAGUAACACGGUUUGGUUGAAAAUAAUCCUGUGUGAUGCAUGUACCGUACGCGAGAUUUUUCGUCCACUGAUAUGCUGCCACGUCACCAUCCACAGUACAUAAGAAUUUUAGCCCAACAGGAUCGUGACACCUCAUCAGUCAAUGCCACAUCAUCGGUCAAUGCCACGUCAUCGAUCCGUCUAUGUGAACAGUGUCGUGAACAGUAACGUAUACAGUACCGUACACAUGAAUAGUACCGUACAUGUGAAUAGUGCCAUUUUUCCUUUUAUGCUCCUCCUAAGGUUUUCGACCGUCCUGAGUUCAAAAGUGAUGUCCGUUUUGCCGUCUGAUCUCUCCUUUAUUGUGAAAUGACUAUAAUGCCCCUAAAAUACAUAAAAUACUUAAUUAAAAUAAAACACACGGAAUUAAAUCAAAAGAAUGUUAAAUUCAUAAAAGUAAAGGUGUUAGUAAAACUUGUAGUGUAAAAUGACGAUUUUCUCCUUUAUAAAUAUACAUUUGCUAACACUCAACACACCCCCCAACCAGCUUAUUGCUAGUCCCUAGCAAAUAAAGCGAAAACGAAAUUCAAAUCCAAAAUGAUUUUUUUAUUUUUUUUUAAUAGAAACACUCGUGUUUAUUCAAUCAGAUUAAUGAUAGCAAUCAAAUAAAAGUAUAAGCAUUAUCUCUAGUCUAAAGAAACAUCACACCCACAUCAACCAUCCACAUGAAUCAGCCCAGUAGACUUUGUUAUAGCUACUUUCAAGAAUGACAUGUCAAACCCCAAAAUCUCACUGGAAGUAGUGACACUCUCACAAAGAAAUUAAACCCAAUAACAAUAGUCACUCCAAUGAAUGGUAAUUGAUAGAAAAUAAUAAAGAAGUGAUAUCACAUGCUCUCACCAAUGAUGAAAGAAAUAUACUCUCAGCUUAGAAAUAAUACGAUCGCAAGUCAAACAAAAAUGCUAGUCAACCCAUUUUAUUUAUCUCUUUUUCUUUUAUUAUUAUGCACCACUACAUCUUUUUAGCCCAUAUAACUAACUUCUACUUCAGACUAUAGUUCCCUAAAAUCAAGAAGGACUUUUAUUAGGACGUAACGUAGGUUAGGGACAUGGCUAAUAAAGAAGGGAAAUAAGGAAAACAAAAUGUAUGUUUGAGAAAAAUGCAGAGAAUUUUUUUUUUUGAAAGUUGCAAGGUGGAUUUCACCUAUUAUUGUUAUUUUUAUUCUUUUGAAACAACAACUUUUGUUUUUAUUUUUAUUUUUUAUUUUUUACUUUUAUUUGGCAUAACUUCACUGAACAACAUAAUUAGUUACAUUUUCUCAAACAUAAAUAGGUGAUGAAACUUAUAAGACAUCAGGUAAUACUCCAAAUCGAAGUGGGUCAAGAUGAUAAGUUUAACAAAUAAAAGGUUUUUUUUUUUUUUAAAAGGCUCAAAAUGGUUAACUAUGGAUAUUUGAUAAAAGGGAUGACUAGAAAGGCUCAAACGGAUCAAAGAUGGCCUUUCCAUCGUCUUUUAGGGCUCUAAAUAACCUUCCAUAUCUACUAGUUAGAUGGGCCUCCAAAUGUAGCAACACACAAUUUUUUUCUUUUUUUCUUUUUUUUUUUAAUUUUACCAUUUUUUUUAAGGGUUAACUCAAAAGAAAUCUAGAGAUCGUGUAUAAAAUAAUAAACUGCUAAGCUGUAUAGAGAAUGGGCAAAAGGGUUACUCUCCAAGAAAAUGAUAGGCUCAACAACUCACUUGGCACUUAUUUAUGACAUGUUCAUUCCUUCAAGCAACUUAUAUUUGUCUCCGACAUCAACAUGUAAAGUAGCAAACAUAGUGUAAUAUCACUUAAGACCAAAGAUAAUACAAAUACUAAAAUUUAAAAUUAAUCAUGUCAUCCAAUGUUAAAACAAAUCACACAAUUUUUUUUUUAAACAACAUUCUACCCCCCAACCUAUUCUAAACAUGAAAGGAAAAUAUGCAUGCAGAAAUGUGAAAAUGAUGCGAGAAAAGUUACACUUAAAAUGAUAGAAAACGAAAUGGUUUUUUUUUUUUUUUUUAACUUAGAAGAUGCGUUUCUAGAGGCACUACACUCCAUAUUCAGCCAUCUUUGACUCAAAAAUUUGAAAAUAUAUAUUUAUAAAGGAGAAAGAGGAAGAAAACGGUUUUUUUUUUUUAAACGAUGAAGAUGCGUUUCUAGAGUAACUACACUCCAUAUUCAGCCAUCUUCAACACAAAACGUUAGCAACAGUUAGUUUCUACAACAAAAAAUCAGUAAAAACUUAACCAAUAUUCCACAAUUGUCGACUAUUCCCUCCCCCCAACCUGAACAAAACAUUGUCCUCAAUGUUUGAAAGGAAAGAAGUAGAGUUUAGAAGACAUCACCUGGGUGGUGCAAUACAGAAGAAAAUAUUUACAGGCGGAGAGUUAAAUCUAAUUUGUACUUCUUACUGCGGCUACUAUUACCAUCAUUAUUUGGUUGCUCCAACACAAAAGUCCAGGGGUCUGGCUCCGGUUUAUAAGCUUGUAACAUAUCAAGUAGCUCAUUAGCAGUGUGAGCACAAAUAAAGAGUUUUUUCACAUUAGAAGGAAUGAAAUAAUUUUUUAUUGCAUGGUUAAGAAAUGCGAUAAAGCCAUCAUAAAAGUUAUUGACAUUUAACAAACCGAUGGGUUUCUGGUGGAUGUGCAGAUAGGCCCAAGAUGCUAGUGUGAUAAGUGCCUCUAGUGUUGCAAGAUCUCCUGGAAGGAAAAUAAAAGCAUCAGCAUGAUUAAGCAUUUCAGUUAUUCUUUCUUGCAUACCUGAGACGACUAACUCUUCUCCAGUUGAUGAGUCUGACGAAUUGCCCAAUGGUUUUAGGACUCUGGGGAUGAUGCCUAACACUUGACUUCCUCUGAUAAAAGCUGCUUCUGAGACCAUUUUUGAUAACCCUCGGUUACCUCCUCCAUACACCAAGUGUAAUUUUCUCGCUGCUAUGCUUCGACCAAGAUCUAUGGCUGCCUCAACGAACUCUUUAUGUUUGCCAUAGGUAAAUCCAGAAAGCACACAAAUGUUCUUGAAUUGUCUAUUGGGAGUAGCUGCCAUUGGGAUACUUCUCAAAAACAAUUUGUGAGUGUUUGACAAAAGAAAUCACAUUUAAGAGUCUUGGUGACAGUGGGUCACAACUGUGUAUGAGGUAGCAUGUCAGUGUCAAAUAACGCGUAAAGCACAUGGCUCGCGAGUCAAAAAGGAAACAGUAAAAAGGAAAAAGCAAACAGUAAUAAAAUUAUUAAAGACAAUAAUGCAAACAAUAAAACAACAGUGAAAUGAAAUAAAAUAACAGUAAAGUAAAAAGGAUAUGUACAAGUAGUUGCAACUGUGGCUCACAUCUUCCUCUGGUUUUACGUCCAGAAACGGCUUGAACGCCCUCUAUGGGUCGAGGAUGGGCUUCCCAUCCAGUUUUCUUAUAAACUGGCAAACAGGGUCGUUUAUAGUCAGAUUCCCAAGACUAUAUCGUGCAUGCUCUUUCUGGAAUAAUGGCCAUAACUGGAGAAUCGCUCCUUGCACAUAUCCACUGGGAUGCGUUUCAAGAGACAAAAGGAUAUCAUCCAAUGACUCCUUAUUCAAGCCAUCCCUAAUGAAUUGAAUCUUAUCUUCCCUGUUAUCAGAUACCAUUCCUAAAGAACAUGGGUUUCUAUCGCAACUCAUUCUGGCACACUUAUGACAAGCAACAGAAAUUCUUCGAGCUCGUCGUUUUCUUGCAUAAUUUCCUUUACCACAACCAGGCAUGUAUGCAAUAAAUUUAGGAGGUAACUCACCUGCCAAUUGUACUUUAACCUCGAUUAACCAACGGAUGUCUGCAGGUAUGUUAUUCCUCAUGAGCAAUCGCAUGCGUUCAGACCGGGCUUUAUAGAUUGUAAGGAGGGCAUUUUGAGGAAGUGAAGGGAAUCGCUUGUGAAGCUUCGCUAGAAUCUCGUUUCUGUCCAUACUUUCGCCUCAGAAUGUCAGUUAUUAUGGGAAACUGAAGUAACCGACUUGAUUGUCACAGAGUACCGUUAUCCGCCACUUCACCGGGGUAACAAACUAAAGCACACAAACAGAAAAACAAAUUAAAACACACAAAGAAAAUUAAAAUCGUCCUCUUAUUGAAUUUACCUCAAGCUCUAACUGGAUGUCGUAAACACUUCUCUCAAUAUCUCGGAGUUGGCUUUCUAGAUUCUCAACAUAGGCUACUAACUCUGGUGGUUGUAGAGCCCAAAUGCGUUGUGUUUUACAAAAUUGAAUCUGCCUUUUGAGAUGAGUUUUGACACGUUGAAGUGGUUUAAGAAUGUUCAGGAGGAACGGUCUAAGUAUGGUACUCAUGAUUAAAAAUGAUAAGAGAAAACUUGAUAGUUAAACAAACACACUUAUGCAAAAAUAAUUUCAAUUAGCAAAAGAAUAAUAAAAAUAAAGAAAGAAAAAUCAAAUCAACGAAAAGAAAAAACAAAUCAAUUCAAAUUUGGUGGGUCACUCAAAUUUAUUUCGGUGUCUUCGCCAUAUGGUUGGUAUUCUAGAUAUGGCUUUAAUCUUUGACCAUUAACUUUAAACGUGACACCAUUCUUUGGGUCCUUAAUUUCAAUUGCCCCAUGUGGAAAAACAGUAUGAACAAUAAAGGGACUAGACCAUCGAGAGCGUAACUUACCUGGGAAUAGGUGCAAACGAGAAUUGAAUAAAAGCACUUUCUGACCUGUAGAGAAAGAUUUUCUCAUAAUGUGCUUGUCAUGAAAGACUUGCAUUCGUUGUUUGUAAAUCUUGGCAUUUUUAUAUGCGUCAUUGCGAAUUUCUUCAAGUUCUGCCAGUUGUAAUCUUCUUUUUGAGCUGGCUUGUUGCAUGUCAAAGUUGAAUUUCUUGAUGGCCCAAUAUGCACGAUGCUCAAGUUCCACAGGUAGGUGGCAAGCUUUUCCAUACACUAGCCUGUAGGGUGACAUCCCAAUCGGGGUCUUGAAAGCCGUUCUAUAUGCCCAUAAUGCAUCAUCAAGUCUUAAUGACCAAUCUUUCCUGUGUGACCUCAUCGUCUUUUCUAAUAUGUGCUUUAUUUCUCGAUUGGAUAUCUCAACUUGGCCACUGAUUUGCGGAUGAUACGGAGUCGCCACUUUGUGUGUGAUUGAAUACUUUGUCAAAAGAGAUUUGAAUGCUUUAUUACAAAAGUGGGCACCACCAUCACUGAUUAUUGCUCGAGGGAAUCCAAAGCGUGAAACAAUGUUGCUUUUCAAAAAUCCUAUCACCACCUUGUGAUCAUUGGUUCUACAUGGAAUUGCUUCCACCCAUUUCGAUACGUAGUCAACACCAACCAAUAUGUAUUGAUGGCCAAAAGAAGGGGGAAAGGGUCCCAUGAAGUCGAUACCCCAUACGUCAAAAAUCUCAACCACUAAAAUUGGAUUUAGUGGCAUCAUGUUCCUUCGUGUAAUGCUCCCCAUUCGUUGACACCUAUCACAUGAAGAACAGAAAGUGUAAGCGUCUCGAAAUAUAGUUGGCCAAUAGAAACCACAUUGUAAAACUUUAGUCGCUGUUUUCUUAGCACUGAAAUGGCCUCCACAAGCUUGUUCAUGGCAGAAUGAAAGAAUAUUCUGAAUUUCAUUUUCAGGGACACAUCGUCUAACAAUUUGGUCUGCACAAUACUUGAACAAAUAUGGGUCAUCCCAAAAGAAACUCUUUAUUUCCGCAAAGAAUUUAGCCUUGUCUUGCUUGGUCCAAUGCUCUGGAAGUUUACCUGUAACAAGAUAAUUAACUAUAUCAUCAUACCAAGGUAAUACUUCCACACUCAUUAAUUGUUCAUCUGGAAAUGACUCAUUCAAUAUUAAUGGCUCUGUAAUUGUGUCAAAAUGGAGACGAGAGAGGUGGUCCGCCACAAUAUUUUCUGUCCCUUUCUUAUCUUUGAAUUCCAAGUCAAAUUCCUGCAAAAGUAACACCCAACGAAUUAGUCUAGCUUUUGCAUCUUUCUUUGUGAGAAGAUAUUUAAGAGCAGCAUGAUCUGUGAACACAAUUAUUUUACAACCAAUGAGAUAAGAUCGAAAUUUCUCUAAUGCAAACACUACUGCUAGCAUUUCUUUUUCAGUAGUUGAAUAGUUCAACUGUGCAUCAUUCAAUGUCAUACUAGCAUAGUAAAUAACAUGGGGAAUUCGAUCAACUCUUUGUCCUAAUACUGCUCCUACUGCAUAAUCAGAUGCAUCACACAUGAGCUCAAAUGGUAAGCUCCAGUUUGGGGGCUGAAUGAUGGGUGAUGAUGUCAACAACUGCUUUAGUUUUUUAAAUGCCACAAGACAUAAAUCAUCAAAGAUAAAAGGUACAUCCUUAGCAAGUAAAUUGCAUAAGGGUCUAGAAACUUUGCUAAAAUCUUUAAUGAAAUGUCUAUAGAAACCAGCAUGCCCAAGGAAAGAUCUUACUUCUCUGAUUGUUUUGGGUGGAGGAAGAUUAGAAAUGAGAUCCACCUUGGCUUUGUCAACCUCAAUACCUUUGCUCGAAAUGAUGUGACGGAGAACAAUACCUUGUUUUACCAUAAAAUGACACUUCUCCCAAUUUAAGACCAAGUUCUUUUCGAUACAUCUCUGCAGAACUAGCGUUAGAUGAUGUAAACAUUGAUCAAACGAGUCACCAAAAAUAGAAAAAUCAUCCAUAAAGACUUCAAGGAAUCGUUCAACUAUAUCAGAAAAAAUACUUAACAUGCAUCGUUAACAUAUAGCAGGUGUAUUACAUAAUCCAAAUGGCAUCCUCCUAUAUGCAAAUGUGUCAAAAGGGCAAGUGAAAGUGGUUUUCUCUUGAUCUUUUGGUACUAUGGGAAUCUGAUUAUAUCCUGAGUAGCCAUCUAGAAAGCAAUAAAAUUCAUGGCCUGCUAAUCUAUCAAGCAUUUGAUCAAUAAAUGGUAAAGGAAAAUGGUAUUUACGUGUGACAUAAUUCAAUUUUCUAUAAUCAAUGCAUACACGCUAUCCUGUAGUCACUCUAGUGGGUAUCAAUUCAUUAUCAGCAUUCGUAACUACUGUGACUCCUGACUUUUUAGGGACAACUUGUACAGGACUGACCCAUGAACUAUCAGAAAUUGGGUAAAUGAUACCUGCGUCUAAUGGCUUAAGGACUUCAGUUCUAACAACUUUUUUCAUAUUAGGAUUUAACCAACGUUGCAUUUCCCUAGUAGAUUUAGCAUUUUCAUCAAGGUGAAUGUAAUGCAUGCAGUCUACUGGGUUUAUACCUUUUAUGUCUGCUAUGGUCCAUCCUAAUGCCCCUUUGUGCUCUUUUAAAACAUCCAACAACUUACCUUUUUGUUCGUCAUUUAGGGAUGAUAAGAUGAUUACCGGCAAAGUACUUUCUUCUCCCAAAAAUGCAUAUUCCAAUGUGUUGGGCAAUGGUUUGAGCUCGAGUUUCGGUGGUGAUUCUGAUGAUGGGAUGAGUUUCUUCUCUGAUGGUGCUAGUUGUUCAACUCUUGACUUCCAUUUAUUAGUGUCCAUAGAUGGUGCUGAGUCAAGUAAAGCGUUGACUUCAUUAACUGAUCUGUCAAUAUCAAAAUCAAAACCAAAGUGAGUUAAACAUGUUUGUAAAGGAUCAUCACUAAGGUUUGAAAGAAAAGUAUUAUCAACUAUUGUUUCUAUUAAAUCCAUAUCAACAAUUCCAUCAUCUGCACUGUGAGGUUGUUUGGCAAUGUUGAAAAUAUUUAGCUCCAUAGUCAUGUUGCCGAAGGACAACUGCAUAUUUCCGGUCCUACAUUGAAUAUGAGCAUCUGCAGUUGCCAAGAAAGGUCGGCCUAGAAUAAUAGGGAUGUGCUUCCUUGAAUCCUGUAUUGGUUGAGUGUCAAUUACAAUAAAAUCAACAGGAAAAUAAAACUUGUCUACUUGGAUAAGCACGUCCUCCACAAUACCACGAGGUAUUUUCGUGGACCGAUCUGCAAGCUGUAACACCACUGAAGUUGGGUGUAAUUCUCCCAGUCCAAGUUUCAUGAAUACAGAGUAAGGCAAAAGAUUUACACUAGCUCCUAAAUCCAACAAAGCAUUCUCAAUUGUGUGGUUCCCUAUACUACAUGAGAUAGUGGGGGAGCCUGGGUCUUUGCAUUUUAAAGGAAUUUUAUGUUGGAGUAUAGAACUAACGUUUUCUGUUAAAAAUGCCUUCUUUUGAACAUGCAUAUUUCUCUUUUUAGUACAAAGGUCUUUAAGAAACUUGGCAUAAGAUGGAACUUGUUUAAUAGCAUCAAGUAAAGGGAUGUUAACACUUACCUGUUUGAAGAUUUCAAGAAUCUCAUCUGUGGAUUUUCCCUUUUUUCCUUUAGCUAACCUUUGAGGAAAUGGAGCUUUCGGAACAUAUUCUCGUGGGUUGGUUUCUUCUCUCUCCUCCGGUGGUGAGUCCUCAGCAUUUACAGGUACAAUUUGAUUUUCUUUUGUCACCGGCAUCUCCACUUUGUUAUCGACUUCCUUUCAUUUUCGCAAGGUCAUGACUGUUUUGACCUCUCCAUACUGCUGUGGUGAACUGAUACUUGCUUCAUGCACUCCUUUAGGAUUAGGCACUGGUUGACUUGGAAACUUGCCUUUCUCAACAGUCAUUGCCAAGGUCUGAACUAAAGAAGCAAGCUGUCCCACCAUCUUCUCGAGGUUUGAAACUAAUUGAGCUUGUGAGUUGAAGCCUGCUCUCAACUCAUUUCGUAGUCCAUCAAUGGUGCGGUUCUGUUGCUCAAUCGUGGAGUGAGUAACAUUCUUGAAAUUAUGGAAUGCAUCCUCCCAUGGUCUGGGUUGAGAGUAGUUCUGGUUCUGAUUGUAUGUUCUAAAUGGAGACUGAGAGGCUUGAGGAUUUUGAGGAAUUUGUUGCAUUGGUGGAGCUGGAGCUGCUGGUCCAUUCUGUUGGAAUCCUUGAGACUAUGAAAAAUUGGGGUGGUCUCUCCAUUCAGGGUGAUGAGCAUAUAAUACAUACAUAUUUUACCAUUAAUUAAAUAAUUGUUAUUUAUAUUUAUUUGUUAUUUUUGAUUAAUUGAAUUAUUUUAUUGAAUAGGGAAUUAAUUGGAGAUUGUGGAUAAAAAGUGCAUAAAGAAUAACAAGUUUUAUAAAAGAGAAUUUCAAUUUUUCAAGUGACUUGGGCAUGCAUGGCAUUGUAAUGCAUGGAAAGCAACUUAAAGGGGCCCACACUUGGCUUUUACAAUUGGAAAAAGGAAUCCUAGUGCAAGCUUAAUUGAUGAGCACGUGAGUGAGAGUAAAGAAAAAUAAAAGGCCAAAUCCUUUUGGCUUUAGGAUUGACAAGGUGGGGCCCAUUUUAAAGGCUAUAUAAGAAAGCUAAGCUCUUGGCUUUUGGAGGGGAGGAGCCGCCAGUGGAGGAGAAUUCGGCUUUGGAAGAGAGCAAUCCGCAGCAGCAAUAUUUCAGCUUCCAUGGCUGAUUUUAUUUCUUUUGUUGCUCCUAAUUCAAGUAUGUCUAGCUAAUUUUCUUAUACUGAGGUUAAGGAUGAAACCCUAUUUAAUGGAAUAAUUAUCUUUUUAUUUAUUUAAUUCCUUAUAUAUGUUCUUUAAUAAUUAUGGUUUUUAUUUCACAUGAUUAAUUGGAUGUUAUUAAAAUCUUUUCAUCAAUUCUGUCAUGCAUUAUUGAUUGUUAGGAUUAAUAUUCGAUUAAAUCUAUGCUUGGAUCUUUAAAGUUUAUACAUGAUUAUCUUUGAUUUUAUGUCUUUCAUUAAAUUGUUUACAUAGAGUGCUUAGGAAAACUUUGACUCUUUGUUAUUCAAUAUGUUUACAUGGGAUGCUUAGAUGUCAUAUUAUUAAGCAGAAAAAGAACCUACAUUAGAUUUAAUUAUUUGGGCUUAAUUGUUAUAUCCAUGAGAUGACAUAGAUUGAUUUCGAGUUGUCACUCUAAAAUUGGGGAUUAAUGAAUAUUUAGAUAAUUACUAGUUGAAUAGUGGUGGAUUCUGAAACCUUAGUAAUUCUUAUCUUAUUGAAUUCUUCUUUAUUUUAAUUGUUUCCUUAGUUUAAUUGGUUUAAUUUUCUUAGAAACUCAAUUUGGUCAACUAGGUUAGAAUUAAUAUUAAUUUUAGAUUUAAAUUAGACUUUUCAAUUUAUAACAAUCCCUGUGGGAUCGACCUCGUUACCACUACUCUAUUUCUAGAUUCGUGCGCUUGCGAGUACAUUAAAAUUUUCACAACAAGUUUUUGGCGCCGUUGCCGGGGAUUGUGCAAGAAAGUCAGUUUAAUCUAGGUUGAUUUGACUCUUCCACUAGUUAUAAUUUAGGUUGUCUUUUAUUUUUUUAAUUAAAAAAACACAAAAAAAAAAUAUUUAUUUGUCUUUAAAUUCAUUGUUUGGUUGUUUGAUUUCUUUUAUUUUUUAAAUUUCGUUUAUUCUCAUUUUUUGGUUUAUUUUAUUUUUCUUUCUUUCCUUGUCUAGUUAGUUUAUGAGUGUUUGGGAACGUGAUUCAACAAAUCGUUUGGUUAAAAAAGAGUCGAAAAUUGAUAGUAGUCAAGCUAGUUCUUCUCAAGUCAUGGAUGACCCAAAUAGAUUAUUGUCAAUACUACCACCAGUGCAAGCAGAGAAAACCCUUAGAGAAUAUUUUUCACCACUUGCAGCCAACCAACCAUCUUGUAUUGUGUUGCCACAAACCACAGCAACACACUUUGAACUUAAACCCUCUAUCAUUCAACUUUUACCAUCUUUCCAUGGGUUAGAGAGAGAGGAUCCAUAUUUGCACAUUAAGGAAUUUCUUGACAUAUGCUCUACAUUUCGUUUUCAAAAUUUUAAUGAUGAGUCAAUUAGGUUUCGUAUGUUCCCUUUCUCAUUAAAAGACAGCAAAAGCUUGGUUGAAUUCGCUUCCUGCUGGGUCUAUAACUACGUGGGAUGAAUUGAGUAAUAAGUUUCUCACCAAGUUUUUCCCUAUGUCUAAAACAAAUGCCCUUAGGAGAGAGAUAAGUGAUUUUUAUCGAAGAGAGGGUGAGCAAUUUUACGAGUGUUGGGAAAGAUUUAAUGAUUUACUCCUCAAGUGUCCCCACCAUGGUUUUGAAAAAUGGAGACUUAUACAAUGCUUUUAUAAUGGUUUAACCAUGUCAAAUCGUCAUAUGGUAAAGUCUAUGAAUGGUGGGAGAUUUUUGAACCUACAUGAAGGGGCUGUUGAGUGUUAGAAAAUGCAUAUUUAUAAAGGAGAAAACCGUCAUUUUACAUUUCAAGUCUUACUAACAACCCUUACUUUUAUGUAUUUAACAUUAUUGUGAUUUAAUUACGUGUGUUUUAUUUUAAUUAAGUAAUUUAUGUAUUUUAGGGGCAUUAUAGUCAUUUCACAAUAAAGGAGAGAUCAGACGGCAAAACGGACAUCACUUUUGAACUCAAGACGGUCGAAAACCUUAGGAGGAGUAUAAAAGGAAAAAUGACACUAUUCACAUGUACGGUACUAUUCACGUAUACGGUACUGUAUACGUUACUGUUCACGGCACUAUUCACAUAGACGGAUCGAUGACGUGGCAUUGACCGAUGAUGUGGCAUUAACUGAUGAGGUGUCACGAUCCUGUUGGGCUAAAAUUCUUAUGUACUGUUGAUGGUGACGUGGCAGCAUAUCAGUGGACGAAAAAUCUCGCGUACGGUGCAUGCAUCACACAGGAUUAUUUUCAACUAAACCGCGUUAUUGUUCAAAGUCGGGUCAAACCGUGUUACUGUUCAUCCGCGUGGUCAAAUCGUGGACUGUUGACUGAUGACGUGGCGAAAUCCUGAGCGUCCAAACUGUUUUUAAUCCGAUGGCCAUGAUUUACUCCAUGUAUCUAUAAAAAGGGGGCCUCCCCCCCCUAAUUUGAUAUCUCUGAAUCCAUUUUUGGGAUCCAUUUUCUGUAAUUCCUUCUCCAUCUUGUAUUUUCUUUGUAUUUUAAUAAAUUCCCUUUUUGCCCCUAGUUCAAUUAUGAGUGGCUAAUUUUCGUUCAAGUUUGGGUUGAAGGUGAAGUCUCAACAUGUGUCAUGGGCUUAAUUUGGUAAAUUUAUUUUCUCUUCCCCUCUAGUUUUUGUGGAUGUUUUGACUUCUCGUCGACAAAUAAUAGUAAUCUUGUCUAGAUACCGCCUUGGUUACACCGGCUCUCUAGUAUAAGGUUAUUAUUAUUUGGCACGAUAAGCCCUUAGCACCAUAUUGAUUAGAGCGUGGUUCAUGAGGUGUGGAUUCCCCCCUCAUGAUUUAAUUGGUAUUAAUAAGGAAUAUUUAGCCCAUGAUGCAUGUUGAUACGGAUCCAGAUACCCAAGUACGUCAUUUCAAUAGAAUUCUCUUCAAUUUAUUCUCGCCAUUUCAAUUCCAAUUUCAGAAUUUAUUCUCGCCAUUUUAAUUUAAGUUUUAGAGUAUUCCAAAUCAAUUUCACUAGAAAUCCAAUCACCCAUUUACAAAAUUAAUUCUACACUAUUAAAAUCCACCUCCUCGUGGGAUCGACACUCGUCACCAUUGAUCUAUACCACAAUAGAUUCGUGCGCUUGCGAGUACAUUAAAAUUUGCACAACAGGGGCUGCAUGGGAUUUCUUUAAUUCACUUUAUGAGAAUUCUCAACAGUGGGAUUUUUCAAAUCAAAGGGAAAAAUUAUCUCAAGUUUCUAGAAAGGGUCUAUACGAAGUUAAGGAUGACUUUGAUGUGAAAGCCACUCUAGCUACACUUUCUAGGAAAGUAGAUGCCUUAGCUCUGAACCAAUCCAUGAAUCAUCAUCCUAGUGUAGUUAAUGAGGUUUGUGCUAUUUGUUCUAACUUGUCUCAUACAGCACAGAAUUGUCCAUCAUUACCAGUCUAUCCAGAGGCUUAUUCUGAGCAGGUACAUGCCUUACAAUCAUAUGAAAAAACCUCCAAUAGUCCAUAUUCAUCCACAUAUAAUCCUAAUUGGAGGAAUCACCCUAAUUUUUCUUGGAAACAAAAUCAACCUUUGUCAAACCAAGGAGGACAACAAUUUAGCAUGCCCAAUCAACAAUUUGUCCCUCCUAACCAAGUAUAUCCUCUUGCCCAACAACCUAUGUCUCAAUUUGUUGCACCCCAACAAAGAAAAUCUUCUUUAGAGGAUACACUUCAAAGUUUCAUUCAGUCAACCCAACAAGCUUUUCAGUCAAACGCUCAAGCUAUUCUAAAGCUUGAACAUCAAUUGGGUCAAUUAGCAACUACUAUAGCGGAGAGAGAAAAAGGAAAAUUCCUCAGUCAAUCAAUUCCCAAUCCUAAAGGAGUGCAUAAAGUUGGAUCGAGUUCAAGCCAUCAGCAUGAAGAAGCAAAAUCUGUUAUGAUCUUGAGAAGAGGAAAGUUAUUUGACAACAAGGUGGAGGUUCAAACAAGGAAGACAUUUGAGCCUACUUCUUCAGAUCCAAUUCCAUCACAAGACUCAUCACCAAAUGAUCCAGAAGAGAGUGGUCCGCCAGCUUACAUUCCCAAGGCUCCUUUUCCUCAAAGGUUAACAAAGGUAAAGAAAGGGACUUCAAUAUGUGAGAUUAUGGAAAUCUUCAAGCAGGUAAGUAUAAACAUCCCUUUACUCGAUGCUAUUAAGCAAGUUCCUUCUUAUGCCAAGUUUUUGAAAGAUUUAUGCACUAAAAAGAGAAAUUUGCAUGUCACCAAAAAAGCAUUUUUAACUAAACAAACUAGCAAUUUACUCCAAUGUAAAAUGCCACCAAAAUUUAAGGAUCUUGGUUCUCCUACUAUCUCAUGUGUUAUAGGGAACCAAUGUUUUGAUAAAGCAUUAUUGGAUUUGGGUGCUAGUGUUAAUCUCUUGCCUUAUUCUGUUUACAUACAACUUGGACUAGGUGAGUUAAAAUCAACUUCCAUUGUUUUGCAACUUGCUGAUAGGUCAAUGAAAAUACCUCGUGGUAUUAUAGAGGAUAUGUUGAUACAGAUUGACAAAUUUUAUUAUCCUGUUGAUUUUAUUGUUAUUGAUACCCAGCAUGUACAGGAUCCUAAGAAACACACCCCAGUUAUUCUAGGUCGUCCUUUCUUAGCUACAGCUGAUGCUCAUAUUAGUUGCAGGACUGGAAACAUGCAAUUGUCUUUUGGUAACAUGACCAUGGAAUUAAACAUUUUUAAUGUUCCUAAGCAGGCACAAGAAGAUGAUGAAGUUGUUGAAGUAGAUAUGAUAGAAGCAUCAAUUGAUGACUCACUUAUUUCUAACCACUGUGACAAUCCAUUAAUACCAUGCACAACUGACUCUGAUUUCUCUGUUGAUGUUGAUAGUGGUAUUGAAGAAGUUAAUGUUUUACUUGAUUCGACUCUUAUAAUAGAUCUAAUUAAGUGGAAAGAAAAGAUUGGGCCACUUCCUCCUGAAGAGAAAAUUGAACCAUUCAAGUUGGAGUUACUUCCUAAAAAAGUGCAACAUAGGUCACAUUCUGACAUGAAAAAGGUGGUAAGAUCUAAAGUGCUUCAAUUAUUAGAUUUUUAUACUACUUCAGAUAACUCUCAGGAAAGCAUGGAACAGAAGAGAUCAAGGCAGUGCGAUAUUGAGAAGUUUCAUUACCAUCAUCCUUUUAUAGAUAAAAUGCUCCAAUGCUUAGUCAAUUAUGUUUUCUGGCAUUUUCUAUAUAAUUGCUUUGCUUUUCACCAAAUUCUUAUUGAUCCUGGUUGAUUUGUUGUUUACAUUAAUUAGUUAGUUAGUAGGAUUUUUUUUAUUUUGAUUUUAUUUUAUUAUUUAUAUUUCUUCUAACAUUUUCUUUUAGUUGUCAUUUUUUUUAAAGCUUUCCCAGCCCAUCCAGGUGUGUUCUCUCCAACUUUCUUUUUAUUAUUUAUGUUUUGUUAUUAUUAUUUUUCUUCUCUCAUUUGCAUAUCUUUUGUUUGUGAAACAUUGAGGACAAUGUUCCGAAUAAGUUUGGGGGUGGGAAUAGUGUGUGCUUUGUUUGUUAAAAAAAAAAAAAAAAUUUGUUGUUUUUUGUUUUUAUGUGAAAAGUCAAUGAUAAGAAUUUGAUUGACAAUGAAUAUGAUUUUUAGAAAGGGUUGAAUAUUGUCUUAGUUUAUACUUGAUUCUUGUGUUAAUUCCUCUUGAUUGAGAUUCUUUAAACUAUGAGCACUAAUAUGAGUUCUUUUGUAAUUUUGGCUUGAAAUUUGAGAUUGACGCAGCCUGAGUUGAGAAUUUUAGAUAGAGUAAAUGACUGUUUGUCUUGAUUCUUAUGUCCACAAUACAAAAUAGUAUACACAGGUGCCAAAGUCAGAAAUAGCUACCUAUAACCCUUAAGAGUGAAGCUAUCAUUGAGUAAUUUGGACCUAUGUACCACAAGUAUGUAGAGGAUAAUCUACCAUGAGAAGAAGGCUACCUUAAGGGGUAGAGUGAAAGCUCCUGACUAUGGUUAAAAAAAAAAAAAGAGAAAAAGAAAAAUCAAAUCAAGUCUAUGUGCUAAAAAAAAAUCAAAAGAAAAUGCACAUAAAAGCCUGUGAGAAAAAAAAAAAAAAUUGGAGAUCAAGAUGAUAAGAUUAGUUUGACCUACUCUUUUCUUUGUUCGAAACGAAGGCUGUUGAUAUUGAGGAUUUUGGGAAUGGAUUUGAUUGAAUUGAUUUCACACACACACUACAAGAAUCAAAAGAGAGAUGUGAUUGACUAUUGAAUUAAAGUUAGAACUUUGUCAAUAUUUGAAAUUUUCUUUGAGCUAUAUAAUUUAUGCAAUCUUUGAGGCUAUCUUCAUGUUUUGUUGAAAGCUUGUUGCUCUUUUCAUUUUAUUUUAUUUUAAUUCUUUGAAAAAUGAUGUUUGUGGGUAUCAUCACUGAAGCCCUCACGAGACUAUAACUCAUCCACUAGGGCCGCCUAGGGGUUUAAAGGCUUGUUGCAUACACUAAAUGCAAUCGCGAUCACCUGCGAAAGUGGUUUAGUUAGGAUUUACUUUUUGUUUCGUUACUUUUUGUUUUCGUUUUUAGUUUUAGUUUUGCUCGAGGACUAGCAAAAUCUAAGUUUGGGGGUAUUUGAUGAGCAUAUAAUACAUACAUAUUUUACCAUUAAUUAAAUAAUUGUUAGUUAUAUUUAUUUGUUAUUUUUGAUUAAUUGAAUUAUUUUAUUGAAUAGGGAAUUAAUUGGAGAUUGUGGAUAAAAAGUCCAUAAAGAAUAACAAGUUUAAAAAAAGAGAAUUUCAAUUUUUCAAGUGACCUGGGCAUGCAUGGCAUUGUAAUGCAUGGAAAGCAACUUAAAGGGGCCCACACUUGGCUUUUACAAUUGGAAAAAGGAAUCCUAGUGCAAGCUUAAUUGAUGAGCACGUGAGUGAGAGUAAAGAAAAAUAAAAGGCCAAAUCCUUUUGGCUUUAGGAUUGACAAGGUGGGGCCCAUUUUAAAGGCUAUAUAAGAAAGCUAAGCUCUUGGCUUUUGGAGGGGAGGAGCCGCCAGUGGAGGAGAAUUCGGCUUUGGAAGAGAGCAAUCCGCAGCAGCAAUAUUUCAGCUUCCAUGGCUGAUUUUAUUUCUUUUGUUGCUCCUAAUUCAAGUAUGUCUAGCUAAUUUUCUUAUACUGAGGUUAAGGAUGAAACCCUAUUUAAUGGAAUAAUUAUCUUUUUAUUUAUUUAAUUCCUUAUAUAUGUUCUUUAAUAAUUAUGGUUUUUAUUUCACAUGAUUAAUUGGAUGUUAUUAAAAUCUUUUCAUCAAUUCUGUCAUGCAUUAUUGAUUGUUAGGAUUAAUAUUCGAUUAAAUCUAUGCUUGGAUCUUUAAAGUUUAUACAUGAUUAUCUUUGAUUUUAUGUCUUUCAUUAAAUUGUUUACAUAGAGUGCUUAGGAAAACUUUGACUCUUUGUUAUUCAAUAUGUUUACAUGGGAUGCUUAGAUGUCAUAUUAUUAAGCAGAAAAAGAACCUACAUUAGAUUUAAUUAUUUGGGCUUAAUUGUUAUAUCCAUGAGAUGACAUAGAUUGAUUUCGAGUUGUCACUCUAAAAUUGGGGAUUAAUGAAUAUUUAGAUAAUUACUAGUUGAAUAGUGGUGGAUUCUGAAACCUUAGUAAUUCUUAUCUUAUUGAAUUCUUCUUUAUUUUAAUUGUUUCCUUAGUUUAAUUGGUUUAAUUUUCUUAGAAACUCAAUUUGGUCAACUAGGUUAGAAUUAAUAUUAAUUUUAGAUUUAAAUUAGACUUUUCAAUUUAUAACAAUCCCUGUGGGAUCGACCUCGUUACCACUACUCUAUUUCUAGAUUCGUGUGCUUGCGAGUACAUUAAAAUUUUCACAACACAUGGUUAUAUGUGUUGGAGUAUGGGUUGUAAUUUGAUGGUUUUCUCAUUACACCUAUGACAUUGGCUUGAUCGGAGUAUGAGUCAGGGUCAUGUGGUUCUGUUGAUUUAGCAAUCGAAAACGAUGCUAUUUGUCGAGAGAGACCUUCAAUUAUUGCUUUGACUUCUUUAAUUUCUGAACUGGAUUCGCCAAUUUGAACCUCAUUUACUCCUUUAAUUCUUCUGGUAUUCCUGAGUGACCGACUCCGUUGUUGGGAAUUAUCCGCUUGUCGCUGGAAGAAUUCCCAAAUCUCUGAUGCACUUUUUGACAUUAGCUCUCCUCCACUUGUUGCCAUUAGCCAUUCUUGCACAUUCGGUAAUAAUCCCUCCAGAAAGUAUUGGCAUUGAUGCCAUUUCUCGUACCCAUGAUGUGGACACUUCAAGAGUAGCCCAUUGAAUCGCUCCCAUGUUUCGAAAAACUGCUCGUCCUCUCUCUAGGUAAACUCUGAGAUUUCCCUGCGAAUAGCAUUGGUUUUAUGCACUGAGAAAUAUUUAUUCAAAAAUUUUGUAACCAUUUGUUCCCAUGAUGCAAUGCUAUUAGCAGGCAAUGUAUUAAGCCAUGAACGAGCUCUAUCCUUUAAAGAAAAUGGGAAUAAUCUGAGUUUAACAUCAUCGUCUGAAAAAUUUUCAUAUUUAAAAGUUUGACAAAUGGCAUGAAAAUCAUUCAGAUGAUUAUAUGGGUCCUCAUUUUCUAGGCCAUAGAAUGUUGGGAGACAAUUUAGCACACUAGGUUUUAACUCAAAACUCCUAGCAGCUACAUUUGGGUAUCUUAUGCAUGAUGUGCUCAAAUUAGCUAAGGAACUGAAAUAGUCCUUAAAUGGCUUCUCCUGUGGUUGCAAAUCCAUUCCAAAUUUAUUUUUAAUGUGCCUGUGUGUGCGAAGUGUUUUUUCUAAUUCAAUGUCUAUAGGUUCAAGAUUAGGUAAUAAUGACCUACGACCAUGCAUGCAAAACAAAUAAAAUAAAAAUAAAGAUGGGAACAAGACAAAUAAAAAUAAAGAAGAGGGAGAAAUUACGAUACUAACCUUAUUGCACUAUUACAACCUUUCUAUAAAAAUACACAAAAACAAAUACGUGAAAUAAAUUAACUAAAAAUUAAAUUAAUAAAAUAAACAAAAAUUACAAAGAAAAAAAAUAAAUUGAAAAUUAAAUUAUAGAAUUUUAAAGAAGAGAAAAAGAAAAGAAAUACUAACCGUUAUAUGUAGAUUCACUUUUUUUUUCUUUAAAAAAAUUACAAGAAAACAAUUAAAAGAAAUUAUUCACAAAAAUUAAUUCUAUGAAUUAAAAUAACUUACCUCCUCGGCAACGGCGCCAAAAACUUGUUGUGCAAAUUUUAAUGUACUCGCAAGCGCACGAAUCUAUUGUAGUAUAGACUAAUGGUGACGAGUGUCGAUCCCACGAGGAGGUGGAUUUUAAUUGUGUAUAGAAUUAAUUUUGUAAAUCGGGGAUUGGAUUUGUGGUGGAAAUGAUUUGGAAUAUGCUAAAACUUAAAUUAAAAUGGUGAGAAUAAAUUCUAAAAUUGGAAUUGAAAUGACGAGAAUAAAUUGAAGAGAAUUCUAUUGAAAUGAAGUACUUGGGUAUCUGGAUCCGUAUCAACAUGCAUCAUGGGCUAAAUAAUCCUUAUUAAUGCCAAUUAAAUCAUGAGGGGGGAAUCCACACCUCAUGAACCACGCUCUAAUCAAUAUGGUGCUAAGGGCUUAUCGUGCCAAAUAAUAAUAACCUUGUACUAGAGAGCCGGUGUAACCAAGGCGGUAUUUGGACAAGAUCAGUAUUAUUUGUCGAUGAAAAGUCAAAUCAUCCACAAAAACUAGAGGGGAAAAGAAAAUAAAUUUACCAAAUAAAGCCCAUGACACAUGUUGAGACUUCACCUUCAACCCAAGCUUGAAAGAAAAUUAGCCACUCAUAAUUGAACUAAGGGCAAAAUGAGAAUUUAUUAAAAUACGUAGAAAAUACAAGAUGGAGAGGGAAUUACAGAAAAUGGAUCCUAAAAAUGGAUUCAGAGAUAUCAAAUUAGGGGGGAGAGGCUCCCUUUUUAUAGAUACAUGGAGUAAAUCAUGGCCAUCGGAUUAAAAACAGUUUGGACGCUCAGGAUUGCGCCAUGUCAUCAGUCAACAGUACGCGGUUUGACCACGUGGAUGAACAGUAUCAUGGUUUGACCCGGAUGAACAGUAACACGGUUUGGUUGAAAAUAAUCUUGUGUGAUGCAUGUACCGUACGUGAGAUUUUUCGUCCACUGAUAUGCUGCCACGUCACCAUCCACAGUACAUAAGAAUUUUAGCCCAACAAGAUCGUGACACCUCAUCAGUCAAUGCCACAUCAUCGGUCAAUGCCACGUCAUCGUCCGUCUAUGUGAACAGUAUCGUACACGUGAAUAGUACCGUACAUGUGAAUAGUGCCAUUUUUCCUUUUAUGCUCCUCCUAAGGUUUUCGACCGUCCUGAGUUCAAAAGUGAUGUCCGUUUUGCCGUCUGAUCUCUCUUUUAUUGUGAAAUGAUUAUAAUGCCCCUAAAAUACAUAAAAUACUUAAUUAAAAUAAAACACACGGAAUUAAAUCAAAAGAAGGUUAAAUUCAUAAAAGUAAAGGUGUUAGUAAAACUUGUAGUGUAAAAUGACGAUUUUCUCCUUUAUAAAUAUACAUUUUCUAACACUCAACAACGAGUACUUUGAGGACCAUUCCAACUCCAUACACAACUCCAUAUCUAAUCAUUCUCUCUCUUAAUCUCCUUGGAAAGAGCAUCAUAUGCUGAUUUUACCGUGAAGUUACCUUUCUUAGAUUUAAACCAAAAAAUCUGAUCUUCUCCAUAGCCUUUCAUUGGUGGCCGAAAUGAACCAAUUCAAAGAAGGAAAUGUUGGGAAGGAGAUGACUGAAACUCUUAAUCACCCUGUGUAUUAACAAACUCAGCAACAGUCUUAUUCAUAAUAUCAGUAGGAUCAGGGCCAUAGCAUGGACAAUCAACGGCUGAGCUUUUGUGACCCAACGGUCCCACCAAAAACGAACCUUCUUGCCAUCUCCAAUAUUCCACCGAAUCUUCAUUAUUGUAUCAUUCCAUACUUUACCAAUGGACUUCCUUAAGUAUGAACCAUUUCUCGUUGGCAAGACUGAUAGCAAGUUCUCAUGAUUCAGCCCAUACUUUGUAAGUAAUACUUUGGUCCAAAGGCUAGUAGGGGAUGAAAUAAGAUUCCACCCCGCUUUCAUCAAUAAAGCUUCAUUUUACUUCAAGAUUUUUUAAGCCUAAACCACCAUAGCUUUUAGGUUGACAAACUUUAUCCUAACUCACAAGAUUCAUCUUCCAUUGAGAAUUAGCUCCACUCCAAAUAAAAUUUUUACAAGUCUGAUCAAUUUUUGGCUUUGACACACACAAGAAGGCUUGUAAUUUACAUAGCAUAGAUGGGUACCUCUUUGAUGACCGAUUGAGCAAGAGUUAGGGCCUUUUUGUGUUAGCUUUUGCUUUUGCUUCUACUUAAAAGUAAAAGAUAAGUAUAAAUUCUAGCUUAUUUUUACUGUUUGGAUGACCAUAAUAAAAGAUCUUUUUUUUAAUGAGAAGCUCUUUUUGAAGUGUUUGGAUGACCAUCUAAAAAAAAUCUUUUAAUUAUUUUAAAGUCAUUAAUACCCUUAAAUAUUUGAGUCUAACAAAUACUUAUGAAAUUUAAAAAUCACUGACAAACAAAAUAAUUAUUUGAUCAAUCUAGUUAAACUUUUACAAAUUAAAGUACCGUUUUUCUUUAUAAAAAUAAGAAGAAUAAAAAUAACUAGAUUAAGUAACAAAAGUCUCUUUAUUUGCCUUUUUUGUGAACAAACGAAUGUCCAACUUGAAUAGAGGAGACAUUGGUUGGCAUCCUGGAAGUGUACCUACCUUGUCAACCUCAUGAACACUAUAAUCAGGAGGAUCAGUACGUAUAUAUGAAUCCUUGUUCUUAAUUGCCUCACAAAGUUCAUCAAGUUGUUUGGUCAACUUAGAUGCAAUAGCUCUUUUCUUGUUAGCUUUUUUUAAUUGCUUUCUUCUUGGUGGAAUUUUUUUCAAACGGUCACUAUAUCCUAUUUCAUCAUGGUUGACUUGUUCAAAAUUUGCACUAUCCACUGGAACAAUGUCAUCCUCAAUAAUAUUUUCAAAACUAGAAUGAUUGUAUAAAAGAGGUGUUACACCAGAAGUUGGUGCCCAAGCUCUUUCUCCUAUCGUUGUAAUAUCAUGAAAUAAUUCAUCUAACAUAAAAGCAUGGUUUAGGCCCUUAAUCUGAAAUUUUGCAGCUUCUAGGUGUUUCUGUUAUUAUAAUUUUAGAAUUAGCAACAUAAAAUUUAAUACAUGAAUUAAACUUAAAAUAACUUGAAUUUAAAUAACCUACUUGUAACUUUACCUCCCGCCAUUCAUUUGUAACUUCUAUUGUUUGUCUCUCCACAUUCCAACCUAGCCUUAUUUCUCCCCUCACCAAUUCAUCCCAUAUAUGCCACUUUUUCUUAACAAUAUACCAACGGUUCCUAUGUUGCUUUUGAUUAUAAUUUUUAUUGGUUGCCGCUGUGAAAUUUUGCUACAAGAUUUUUCCAACCUUGCUUACUUAAAUGUGUUCCACUUCUAUUACCAUCUCUCACUCGAUUAUAAUUUCAUGUGAUUUUGGAUCCCAAAUAGCUUUGGAUUUACCUUGGGAGACACCAUUAGUUGCCAUCUAAUUCUAGCUAAGGGUAAUAGAUAUUUAUCAAUAGACAUAUCAACAACACCAAAUUAGAGCAAGAAUAAUAGAAAAUCAAUAAACACAAAAGAAUAUAAAACAAUUUGGCAGUAACUGAUGCCACAACUACCAAUAUCUUCAAAAUAUUAAAUAUCAAUUGUUGUAACUUUAAUUUCAGUUAUUUGUUACUGCACAUGCUUGACAUAUAAUAUGCAAAUCAAACAAUAUUUUUCAUUCUAAACAAUUCGAACUAAAUGUAAUUCCUCACUUUAUAUUAUGAACAAUAACACUUCUAUAUGCCCACAUGAAUACAAACUCAUGUGAAAUAAACAAAAACUUUAUAAAUUAAAAAUACAAAAUUAAUUAAAUUUAAUUUGGAAACUUAACUUCUACUCUAUAUUCCACCAGUUCGCAAAACAUUAUUCUUCGUUCUAAGUCAACUUUAUAAAUUUACUUCAAAAAAUAAUUAAAUAAAGCAUAAACGAAUAGACAAAGAAUUAAAGCAUGAGAUUUCCAUGUGUGUAUAUAUAUAUAUAUAUAUAUAUAUAUAUAUAUAUAUAUAAAUUAAAAAUAAGAUGCAAAUCAAAGUAUGAGAUUACAAAAAAAAUUCUUACUUGAAAGAAGAUUGGUGUGGUGAUUGUGCUCCUUCUGUUUUUUUUUUUGGUUGAACAAUGAAGAGGCAAAACAAGAAAAAUACGUAAGAAACAGGGUUUAAGAGUUUGGAUAUGGAUGUAAUAUUUUUUUGUUCCUUUGUUAAUUUAAGGUUAGUUUAGGAAUUAUGAAAAGUGUAAUAAAUGAGAAAAUAACUUCUCAAAAGGUCUUUUGGAAAAAGCUAGAAAUCCUGGCUUCUCUCAAAAGACCUUUUGGAUUAAAAAAAGACUUGGUUUGACACUCAAAUAGCCCCAAAAGACAUUUUUUAAUUCUAAAAGCCAAAAAAGAGCUUAAUUAAGCUAACCCAAAUAGGCACUUAUUCUGUCAGCUAAAGACAAAUGUGAAACAUUCCACCCAGAGAGCUGUCUCUUUAUAGUAUCAACAAUGCCUUGGUAAGUAUUCUCAGACACUCGGGAAUGGAGAAUAGGCAUUCCAAGAUACUUGCCAAGAUUAGCAAUGACAGAAAAACCCAACAUCUGACCAAUUUUUCUAGCUGUACCUACGGAAAUAUUUUUAGAAAAAAAAUAUAUGAGUUUUAGCCUUAUUGACAUUUUCUCUAGAGCUGGUACAAAAGACAUCCAGUACUAUAUUUAGGACUUUAGCUUGAUCGCAAGAUGCCUCCAUAAGCAACAUGAGGUCAUCAGCAAAGAAAAGAUGAGUAAGAGGGGUUCCAUGCCAAGAUAGACGAAUUGGUUUCCAUUCUCCAGCAUUUAGUACAUGACAGAUUCCAUGGCUGAGCCUCUCAAUGCAAAGAACAAAAAUAUAAGGAGAUAUAGAAUCCCCUUGUCUUAUUCCUCUCGAUGGAAAGAAAUCAUCCGUGAACUCUCCCUCCUAAAGGACAUUCAUCUGAGCAGUAGUGAUGCAAUUCAUUGUAAUAUGCACAAAAUCAGCGGGAAGCCCUACUUCAAAUGAGGGUUUCUUGAAUAAAAUUCCAACUAAGCCUAUUAUAAGCCUUCUCCAAAUAUACUUUAAUAGCCAUUUGUCCCUGUUACUAGUUUUCCUUCCUAUAGAAUGUAUAAUCUCCUAUGCCACAACAAUAUUUUCAAUAAUAUGUCAACCAGGCAAAAAACUCGUUUGGCGAGGACCAAUGAGUUGUGAUAAAAUAGCUUUCAACUUGUUUGCAAUAAUCUUUGUAAUUGUUUUAUAAGCAACUGUGCAUAAGCUAAUAGGGUGGUACAUUCUUAAAGAGGUGGGAUGGUUCGUCUUUGGGAUAACAACUACUAAAGUCCUAUUGAUCUCAGAUGGAAUAUUACCACUCCUGAAAAUAUCCUUAAUAAAACAGUAGAAAGAGGGGCCUACUGUGUUUCAUUAGGAUUGGUAGAAAAUGGCAUAGAGACCGUUGAUGCCAGGAGCUUUGAAGGGCUUCAUGUUGAAAAUCGUAUGUUUAAUAUCAUCAUCAUCCACUAAGGCAUUAAGCGAAGGUACACAUGUUAUGUCAAUGGCUAAAUAAUAACCUGUAAAAGGGUACUGUGUGAAGGUUGCUUGAUCGUUUGUAUAGAGAUCCAAGAAAAAUUAAACAACAUGAACUUUAAUAUCUGCUACAUCAUACAUCCACUGUCCAGUAUCGCAUCAAACUUAUUCUGACGUCUUCAAGUAAGAGUUUUCUUAUUAAAGAAAGUAGUAUUUCGAUCCCUAUGCAUAAUCCAUUCCUUUCUCGACUUCUGAUGCCACAACAAUUCUUCUUCAGUAAGGACUUACUCUAGCUCAGUUUUUAAUUUUAACUCCAAGCGAACAAGACUCUAUUUGGUACAAGUCUCAAGAACUUUUUGGAUACUCCAAUGCAAGCUAGAAGGUUUCAUUUUUUUGAAAAAUAUUUCCAAAUGAGUUCUUAUUCCAAAGAGAAACAUUAGCAGUAGAUCGUUGAACUGCCUUAAGAUAGAAGUCAUCAGUCCCUAACUAGAAAUCACCAAAUCUUCAAAGUCUUUAUCAGUAAGCCACGCGGCCAGAAAUCGAAAAGGUUUGUUCCCUCUACUCUUUUCCUCAGCCUUCUCAAAAUGCACAAAGACAAGUAUGUGAUUAGACUCAAUUUUUUGGAGAUGAAAGACAGUAUUUUCAGCGAACCUGGUCAUCCAAUCUUUAUUGCAGACUACCCUAUCUAAACAUUUAGCUAGAGUGCCCCUUGACCAAGUGAACUUAGUGUCACGGGAUGAGUGUUUUGUGCAGCAACCCGUGCGGCACUUAGACAACUUUACCGAAUGUUGCUAAGUAAGCCUUGAGCUUAUCGACUAGCUAAGCCUAGAGGUUUUCGAAGAGCUAGAGAGAAGAGAGCAAUGGAGCCGAAUAAGAGAAAUUGUAUUGCUUACAAGAGAGAUUACAAGAGAGCUUACAAGAGCGUUUGAGUUGCUUGCUCUAAACUUGUUGCUCAAAUGCUAAAUGCCAUGCCCUAUUUAUAGAGGAGGCUUGCUAAGCUCUAGAGAUUCUAGAGAAUUCUACCACUAUCUAGUUAUUUACAUGUGCUGGAAAUGUGUGGAGUAUUAUAGACAUUUACAAGCUCAAAUGUGCUAGAGUUGCCUAAAAGUUUCUAGAAUCGGGCCAAGCUAGCACUCUUAGCCUUGUCUUGGGCUCUCUAGCCUGAAAUUGUGGGCAAUUCAGCUAGUAACUUGGGUGGUCCACAAUAUUAGGCCCUUUAAAUUGGAGAUCAUGUAACUUGUUGGAGUGCAGCCAAGUUUUGAAUAGCCCACAUACACCAUUUCUAUAUGAAGAGCCUCCUCUUUUUUCCAAAGCAUAUAUAAUAGAAUUAAAAUCCCCUCCCCCCAAUGAGCCAUGGCCCUUGAACUAUAGUAUCAAGCCUCUCUAAAUGGCUCCAAAUAUGCCUCAUUUUGCCUGGAUUAGGACUAGCAUAAAUAGAAGUAACCCACGAAAGGAACACAUUAUUUUUUGAGAUAUUAAAAUGAAUAAAUUGUUUAUGAUUUAAAACAAUUUCCACAUCAUAGUUAUCCUUCCAUAGCAACUAAAUACCACCAAAAAAACCAAUGGCUUCAACUCUAUGAGACUUGUCAAAACCACUAUUUCUGAUAAAUUCAUCUGUCUUUAUGCCAUUAAUUCUAGGUUCGAAGAUAGCAACCAUCAAUGGUUUAUAAGUUUUCACAAGAGUCUGAAAAGUCCAACAAAAGUUUAAAGAAGCAACUCCUUGAAUGUUCCAAAACAUAAUUGAAUCAACCAUUUAAAUUAGGAAAAAAGAAAGGGAUGGACCUCAAGCAAACGGCUCAGUAGCCUCUUAAAUCACUACCAUGACAUUCUCAUUAUUCAGGGACACAUUGGCCUCCGACGAGACCAGUUCAGUGUCACUGUCUCGCGUAUAAUCAUUGUCGUCAUCAUCAUCUUCAUCCUCUAACGUCUCUGUAACAACAUUAGCCACUUUAUCAGGAGAGUGCCAUCCUAAUUUGUAAACAAGCUAUGAAAUUCCAUAGAGUUAUGAUUAGUAGGGGGUUAAGGCCGAAGGGGGUACUUCAAGUAAGGUUAAGUUAUGUAUCAGUGGCAAAAGACACAGCUGAGUGAAAAUAAAAGGGUUUAGGCUAGUUGUAAUAGUGGCUGGGUUUGAAUGUCGAAGUUGGUUUGCAUGUUGGGUAUGUAAUUUACGUUGAGAUUGCAUAUAAGUGGGCCUAUUAGAGUCAAGUAUGUGGCAAGGAGUGGCAGUAUUGGCGGCCACGACAUCUUAAUUAAGGUUAUAAUACAAACUUUAAAAAGGUGAGUGCCUUAUUUCAUAAGUUGCUUGUAAAAAUCAAUUCUUUACUUGCUUUUAAAAGAUUCUAUCAAAAUGAAGAAACUUAUGAAAUAAAAUAGCAUUUAAAAGGUUUAUUUGAUUUCCAAGGCAGAUGGUAGUGGAAACUUUGAUUUACUUUCCAAGGCCGGCUUCGUUGAUGGUGUUUUGUAUGUUUCUCAUGGCAGGAACAAGGUACUGAGCGAAGUUAUCUCUAGGCUUUGCUUCAUUUCCUACAGCAACAUAUUUGAACUUGACAUUGUUAGCAAAAUUC